GUUAGCCAUUUUUUUAUUUGUUAUUAUAUAUGCAUGUUAAAAAUAAUUUAUCUAUAUGUAUGACACACCUCGACCUAAAUCAAGGCGUGCUGGCCGUCAUGUAAAGAUGACGUAGCCAUGUGCGCGAUGCGGAAGUGAUAAGGAUAUGAAAAUGUGAGCAAAUAAAAACCAAACUAACUAAUUUAUACCAGACUAGCACAUAAGUACGAGUGAAAGAUGUUUAGAUAUAGCUACAGAUAUUCAGAGCGUAGGUAACCUAAGUGUAGUCCAUCAGAUCAAGUACUAAUAAUAUAAUACCAGAUAGACGAUCCUACAUUGAUUACAGUUUGUCAGAACCGUCGACAACUCCUCGUAAGCCACCAACAAGCAAGCCUACCUAAAACUUGGAGGGGAGCAAAACAGAAGGUGUGAGUGGGCAAAAACAAAGCUUUUCAAAACCAUUUAUCUUACCAAAAGUAAUAACCCCUCGCCGUAAAACUCAUAUAAUUUCUCAGAAAAUAAAAUACAUACAUAUAUCAAAACCGUACUUGAAAUACCAAAAUCCACAUGUAUGCCAUCUCAAAUAUCUCAACAUAAUGAAUAAGUAAACCAAGUGAAGUAAAUCAAUGAAAAGUGAUAUGUCAACCGGAUCCACCUAUUGUGGCAUGUACGGCUGAACCUAUAGCUCAUCAAGUAUGCCUGCACACGAGUCAGAACCACCUAAUGUGGUCUGUACAAUAGGGCUAGGUGUAAUAAGUACGCUCAAGUGCUAUGAUCACGUGAAGGCUAUGAGAUAAAUUGCGGGUCACCUACGAGUCGGAACCACCUAUUAUGGUAUGUACGACAGGGCUGUGCACCAAACUUGGAUCUAAGCUGAGCAUGCGGUGCGGGAGGUGAACAUCACGUGAAGGACUAUUGAUAGGAGCAUAUUUAUGCACCUUAGUUAACUAGUUCUUAUGCAUUUUUGUUAUGUUUUCUUAGUUUAAAGUAGUCUUUUAAGCUAGUUUCAUAUGUUUUCAGGUUUAAGGGCCUAUUACAUAAAAGGAUGCAAAUUGGAGCCUUUUGGAGCAAAAUGGAGCUUAGAUUGGAAAGUACAUGCUUGGAGCACAAGGAAUGGACGAGUUUGAAGGUCAAAGGAGCUUAAGAAAUGAAGAAAUGAAAGUGAAGAACAAAGAAUUCAGAAUUGGAAACCAAAGUUUCUAAAGUUGGAAGUUUCUAUUCUUGGAGGUUUCCAUUUUCGAGAGUUUCUAUUCGUGGCUUUGGGCUUUUAGAUGACCUAUCUUUUUCCCCUAACCCUAGCCGCACCUAGGCCUCUAGAAUAUCUGAUUUCCUUGCCUUGCAAGGCAUUCUAGAAGGCCCAUCUCUAACCCUAACCCUAGCCGCACCUUAGGCCUUAUUCCCACUAAAAAUCUGAUUGUUUUAACUUAAUUUCUGAUGGAUUAGGGUUUCUAGAAACCCUAAUCUGAUUGCUAGGGUUUUGAAGUGCCUAUAUAUACUCAUUAAACCCUUUUGGCCGAAAGACCACCUCCGAUAUACAUCAUUCACGUCAGAAACAAAGAGGCUCUCUUUGCCGCACCUUUCCAUCACCAUAGUCCAUAAUUUCUGCCCAAAAACAACCCUAGCCGCACCACCCAUCAACCCUAAACUUUUCCAUACCAUUCCCCAUCCAUUCUACACCAUAAAUACCACCCAAAACCUGUUCUAAAGUUCUCUGCCGCAGCAAGGAGGAAGGAGAAAUCGUUGAUGAGCUUGCUGCCAAGUUGGAGCGUUCUAGGUGUUUUCUUUCUUUGGAGUUUAAUUUCUAAAUUUAUGUAUCUUUGCUUUGCAAGUAUGAGGAACUAAAACCCCCUUGGCUAGGGGGGAUUCAAAACCAUGAUUAUAUAUGUGAAAUAAGUUGAUUACUUCCAGUUAUCGUUGCAUGAGUCGUGAAUACAAUUUGCUUAACCGUUUGAUUUAGAACUUAUUCUUGUAUGUUGAUUGAGAGUGCACGCUUAAUUUGCAUGCUUGAAUUUGGUGCUAGGAUAUAAGUUUGUUUCACCUAAUCGUUAUGAAUUUAUAUUCGCAAGUAGUGAAGGUCGCUAGUCACGAUCAUGUUAAGUAGAUUCCUGGCAAGAGUAUCAUGCUUUUCAUAGUUACGAAUGCCUUGUCGAUGCUUAUGAUUUCCAAAGAACGUAGUGAUUCUAACUUGUAUCUUUAUCAUGCUGUUCAUAUAGAGAACUUGUUGGGAAUAAUUUGUUUGCGAUGCAUAUUCAUCCAAUUCAAUGAUUCUAGGGAAAUCUGAAGGUUAAUUUAAGCGGACCUAAUUAACUUGGAGUGUCGAGGUUCAUAACUUAUUGAAUUGAUAAUUGGAAAUUGAUUUACGUUGCAUAUAUUUCAUGUGUGGAGAAGAACCCCUUAGCUAUUCCAUCAUCCAUUGAUUCAUCACAAUUUUGUUUUACAAUCUGUUUUAUUUACAAUCUGCCAUUUAAUUUAAAUUCGUCCAAAAUCAACCCCACUUUAUUUCUUUGAGUCAUAUUAGUUAGAACUUGUCUUAGAUUAUGUUUUUAAGUGUUUUAGGUCAUUAGGAAACCAAAAUUCGUUCAAGUUUGCAUUAGAGUCUCAAAACUGCCCAGAAAGUGUUUUAAGGCCGUUUUGAGUGUUUUUGGUGCUGUUUUGAGUCUUUUGAUUUGUUUUAGUGUUUUAGAGUUUAGUUUUGCAUUCUUUGAGUCUAGUUUAGUGUUUUAAACUUUGUUUUUAUGUUUUUAAGUCAGUUUUCAAGCGUUUAGCAAUCCCUCCUAAUCCUCGGUUUAGAACGAUCCCUACUUAUCCAUACUACAAUUGUCAAAAAGAGGGUUUAAUUUGUGUGUUAAGUUAUUUUUCGCAUCAAAUUUUGGCGCCGUUGCCGGGGAUUAGCAACUUUGCUAAUCCCUUGGGUCUUUUCUUUUUGUUUAGUUUGUUUCUGUUUUAGUUUCUGACUUAGUUUUGUUUUCCUUGUUUUGUGUUACUUUUGAUAUUUGAUUUAGUUCUCUUUCUUUGACUUUAGGUACUAGAGAAGUAAGACAUGGAUUUUGCUAGCAUUCAAGCUCAAUUAGCAAAUCUUACUUCUCAAUUGUCACAGAUUGCCGAAAGGACCACAAUGCAAAGUGUCCCUACAUUUGGUGCGUCUUAUAGGCAAGGAUAUCAAGCCAAUCAAUGUGCACAAAGAGAUUGGAGUGAUCAUUCAACUUCUAUGUGGUGGGAAUCUCAACGAGCUCAACACGAAGGAUAUUGGCAGCCAUACGAGGAGUUCUAUUCAAGACCUAUGCAAUAUGCUCAAUCAAACUCCGGUUCGUCAAUAGAUUAUAAUCAAAUUCUUAAUGAAUUAAAUUCUUUGGUGCAGGGCUCACAAAAUCAAGCCAAGGAGGCUCAACAAGAUGCAUAUUGGCAGCCAUAUGAGGAGUUCUACACCGCGCCUAUGCAACCACCACAACCUCCCCCACAACAAUUCCAGUCAAGUUCAAGUAUGUCCAUGAAUAAUGAUCAAAUUUGUCAAUUACUAACCUCUUUGGCGCAGGACCAACAAGAUCAAGACAAAAGAGUGGACAACUUGAAGAAUCAAAUGGGAGAGAUUAUGGAGUUCAUGGCACAAAUUCAAGAGCAAAGUGAACUUUCCAACUCAACUAUAGAAAAUUUGAAGGAAAAUUUUGAAAUCCAUGAUGCCAUCACUUUGGAAAGUGGCAUGGAGGUUGGAACAAGCCUAAAAACGUCCAAACCAAUCCAAAACAUGGAUGAACAACUGUUGUUCGAAGAAGAAGAGGAUGACAAGGCCACGGCAAGGGAAGAACCACCCUUGCCGCAGCCUACCCUUGCUCCACUACCCUUGCCACAACCUCCCCAUGCUCUACCACUGUCCAAUACAAGUAAGUUGGGUCCAAUUUUCGUUAAUUCUAACCCUAUUCCACCCAAUGUCCCUUUUCCUCGCAGAUUUUUUAUUCCCAAGCAAGAAGAGAGUGAAAAAGACAUUGUGGAAGCUCUUCCCAAGGUGCAAAAUGAUAUUCCAAUUCUUGGUGCAACAAAGCAAGUUCUAGAUUGUGUAGAAUUGUUCAAAGGACUUUGUACACCAAGAAGAAUGAUUCAAGAGAAAGUAGUGGCUGGAGAAUAUCAAGAAUUCAUCAAAGAGGACGUAUUUGAAACAACAAAGCCCAAAGACUUUGAGUUUGAUGACACGGGACAAAUCACAACCAUCGUAGUAAAUCUGGCCAAAUUCAAAGUCCCUGAAACUUUAAAAGAAGUGGUGUUCGUCCUUGAGUUCUUUACGAAGAGAAAAAGUAAGUCAUCUACUCCAAUUUCCAUUACAUUUUAUACUUACAUGUUGUUAAUGAUUCAGGCACCCACUCUCAAAUUUAAACCAUUGCCGGAUCAUUUCAAGUAUCACUUUCCAUUCAAGGAUCAAUUCCAUGCCGUGGCACCUAGGGAAGCUUAAAGAGCAGUAUUGUCAACUUAGGAACGAUGAAACUUUCACUCCACUUCCAGAUUUGCGUUCCUAAACCCUUCUCUUUGUUGUUGUUUCUAAUCUGCCCUGUUUAGUUAUUUAAGUUGCUGUUUGUUGGUUUCUUUGUGUUUUGUGUAACUUUAUGCUUGAAACAUUGAGGACAAUGUUUGAUUUAACUGUGGGGGGGUAACUAAGUGUUUUUAUGCAAAUUCGUGGGAUUGUACCACCCAUUACUUAAAGACUUGUUCAUUGCUGUUUUUAAGUGUUUUUAAGCAGUUUUAGUGUGUUUUAGUAUGUGUUGACUUAUAAAACUCCGAAAAUCACAUAAAAAUUUGAAAAAAAUGUUUUGAAAAACCUAAAAAGAGUGUUUUGAGUCGUUUUUGUGUGUUUGUGUCUAGGGUACCUUCCAACACAAUGAUGAGGAUUCGGUUUGUAAUUGCAUGGCUGUUAAAGAAAGUUAUUAACAUGAUGAAAGUUUGAAUUACUCUUUGCUUAUGCUUGGUUGUGGUUAUAGCUUAUGAAUUCACAUGCAAUCAUAAAGAAAAAAUUAGUUUUUGUAACAUGCUUGAAGGAAGGAACUCAAACAAACGCUACAACCUUGUGAGACUUGAGCCUAAACGUUUAUUUGGAGAGUUAAAAUAUGUGCAUUAUUGUUUUCUAAGUCGUUGCAUGAUCUCAUUAUUCUUUGCUUGGUUACUACUUAGAAGGCGUUUCAUCAUUUAGUUCCAAAUGCUAGAACUCAUGCCCAUUUCAUUCAAAGCAUGUUAUUGAUGUGCAUAACACAUAUUCAAGAUGAAGUUGUGUAGUUACCACCACCAAAGCCAAAUUGCCGUAUAUCCCAUAUCAUUUUAUGUUUAAGUUUAACCCCGUCGAGCCUUGUUUAGCCUAUGUUGUUUGUUAACCCACAUUAUCCUCACCUAGCCUAGAUUAGGACCAUCCAUACCCUUGUUCUUGAAGCAUAGUAAAGCAUGAUUCAAAUUGAAUUCCUUUUGAUUUAUAUUUGGCAGAAAACAAGUGUGGGGGAAAGGUUUCAAUUUGGAUAUUUUGGGUGCCAUAGAACACGGCAAGAAAAGAAGAAAAAAAAAAUGAAAUUCGUGGAAAAAGAAAAAGAAAAAGAAACAGUGUGUGAAAAGAAUGAAAAGGAGUUGCAAAGAUGUGAAAAAGAGUCCCAAAGUAUUGUUUGUUGAAGAAAGGGUCCAAAACUUUGAAUUUGGCCCUAAAUAUUGCUUGAAUCUUCCCUUCGUGUCUAAAAGUUGAUUUCUGCAUUCUAAAGUGAAUUCUAAGUCUAGAUUUCAGUGCUCUGCUUACUAUUGCUUUAAGAACGGUUGUUUUCCCUUACCAUUCUUUGUUAACCAAUACCCCAAGCCCCAUUACAACCCUUGACUUCCAUCUUGAGUGUUAUGUGUUUCAAUUUGUGGAGUUUGAAUUUGGUAUGAGCAUAUGGUGUCCCUGGUUCUCGCAUCUAAGUAGUAGCAUUCCAUUCAUGAGAUCAUAUCUAAACAUGCUUAUUAACUCCAGAAAUUGCUUUCUUGGUAAUACAUAUAUGUGAGCAUUCGUUUUCAUAUCUACAUCAAUCUUCUCACAUAUGACUAGUGUAGGGUGUGUAGUUAGAAAAUCUGAGUGAAAAUUGAGUGCAUAUCUUGUAAGGAAUUGAGUGAAUUCUCUAAGGCAUGUUACUACAUCAAAAACAUUGUUUUAAUUGCUUAAAUGUGAACAAGUGGUGAUUAUGAUUAAGUAUGUGCUUAAGUGUAAAGAUGACUAAAAUCUGUGGGAAUGAUGAUUUUUAAUCUGUCAUGUGCAUUGAAAAUCCCUGAGGCAAUUGUUGGAAGGUUUAGAUUGUGUUUUUGUUUUGUUUUGUUUCUUUGUUUUGCUCGAGGACUAGCAAAAGCUAAGUGUGGGGGAAUUUGAUAGGAGCAUAUUUAUGCACCUUAGUUAACUAGUUCUUAUGCAUUUUUGUUAUGUUUUCUUAGUUUAAAGUAGUCUUUUAAGCUAGUUUCAUAUGUUUUCAGGUUUAAGGGCCUAUUACAUAAAAGGAUGCAAAUUGGAGCCUUUUGGAGCAAAAUGGAGCUUAGAUUGGAAAGUACAUGCUUGGAGCACAAGGAAUGGACGAGUUUGAAGGUCAAAGGAGCUUAAGAAAUGAAGAAAUGAAAGUGAAGAACAAAGAAUUCAGAAUUGGAAACCAAAGUUUCUAAAGUUGGAAGUUUCUAUUCUUGGAGGUUUCCAUUUUCGAGAGUUUCUAUUCGUGGCUUUGGGCUUUUAGAUGACCUAUCUUUUUCCCCUAACCCUAGCCGCACCUAGGCCUCUAGAAUAUCUGAUUUCCUUGCCUUGCAAGGCAUUCUAGAAGGCCCAUCUCUAACCCUAACCCUAGCCGCACCUUAGGCCUUAUUCCCACUAAAAAUCUGAUUGUUUUAACCUAAUUUCUGAUGGAUUAGGGUUUCUAGAAACCCUAAUCUGAUUGCUAGGGUUUUGAAGUGCCUAUAUAUACUCAUUAAACCCUUUUGGCCGAAAGACCACCUCCGAUAUACAUCAUUCACGUCAGAAACAAAGAGGCUCUCUUUGCCGCACCUUUCCAUCACCAUAGUCCAUAAUUUCUGCCCAAAAACAACCCUAGCCGCACCACCCAUCAACCCUAAACUUUUCCAUACCAUUCCCCAUCCAUUCUACACCAUAAAUACCACCCAAAACCUGUUCUAAAGUUCUCUGCCGCAGUAAGGAGGAAGGAGAAAUCGUUGAUGAGCUUGCUGCCAAGUUGGAGCGUUCUAGGUGUUUUCUUUCUUUGGAGUUUAAUUUCUAAAUUUAUGUAUCUUUGCUUUGCAAGUAUGAGGAACUAAAACCCCCUUGGCUAGGGGGGAUUCAAAACCAUGAUUAUAUAUGUGAAAUAAGUUGAUUACUUCCAGUUAUCGUUGCAUGAGUCGUGAAUACAAUUUGCUUAACCGUUUGAUUUAGAACUUAUUCUUGUAUGUUGAUUGAGAGUGCACGCUUAAUUUGCAUGCUUGAAUUUGGUGCUAGGAUAUAAGUUUGUUUCACCUAAUCGUUAUGAAUUUAUAUUCGCAAGUAGUGAAGGUCGCUAGUCACGAUCAUGUUAAGUAGAUUCCUGGCAAGAGUAUCAUGCUUUUCAUAGUUACGAAUGCCUUGUCGAUGCUUAUGAUUUCCAAAGAACGUAGUGAUUCUAACUUGUAUCUUUAUCAUGCUGUUCAUAUAGAGAACUUGUUGGGAAUAAUUUGUUUGCGAUGCAUAUUCAUCCAAUUCAAUGAUUCUAGGGAAAUCUGAAGGUUAAUUUAAGCGGACCUAAUUAACUUGGAGUGUCGAGGUUCAUAACUUAUUGAAUUGAUAACUGGAAAUUGAUUUACGUUGCAUAUAUUUCAUGUGUGGAGAAGAACCCCUUAGCUAUUCCAUCAUCCAUUGAUUCAUCACAAUUUUGUUUUACAAUCUGUUUUCUUUACAAUCUGCCAUUUAAUUUAAAUUCGUCCAAAAUCAACCCCACUUUAUUUCUUUGAGUCAUAUUAGUUAGAACUUGUCUUAGAUUAUGUUUUUAAGUGUUUUAGGUCAUUAGGAAACCAAAAUUCAUUCAAGUUUGCAUUAGAGUCUCAAAACUGCCCAGAAAGUGUUUUAAGGCAGUUUUGAGUGUUUUUGGUGCUGUUUUGAGUCUUUUGAUUUGUUUUAGUGUUUUAGAGUUUAGUUUUGUAUUCUUUGAGUCUAGUUUAGUGUUUUAAACUUUGUUUUUAUGUUUUUAAGUCAGUUUUCAAGCGUUUAGCAAUCCCUCCUAAUCCCCGGUUUAGAACGAUCCCUACUUAUCCGUACUACAAUUGUCAAAAAGAGGGUUUAAUUUGUGUGUUAAGUUAUUUUUCGCAUCAACUAUGCCCUGGCCAAGGGCGGGAGCACUAACAACUGGGUGCAGGUUUAUGAGCUCUAAAUGCCUCUAAGUAUAACCUUUACAAUGUAACACAAAGUCAUCAAUACAUAUACUCACCUGGAACUUACCUGAGCGUCCGUAGCAUCAAACAAUAAAAUACACAACUACUAAAUGCAUAUUCUAAGAUAUAAGCAUUUGACAUGGCAUUUAAACACAAAAUCAUUUAAAUCAAUUUUUAUGGGAAAAACAUAAGCCAUAUAUAUAUUGAAAACCAAAAGCCCACUCACUAGUAUGUGGCAGGAUUGUAACCCCCGAGUCUCGCCUGACUGCGGUUGUCCUUUGGAAACGUCUGACCUAUAUGUGAAACAACUAUUUUAAUGUUAUUUUUAAGCACAUACUCAAAACUAUGUAAUAACUUCUCAUACGUUGCUCAAUUGAGGUGUUUGAAUAUACCAGCAUGACCUACUUAACACCACGAACAUCCCUAUAUUUUUAGAAAUUUUUUUUGACAUUUUACGGGCCGUCACGCGCCGACCAAAGCACGGCCACAUGCGUCGGCUACACGCAGGCACGUGCCUGGCACACGGAUGGAAUCUUUAACACCGUUAAAGAAUAUUCCAUUAAAUAAUGGAAUAUAUCGUUAAAUAUACCUGACGCCGUUAGGUAUAUUUUGUCAAAAUUGACGGAAUAUUUGUCUUCUUCUUCGAUGGUUCGCCGAAAUCCGUCACCGGCCGCCGCUGCACUCACCAGUUUCUGGAAAAUCUUUAAUCCUUAAUAUCUUCUUCAUUUUUCAACCAAAUUUCAUGAAAUUUAUACGGAUUUAAAGCUCAUAACAAGGAGAACACAUCCACACCUGUUAAAACUCCAAAAUCCAACGGAAAAUGGCCGAAAAAAAUCCUUGAAAAAUCGACUAUUCCUACAAACCCACUACCGAGCUUAUUUCGACGUCCAACUUAACCAAAACUAGUCUAACAUGCCAGGGAAGUUGAAUAAUUACCUUCUUAAGUCUCAAAACUAGCUUAAACUUUCGUGAUCACUUUGGAGAAAAUUGCACCCCUUGCCGGAGCUCGGAUAUCUCUAGUUCUACCGGUCUUCUCCUCAAACCAAGGGUAUGACUCAACUAGUGAGGUUGAGGGAAACACGAUUAUACUAAGGGAAACAUGAUUAUACUAACCUUACACUCGAUUUGUGAAGUUUAGAAGGGUUUGGGAGCUGUGAGCUCGAGUUGUACGGAAAGAGAGAGUUCGAGAACAAGAAAGAGUGUGAGGGAAAAAGGGCACGUGUGUAUGUGUGUGUAUUGGUCACAGAAAUGGACAGAAAUAAAAGGAAAUAGGGCUUUGAUUGACCAUAAGGUUUUAGGCCUAAUAGUUGAUCCAAUAGCAACCCAAAAUUCUAAUUGGACCCAAGAAAAUAGGAGAUAUGGUGAUUGGUCCAUUUCCUUAGCUUGUUUAUACAUUCACCACACAUCGUUACAAGGGUAAAAUCGUCAUUUCCAAGCUUUCGGAGAUCAAAUAUAUUUUAUUUUGAGACGGGUUGUCACAAUGUAUAUGUAAAAUAUAAGUAAAUUAAUUUUUUAUAAGAAUUAAACAAUAGGUAAAUUAUAAGUACAUUAUUUAUUUAUAAGAAUUAAACAAUAUUGUAGGUAUAUUAUGUUUCUAAAAAAAAAAGGAAAAUUGAAAUUCAUAAACAAAAAGUAGUAGAUAUAUUAUUAUUUUUUCAAUCAAAUUACAUUUCUUUAUUUUGUAGGUAAAUUUUUUUAAUGCAUUAUUACAUAUACUAGGCGCAUUUAUAUUAGUUUUAGUAGGAAUUAUAUAUUGUAGGUACAUUAUGUUUGUACAAAAAAAAACAUUAGGUAAAUUAAAAUUCAUAAACAAAAAGUAGUAGAUAUAUUAUUUUUUAAUCAACUUACAUUCCUUUAUUUCAUAUGUAAGUUAUUUUACAUGCAUUAUUACAUAUAAAAUGUAGAUAAAUUAAUUUUCAAUCAAAUAACAUUCUUUUAUUUUGUAGGUAAAUUAUUUUGCAUGUAUUAUUACAUAACUGAGAUUAUUUUAUUACUAACACAAAUGUCCAAAUAAUUUACCUAUAUUUUUAUGUAAAUUACUUCGUAGUUCCCUUUCAGUUUUCAUUUAGUAAGAAAAUGACAAGAUUAAAUUAAAAUUGUCUAAUUUUAUGCAAAUUUGGAAAACAAUUACGAAAUCUUAAGGAAAGUAUAACAUUAAUGUUUAUUUAUUUAUUUUUUUAACAUACAAUUUGUUAUGAUAUAUUAAUAUGCAAUGAAUUUAAACAUUAAUGCAUUUUUUUCAUUAAUCCCUCCCUUCAAAUCUGCAUAGAAUUAAAAUGUAUAUAUUAAAAUUGUAAUUAGGGGUAUUUUAUUUAUAUUUUCGGAACAGUACUGUAAUACCGUGGUAAUAGUAUCUAUUACCAAUAACAUACCAUAAAAUUUCGGUACAGUACAAUACCGUACCAUUACCAAUUGGCACAAAAUCGGUAUGAUACGGUUGACAAUUCAAUUGGCACGACAAUUUGGCAAAAAAAAAUCCACCCCUACCCUCUCCUACAAAACAAACUCACAAUACCGACUCCAUUUGUAAUUCCAUCACUUAUUCGUCUAUCAAAAAAAGGAGUAAGUUCAGCCAAUCUUCUUAUACCUAGUACAUAAAAACCAUCUAUUUUUCCUUUUUCUAAGUUUCUAAGUGUGUUAUUGGAUUCCAGACUAGGUUUUGGGCUGAUGCUUGUUGCUUAUUUACUCUUUCUAUUUGGACCCUCUUGAAUUUGAAAUGCAUUCUCAUUGAAAAAAAAAAACAAAACAAAACAAAACAAAAGCAACUCCUGAAAAGAAAGGAACCUUGUAGCUGUUAAAAUCAAUAUAGAAAUGGCACUACACGCGUUACGACUACUAGGUUCAACGGCCCUUUGCAGUUAACGUUAACGUCCGGACCGAAGGUGGCGGCUUGGCCUCGUAAUCUCCCAAGGUAAAACAGUGAAAGCUACCCUUUACGACAUCGUAUAACCAGACUAUCCGCCCAAACAAACCGCGUAAAAUUCCACAGACGGAAAACGUUUAUUCGCUCUCCUCCUCCUCCACUUAACGUAGCCAACCAGGCAACCGUCCUUCCUCUUCCUCUCUCGCUCUCUGCGCCUGAAAUUCCUUCAAAACCUGUGCUUCAAUUCUUCCUCUCUUUUUUUCCGGAAAAUUCGUAAGGUACUGUUUUCUCAGAAACUUUUGAAUUUAUAUACUUUUUACGGAUUUAAUAUAUGAAAUUUGUAUAUCUGUUUGUUCUGUAUCAUUCGAAUUAGGUCGCUUCGAUAUGCAUUUUAAGUGUAAAUCGAUAUUAUAAAGGAUGAGGUGUAUUAGAUAGCUUUUACACGUAUUGGAUCUUUAAAAUUUGGGUAUAUCGCCGAAUUUUUGUAUAAUUUUAUCGAUCUCUGGAAAUUUAAUUAAAAAUUACUGUAAAUCAUAGUUUUAAUCAAUGUUUAAUGGGUUACCUUGAUCAGGUCCAAGAAUUCAAGAAUUUGAGCUGUUGUUGGAUUUAGUCCAGUUUUUCUAUAUUUCAAUUUUAAUUAAAUUUCUUGAUUUAUGCAUGUUUUGUCAAAUUUUUAAUUUGAAUAUUUAAAUAUAAAAAUUUAACCACUUUCAUGGAAAAUAAUUAAAAGAAAAUUUACAUGUCAUCAUUAGGGAUGGGUAACGGUUAUGGUGAGCGGGUAACCGCGGUUAUUUAUCCAUAAUCAUUUAUUCUCAUACCCGCAUAACCGUUUACCCGUUAGGUAAUUGUCUAAACGGUUAUACCCAUACCCAAAACCGUUUAUAAACGGUUAACCAUACUCAUAACCAUGUACUCAUUUAACCGUAACCGUUUAGUAUCCGUUUAGCCAUUUAUCAUUUUUAAACCCAUUUAUCCUUUCUUUUUUACCAUUUACUCAUUUUUCACCCAUCUAUGUGUUUUUUUAACAACUUGAAAAUUUAAAAAGAAAAAUUUGUCAUAAUUUUCUUUUUCUAACAAUUAAACACCGUUAUAUGUACAUUCAUCAUACAUUUCCGCAUUUUAUUUGAGUCCUUAUAUCAUUCCAAUAAUUGAAAUAAUAGUUUACAUACGAUAUUUUUAACUGUUAGCAAUAAAGGUAAUAUAAAAUUUGCUAAGUAUUAUUGAGUUACGAAAACUGUUAAAAGACAAUAUUCUUGGGUUAUUUAACUCGGAAUGUAAAAUAUUAACAUAAUAUAUAUAAUAGACCAUAAAAUUUAAAGUGGUUAAGGAAAACUAUAUUAUAUUAGCUAUAGAAAUCAUGCACUAUAGUCAAUAGCAUUGAUUUAAUUUUUGUCUGAUAGGAAACAUGGUUUGUGUUAUAAUUUUACAUAUAUAAAAUAAAUGGAUAAAUGGUUACCCGUUUAUAACCGCGGUUAAUACCCAUAACUGCCCAUUUAAAUUUUGCGGGUAAAUGGUUAUACCCAUAACCCUUUAUUAAUCUAAACGAUUACCCAUAACCGUAACCGUGAAAUUUAAAUGGACUAGUAUAACCAAUAGGUAUUUGCCCAUCCCUAAUCAUCAUAUAUAUAUCAUAGGUUGAUAAAAUACAUUUAACCUAUAAUAAAGAUAUAUAUGUACAAAGAUGAAUAAAAAUUCGUCUACCUAUCAUUCAUGAAAAAUAGGUCAAAAUUUUUUAAUCGUUGAUGCAUUAUAAAUGCAUACUAGUAUUUAUGCUGAUAUAUCUUCAUCAAAAAAAACAAAUAUAUAUAGUAUCUACAAGACCACAACAUAGAUUAGUUAACACAGAUAAUAUGUGAUGGAGUAGAAGAAAAAAAUGAGAUACAAAUUAGGUGCAAGAAAAAGGGGGAACAAUAUUUAAUUAUUAUAUUUAACUGUUAGCAAUGAAGGUAAUAUUGAAUUAAUAUAAAAGAUAAACCUAUAAAUAAAGAAUGACAACAACAACAAAGCUUUUUCCCACUAAGUGGAGUCGGCUAUGUGAAUCCUAGAACGCCAUUGCGCUUUCGUUCUUGAUUCAUUUUCAUAAGGAUUCGACAUAAACUAGGAGUGCCGGCUGUCGACUACCUGACACCCUCCCCCUCCUCCUUUAUCCGGGCUUGGGACUGGCAAUGUUAGAUAAACUUACACAGACGGAGUUACAAAUAAAGAAUGACAUUUAUCACAAUUUUUUAUAAUAAAAAAAAUUGAUGUGGAUGAUCAGUAAAUGUGCCUAACUCAACAAAAUAGACUAAACCUAAUAAUGACUCACAAAAUUGGAGUUAAAUUAAGUUACUCAUGAUUUUUAAUUGUCCCUUCUGCGUGCAAAGGAAUCAUUUAACUAGUCCUAAUUCAAAAUUAGUAUCGAAUUCGCAGGAAAGUGCCUACAAAUUGUAGUUCUAUAAUGUUAUUAUUUGCUUGUGUGUGCAUUUGAUAUAAAUUGUGUUUACUUACUUAGAGCAACUCCAGCCAUGGAGCCUUCCCCCCUGGCAAUCCACUAUUGAAUCCACCAUUUUGAACAGUAACUGCCUCAAAUGAAUAGUAACUGCCAUUAAUGAACAGUAAUUGUCAUUUGCAUCUCCACCCUUGGAGCCCUCCCCCCAGGCAAUAGGCAAUAAAAUAUUAGUUUUUUUGUUUGUUUAAAUAAUACAAAAUAAAAUUAUUUGUAAUUUCGGAUAAGAUUUUUUAAAUCAUUCUCGUUGCGCCACGUGUCAUUUUAUAAAAACAAACAAUUAUUUAGCGAUGGAUUUCGAUAAGAUUUUUAUCCAAUGUCAUCGUGCCACGUGUAGUUAUUUUUUGAAAAUCUAUGACGAUAGAUUUUGAUCAGAUUUUAAUAAUGAAAUUAGGUCACAAAUAAAUAAUAAUAAUGAAAUUAGGUCACAAAUAAAUAAUAAUAAUGAAAUUAGGUCACAAAUAAAUAAUACAAAUAAAUAAUAAUAAUAUAUUCUUACCUCAUCCGCAUAAUUUGCCCCACUUCGAACAUUAUUACUAGCUUGUGUCAAGGCAUCUCUCCACGUACUAAAGGAAUGGCUAAGUAUUUUCCAACGACUGGAUAUCGAUUCUUUGGUUCUUUUCCCACUCAUUUGCUCAACAAAUUUGGUAUGAAUUAAACUCCACAUUUCUCGCAAUUGCAUCUCAUUACCCGUAAGGGAAUUAUGAGUAACUUCAACCCAGCUAGUGCACAACGCAACAUCUUCAAGAAGCGACCAAUUCGAACCUGCAUCAGUAGCCAUUUUGUGGAAAAAAAUUGGAUUGAAACUUUGAGAGAAAGAUAGGAAUUUAAUUGAAAGUAGUUGAGAAAAUAUGAAAUUGUGGUGUAAGGUAGAUGGAGAAGAAGUGGUAUUUAUAGAAAAGUAAAAAAAAAAUUUUACAAUUUUUUUUUCAGAUUUUUUACAUCUUUUUCGGAUUUUUUACAUUUUUUUUAAAAUUUUUAUUCAAAUAAUUAAUCUCUGCCGUUGGAUUUAAAAAAUUUGAAUUCCAACACUCUAGAUUGUGCCACGUGUCACAACGGUAACUUUUCUUAAUUUUAAAACUAUUUUUUCUUUUUUUUUUAAAUUUAUAAAGCAGAUUAAUAUCAACCGUUGAUCUCAGAUCGAACGGUUGAUAUAAAAUCAGUUUUUUUUUUUUUUUGACCGUUGUAAAUCGGAUGGUUCUUAUUAAAGAUCCGUUGGGAUCUAAUGGACCGUGGGAAGCCACGUGGCUUCCCAAUGGUAACUGGCGCGCAGGCCAUACUGCCUGAAAUCCUGUCGGGCGACGCGCCCCCACUCGCGAGUGAGAGGCACGCGCCUGACACAAAAAAAAUUAAAAAAAAGGCCGGACCCAGCCCUUGCGUCAGCGUGACGUCACGCGAGCUCGGGGGCCAGGCCGGUCGAUUUUCCACGGGCCUCCCACUCGGGCCCGUCCCCGCUGGAGCUGCACCCACCGGCCCGAGGGCCCUUUCUCCUCCCCUGUGGCCCGAGCAACCAGCAUGGCUGGAACUGCUCUUAGGCUGCUUCAAUUUUAAUGUGUUGCAAUGGUCAUAGUUCGUUAUAUAGUUUGACGGUUCCUUUUUAUUACUUACUGCAGUUUAUUGAGGUUCUUUGUGUUCCCAAUCUGUUUGAUCCAAAUUGUGAGAGGGUACCGUAGUAGUACACGUAGCUGAUUGCUUUUUGCAUGCGUUUCUAUUGAUUGGAUGAAUAAAAAGCGGCAUGUUGCGAUAUUUACCACUGCAAGCCUUCCAUGGAUGACCGGCACUGCUGUCAACCCUCUAUUCCGUGCAGCCUAUCUUGCAAAAGAUGGGGAGAGACCUGUCUCUUUGGUCAUCCCUUGGUUAUCGUUGAAAGAUCAAAAACUAGUAUAUCCCAACAACAUCACAUUCAGCAGACCUACGGAGCAGGAGGCUUAUGUCCGUCGCUGGCUUGACGAGAGGAUUGGAUUUAAAUCUGAUUUUAGUAUACUUUUUUAUCCUGGAAAGGUACAUACACCUGCAGAUUUACUGUACACACAAACCAGUUUACUUGCUAGUCAAGGGUUUCAUUAUAUCAAAGGGAACAACUCUAUUUGCCUUUCAAGGGUAGGAUGCGUAGAGUGUCAUUUAUUUAAUUUCCGUUUUGGGUCUUUUCUGUUCUGUUCAGUCCAACAAAUUCUGAAUUUAACAACUUUUAGCCUAUCUGUUGAUGGAAGCCUGUGGCGUGAGUCCACCUGGUGGACAUCCAGGUUGAGCCAUAUCUACCCCUGUGCCCUAUCCAAUUUUUUCAUUUUUUCUUCCUUUCGUACCUUCAAGGAUGUGUGCUGUUUUUGUUUCCAUUCCUUGUGUAGUAGUACCAACUUGUGACGUCAAUUCUGUUGCAGUUUUCCUUAGAUAAAAGGAGCAUCCUUGCUGCUGGAGAUAUUUCAGAAGUAGUCCCUGACGAAAAUGCAGAUGUUGCCAUCCUUGAGGAGCCUGAGCACCUUACAUGGUUUCACCAUGGAAAGAGAUGGAAGAUUAAAUUCCGGCUGGUUGUGGGAAUCAUCCACACCAAUUAUUUGGAAUAUGUGAGAAGGGAGAGGAAUGGAAGAAUGCAAGCAUUUCUUCUUAAAUAUCUAAAUAAUUGGGUUGUCGGAAUAUAUUGUCAUAAGGUACAUCUUGAUAAAUAUUAGUUUUCUAGUAAUAUAUCUUUUGCUUUCCAUCACUUAUUUUAUCUAGCCUCUUCUAGCUUUUGCAUUAGACUUGGUGAAAUAUGCUCUUCGAGUUGUUACUGUAUGACAACAAAGCUGUACUGGUAGUUUGUUGGAUACUUUUGAUAACUCUUCUUAGGAUUGACGAUGAUGAAGUUUGAGAGAGAUGAAUGCAGAUAUCAUUGUCAUCAUCUUGCUAUACAUGCUAACCAGAUCUCAACUAUGACGUAUUGUAGGUAAUCCGGUUAUCUGCUGCCACCCAGGAUUAUCCUAAAUCCAUUGUUUGCAAUGUUCACGGAGUCAACCCAAAAUUUCUGGUGAUAGGCAACAAAAAGCUAGAGCAACAACGAAAUGGAGUCCAGGCCUUCACCAAAGGUGCCUAUUACAUUGGGAAGAUGGUAUGGAGCAAAGGCUACAAGGAGCUACUCAAGCUUCUUCAGGAUCAUCAAAAGGAAUUAACUGGACUUGAAGUUGAUUUAUAUGGAAGCGGGGAGGACUCUGAUCAGGUUCAGGAAGCUGCCAAAAGAUUGGAACUGGCCGUUCGAGUCCACCCUGGUCGUGACCAUGCUGAUCUUCAAUUUCACGAGUAAGCUUCUACCUAUCUGUCCAGCUUCAUCAUAAGAUCAAAUUCAUUUUGUCCAAAUUUUUAAUGACAUUCACUAAUUGUCCAACAUCGCAUUUCACCAAUCUUUUGAUGAUACACUGAUUUCUGUUUAUACAAGUACUCUAGUUUUCCGGGUGUUGAAAAUUCAAUUAGUCUCUAUCAUGGGCUGAUCAAGGGCAGUUUUAUUACCAAUUUGAACGUUUCUCCUUCCAAAUAUACCUCUGUCAUUUGAGAUUUUCUUUCAUAGAGAUGAUCGGCCUGGUUGGAUAUUGACAUAUUAUCCUGGUGCUCUCUCAGUUAUAAAGUAUUCCUCAAUCCAAGCACAACGGAUGUGCUUUGCACAACAACGGCAGAAGCAUUGGCAAUGGGUAAAAUCGUUGUAUGUGCCAAUCACCCCUCAAAUGAAUUCUUCAAGCAGUUCCCGAAUUGCCGCACAUAUGACAAUGCUGAUGGGUUUGUUAAGGUCACACAGCAGGCGCUUGCUGAAGAGCCUGUCCAGCUGACUGAUGCACAGAGGCAUGAGCUUUCAUGGGAAGCUGCCACGGAAAGAUUUCUACGGGUUGCUGAGCUAGACCAGGCAUUUACAUGGAAACCGUCAGAAAGUAUUUCGAAAAGAUUUAUGUCCACCUCAUUAGGCCUUUGGAGUAGUGUGGAGGAUGCAUCCGCAUAUGUGCAUCAUGUGGCUUCUGGUUUUGAAACAACAAGAAAGAUAUUCGGUGCAAUCCCGAAGAGUUUGCAACCAGAUGAGGAACAAUGUAAGGAGCUUGGGCUGGCCAUACCUGCAGGUAAACGAGGUUCACAAAAAUAAUGUCGUCCCUUGUUUGUAUGAUAACAUUAUUCGGGACUCGGGAGUAUCUUCAUUAUCAAUUUCAGGACAUGCUUGCUUGGCUAUUGAGGUAUCCAAAUCAAAAUGUGUAAAUUGUUCCAUUUUUCCUGCUGCCUGAAGUUGAGAAUUGGGUGGGAAUCAAGGAAUAAUUUAUACGAAAGACACGAGUCGAAUAAUGUUCAUAUACAUUGUUGCCUGUAACAAUGUGUUCUACUGAGGGAGGGUAAAUUUGCAUUUGUAAUUAAAACCGCAAUUUACAUAUACAUUGUUGUGGAUUACCAUUUACAUUUAAUACAUGUCAUUACUUUGUAUUUUCCACCGCACUCAACUGUUUAUGCAUCAAAAUAAAUGCAGGUAUGUACUAGUGCUUGAAUGAAAAGCAACGUCGGAACGUACGGAUGCUUCUGAUGGUUUCAAUUCGUUUAAACUGGCGGGUUUUACUCAAGAUACAAAACUAAAAUGGACAAAAAUCGCAUAACCAACUACAAACCACACACCGCCUAAAUUAAGCAUGUCUCAAGCCAAAGCCUAACAAAUUUAAAACGUCGAUGUUACACGGGCUUACAUUUGGGUUUUUAUGACGACUGUUUGAUAUGUUUGAGGCAGCUGCGCACAAUGUUGUAACAGCUGCUUGACAGUACAAAAUGCUUCAACAGUGGAACUUAAGAGCAGUUCUACCGUUGCUAGGCCACCCUGGUCAAUAGGCAACUCAAUCCCCUUAAAUGAACAGUAACUGUCUACCGUAAACACUAAUUGCUCAAGUGCAUCUCUACGUCUAAACUGAAUAGCCCACACAUUUCGUAUUAAAAUAUUAGUAUUUUUUAUUUUAUAAAAUAAUAAAAGAUAACUUUAUUUUUAAUUUCGGAUAGUAAUAAAAGAUUGGCUUAAAGUUUUUGAAAAUAUUGAAAUGUAGUGUAAAGUGAAAUAACAUGGUUAGGUAUUUAUAAUUUUUUUUAUAUAUUUUUAAUUAAUUUUUAAUGAUUUUUAUAAAUUUUAUAAAAUUUAUAAUAUAAAUUGUUGAUGACGUCAUCUUUGCAUAACAUAGCCUAGCCUAGGCCCUCAACCAGUGGAUUAUUGCCUGACUUCUCCAUUGGACUCCCCUUGAACCCAAUUGCCUGAGCGAGCUAGAGUGUUUUUGAGAAGUAGGAGUGGAUUGAGUUGCUUGCGGUGGAGUUACUCUAAUAGAUGCUUGAGUUGAGUAGGGACCUUAGUUGACAUGAUUUGUUUUCAUGCAACAACUUGGGGCAUAUUUACUUAUCAUGAAAAUGAAUGGAGAUAUGAAGAAUUGAGGAGGCGGUCUCCUCUCCUCACUGCCGCACAACACCUCUUUCUUAUAUUUUUAUUCUUCUUCCGUUUGAACUUAAAAUAAAAACACAAUCCCCGAGCUAAUUUAUUAUGACCCCAGUUAUAAAACUACAACUUUUUUAUAACUACAACUUUAGCUCCACCAUUGAAAAAAAAUUUAGUGAGCCGAAAACACGGUAAAUACACAAAAUGUCAUAAUACAAAUGGUUGAAAUUUUUUAUUUUUCAAAUAUUCAACUACUUGUAUUAUGACACAUUGUAUACCAAACCAUGUCCUAGCAAACUAAAAAAUCUCUCCCACAACUAACAAUGUGCAUUAACAAUUUGAGUAAUGCUAGGGAGAUUAAAUUUGUAGACAAAAUGGAAACUAAAGGACAUGGAAGUUGAUAAUUGAUUUAUUACUUGAGCGUUGAUAAACAUGCUCAUUCUUACUGCUGACACAUCAUUUAGUUUCCAAAUUUGGUCUCCCUUGUAUUACCCUAAGAAUUUCCGUUCUUGUGGGCCAUUCUUAGCUCAAUUAAAAGCGUAAAAGAGUUUCUUCAAACACCUUCCAUCACCCUGCAUCUUAACUAGUGUGUUUGGUUAAUUAAAAAACUAAAUCAAAAUGUGUUACACUAUUAACUACAUUGUAUUUGAUGCAUUUUCACUGUUUUUGUUUCAAUCGAAUAUGAAUUAUGCUUUCUCAAUUCAUCUCAAUUACGCUAACAAAAAUGUACGCUAAUAAGUAAAUUACAAGCUGAGGCAAUAGAUGACCAACAAAACCAAAAUUUACAUAAUGCAAGUGGAAAUGUAUUGACUUCACUUGGUCAUGUUUAGUCGUGGAAUUAUGGGAAUCGGACCUUCAAUUUGGUUCAAGAUCAAAUGUACUUUAAGGAAAUAUGCAAACUACUUUGUCAAAUUUGUAAAUAUUUCUCCAAAUUUUGUUGCGAGAAAGACUGGUAAAUGUUGUGUUAUGAGUGAAACUCCAAUACCAACUUGGAAGGAUGUUGGAUAUUCCAACAUCAUAAAUAUUAAGGCACAAAUCUUGUUUUACGGGUCAUGUCGUGCUAUUAUGGGAUUAGAUUGUACCGUGCUUUUUUUAAAUAAAUCUUGCUUUGUGUCAGGCUUAGGGCGACUUGCCCGAUUAGUGACACGACCCCUAAAUGUGCUAGAGUUGUGGGCCGUGUUAUACUUAAUAAUUUGUCUAUUAUGGUUUCGUAGUAUUCCUCUUCACUUAUGUUAGGGGAUUUUUAGGUCGAGGUGGACUUGGGCUUUGAGAACGUCCUCUUGUCUCCCUUCGUUCGAUUUCAUACCAAGUCCCAGAAUAUCUCAAAAGAGUUAGCUUCUUUUAGGAAAUAUUUCAGUUAGAUCAAUGACUCGAAGAUAGCAUGAUUAAGCAAAUAUUGGCUUUCUCAAGUGAGGCAUGGUGUGAAAGGUAGAAGUUCAUCAGUUUACCAUGUUGAGAGAGAGAGAGAAGAGUUGGCAUGGUUGCGUGGUGUUUUCUGGUAGAUAAUCUGGGUUUCCUAGGGUGUUAAUAAGGUUUAAGAUGGCUGGAAUUUUUAGUGGAAAGUUGUGGGAAAUACUAAGGUUGCAUGGAUGAUGAUUCUUGAGGCUUAAAGGAUAUUUUUGGGCUAAUGGGGUUCUCUGGAUAUGUUUCCUGGGUGGUGCUUCUUGGUUCUGUCUCUAUUAUCCCUUCUUCUGCUUAAUGGCUCAUCCCUUCCUUUUGUAAGUGAAGGUUUUCUCUAGGUUUCAAAUGGAUCUCCAUUUUUGGCUUAGUUUUCCCCUUCCUUUCUCCUUAGCUCUCUUACUAUUUUCCCUUUGGUGUAAGUUAGCUAUACUGUUGAAAUUUGCAUUCUGUUUUUUCCGGAGGCACGGCUUUCCCAGGCCAGCAUUCCACAGACACUACUUUAGGUAGCGCGCCUCAUGGCUUUCGUACAUUGGUUCUCUGUGCAAGCUAGGAAGGGAAAGUCUGCAUUAAAUGCCUAACUUGAUGGGCUUAGAGUGCAUUUAAUGCUGGAAUCUAGUUUAGUCCUAACGAAGAAGGUUGGCUUGCUAUGGAAAGAGGCAAACUAAGCUAGUUCUCUCUCAAACCUACCCACGUGGAAUACAAAGGUUAUGGGCUUGGACUUUAAGCUCCCAAGCAACCCAAAGUCUUCCACAAUCUUGACUCAACGUAGGCCCAAUAAACUUUUGUAACCAUCCACAUCACGAUUCACUUGACAAGCCCCGACCAUGUGACUUGGGCUUAUCUCAACAUGAAUAGUGAUUAGCAUGAUAAAUAGACAUGCGUGAUUUGGUCUAAUUACCAUAGCAUGACAUGUUUGUAAAUAUAUUUCUCCCUCAAUUUCGCAACUUUGCAUGUAUUUGGGCUUUAAUAAAGGCUUGCAUGACAAUUGGGCUUCAAGGCUUGAUUGGGCUUACGUGUGACAUUUAUGGGCCUCAACAACUUGCAAGUGAAAGGAUUUAGGUUAGAUUUUCGUCAAAGGAGAAUUUGAAUCAUAUUAUUACUAGCCCAUUCCCCUCCUAUUUAGUGUAAAAAAUAUGGUUUGUUUAGAAGAAAAGAAAUGUGAUAGAUCAGUCCGUUCCACUUAUUAAGUUGGUUAGCCGAACACUCGUGCUUUAAAUGGGUAAGGUUGGGUUGGACCGGUCCGUUUAACACCUCUACAUUCAAUGACUGCAACUUAAAACAACACCGUUUUACAAAGUGUGGCCCCACGCACUUUCCCUGAUGCCUGUCCGACCUGACGGUGUCGUUUUUUCAUUUGUUUUGAUACAACACUGACCCAAUACUAUGGGUAAGGCUGGGUUGGGCCUGUUUGUUUAACACCUCUACAUCCAAUGACUACAACUUAAAAACAACACCGUUUUACAAAGUGUGGCCCCAUGCACCUUCCCUGAUGCCAGUUCGACCUGACGGUGUUGUUUUUUCGUUUAUUUUGAUACAACAUCGACCCAAUACAAUGGGUAAGGUUGGGUUGGGCCGGUCCGUUUAACACGUCUACAUCCAAUGACUGCAGCUUAAAAACGACAUCAUUUUACAAAGUGUGGCCCCACGCACCUUCCCUGAUGCCACCUACUUUUGUGUGUCAAACCAAAACUCCUCUCCCCAUUCCACCAUGUUGUAAAAUUGACGGUGUGUGCAGUGGAAUAAAUGAAAUAAGACACAAAAUUUAUGAGGUUCCUCUACAGUCAGUGUGACUGGAGUAUGUCCUCGGGGUAGCAGUGGUGCUUUCAUUAAAAUUUAGAAUAAUAAGAGCACAUAAAUAACUCUCUCUAUUAUCUCCUAUCCUCUUCCUAUCUUUUCUCUCUUCCUCUUCUAUGAACUUCUCUCUUCCUUCAUCUCUCAUUCAUUUUAUAAGCAAAAAUAACACUAUUCACUUUACAAAUUUUCCACAAAUGAAUAGUGAAAAUAUUGUGCAUAAAUAGUAACUGACUAUUCAUGUGGGCCAUCCACAUAUUAUUCACAACACUCCCCCUUGGAUGGCCACAAGUCUUCAAUUGACUCGUUAAAAUCUUGAUCUGUUUUGGAUGCUCCCCCUGAUGAGUAUCUCCCUCUGAUUUCAAAUUAUUUAGGUUGAUCAUUGAUCAUUCUACUUCAGUAUUUUAGUAAGAAGAGUUGCCAAAAAAGGUGCUUUACUUGUUGUUAACUUUCCACAGGCUUGUUCUUGAACUGGGCUGGAGGGUCUUCUACUAGACUUCCUCUAAAGGUUUAAAUUUACUCCUUUUAUCUAGGGUUGAAUAUGAUUCAAGGGUAGUGGACACUUGAUCUAGAAUCGGACUUGUGAUUUCUUCAAGGACCUUAAAGGCUUGAUCUUGAAUGAAAUUGAACCAUGAGGAGCUUCACGUGGCAAGUGAUCUUCGGCUUUGUCGAGGAUGAAUCAGCACAUGUUUGUUGCGCUUGUCUCCACAUGCUUUAAUGUAUCAUUUUCACUUGCCUUAUCUGUUCCCCUUGCAUAAGUAGUAUUUUCCCUGGUUUUCCCCCAUGCAUGUGUGGCGUCUUCUCUUGUAGGAUUUGUCCACUGAUGCAGGAGUGGAAUGCAACCCUUGCAUUUGAAUGGUUCAUCACUUUUUGGUGACUCAUCCAUGUGUGGCAACUUUAAUGUAAAUAGCCAACAUCAUAUCAACAAUUGAAGAUGAGUACUCGAGAGCAAUGCAAGGUAAGUAACCAGGCAAAGGUUCCGGGCAGUGGGUUCAUUACCAGAAGUUUGAGUGGAGGUUCCGACAUAUUGCUUUCUUUAUCCUUGUCUUUGCAGGUAAGAACAAUGAUAAAGGAAAUGACAGGGAGAAAGCAUGAUAUGAGAUACUCUUGCUUGCGACCUUAAUGAUGUGAGAUACUCUUGCUUUAGUGUGACUUGUUUUGAAGAGGUAUUCUCGGAGAAGAAGAAAACUAAGUAUUUCGAGAUGCUGUGUUGAAGAUGCAUUCUCGGAGAUGAGGAAAAGUUAGGUAUUCUUGCAGGUCUGUCUUGUUAUGGAGAACAAAGGUCGACAUAUAUAGAGAUUUUUCAAUAGCAAAUAGUGGUGCUAUGCUUUUACUCUUAUCAGCAACUGUGGUGUAAUUAGAAUAGUAAGAUUUACGUGUUUUCAACUUCAUCAGAGAUCUUUGAUAAAGUUGCACGCGAUAUCCGAAAAAGCUGAGACUGUGUCUGAAAAAUGCCAACGAACUUUAUUAAGGAAAAUCUGGCUUUUAAAAUUCGAAGAGCGUUGCCUCUUUGAUCUCUGAACAAGUGGCUCUAUUGCCUCUUCUUUUAUAGAGACAUCAAUUGUGUUUAAGAGUAUGCUAAAAAAGUUGCUGCCUGUAGAAAAUUUCCUUUUCUUGCACUUCUAAGAUUUUAUUUGACCUCAUUUUCCCUUCAUCAUUUCUAAAAAUGGCUUGCCCAUCUAACAUUUGCUUAGAUUGAGUCUUAGGAGUGAUACAGACGAGAAUCGUCAGGAUAAUAUAUAGCGCUCGUCCUUCUUAUCUUCUGAUGGUCCUUUUACAGUUGGGGACUCUGUGAUGAAGAAUAACAUAAUUGAUAGCAAUUCUUUGCCAGUUUGGUACACCAUUUCCAUAAGUAGAGCACCAUGAAAUUAAAAAAGUACAAAGUACAAUAUUAGAAUUAAACUAGCAAAAAAAAAAAACAAUUAGAAUUAGACUAGCAAAUAAAUACAAUUAUAAUUAGAAUCAUACUUGGAUCAUAGUUGUCAUCAUUCUCAACACAUCCAAUCUCGGCCAAAUGUCUUCCAAAUCCAUGCUCUUUUUUCUUAUACUUCGGCAUCUCUAUAUUUAUCACUUUAUUUUGGACUUCAUAGUUCUCAGAGAAGAACUUCUCAACACAAUUAAAUAUGGUGUCAAUGACAAGUGGAUCAUGUUUAAUGCUUUGAUAUUUGAAUAAUAAUAAAGAUUCAAGAUGUAUGCUGCCAAAUGUAAUGGACCAUCAAGGUGGUCAUGAGCCUUUACGUCAAUAAUUUGUAUAAUUGGUCUAUAAUUGGCCUCAUUAUUUUUCAAUGCCUCAUUGAUCUCAUUCCUUGCUUUUUAUAGCUCUCCAUAUAAAAACCCCAUUGAUGACUUUUAUCCCCAUCCAUAAGUCGAAGCACCUUAAAUAAAGGUUCAAACAUUCUCAAGUAAAGUGAGACCGCAUUCCAAAAGUGUGAACUCACCAUGGUAAUUUAUGCAGCUUUCUCCUUUGUACUCUUGGAAUGUUUGCAUUGUUCCCAUUCAUCACUAGCAACCAUGAUCCUCAAGGUCUUUCUCUUAUCACUCAAGCUUUGCAAAGUUAGGAAAGAAGUUGCAAAUCUAGGGACUUCGGGCCUCACAAUGUCUCUUUUCUUCAUAUACUUUCUCAUUAGUGUCAAUGUUUUAUGAUGUGCAUAAAUGAAGAUCGUAAACGUCUUUGCUUUAUCAAUCACUCAUUUGAAUCUAGGUAGGUUACCAAUUCCUUUAAGCAUAAGGUUCACAGUGUGAGUUGCAUGGUGUCCAAAACAUGUUUGGCCUCUUUUCCAUCAUCAUCUCUGCCGCCACCAUAUUGUUAGAAGCAUUGUUGGUCACCACUUGAACUACAUUUAGUGGUCCAACAUCUUCGACACACUUGUCAACAUAUUCAAAUAUGUAGUUCCUAGUGUGCUUCACUAGAGGAUUCCCUGGAAGAAAGAAAUAUUGUGUUUUCUUUGCAAUUGACACAUAAAUUCAUUAUGCUUCUUCUUUUUUCGUUGCUCCAAGCGUUGGUUAUAAUUGAGCAACCAUUCAAAGCCCAUUCUUGUUCAUGCUUCAUUAGGGAUUGUUUUACUCUUUACCUUUUCUUUCAAUAAUGGCUCCCUUAAACCAUAUUGACAUGGAGGUUAAUAACCCAGGCCAAAUUGACCAACCCUUUCCACAAAGCGUUUGAAGCUAUCAUUGUCAAUAGCUUGAAAAGGAAUAUUGGCUUCGUAGACCCCAUUGAGCCAAAUAUUGAUCCACUUAAUGUGUUUAUCCUUCCAAAUUGCAUCAUGGGGAUUAUGUUAUCACUUACUCUUCCAUGAUUUUGAAGGAUCGAGAUUAGUGGUGGAUGCAACCUAUCCAUAGUCCCAAGAGUGCACGACCUUUUCCUUGAUCCACUAACUUCAAUGUUUUCAUCUUCUUCUUCAACAUGUGGAAGUUGAACCUCUUCCCUCACUUCCCCACUUCCCCACUUUCUCAUUAUGCUUAUUUCUUUCUUUCUUCUUCAUUUUUGCUUCUUCUAAAGUGGUUUUACAUUUUGCUUUAUCCUCAUCCGAAGACUUUGUGCACCCGGAUACAAUUCCCUUGAUGUUAGCUAUAGUUGUUUCAUUCUAAAAGCUCCACCACUGACUAUUUUAUUACACAACUUACAUUGCACCUUAUCCGAGUUUAAAGGAUCUAAUAACACUCCAUAUUCCCUGCCCACAUCGUUUGAAGCACGCUUUAAUGGAUUAUAUGAUUGGGAGCGACAUUGCAUUAGAUGCUCCAUAUGAUGUAGUGCCUGCCAAAAUUAAAAUUUCAUUAUCACAUUCAUUCACUAGAAUCACUACAAUUAAAAUUUCAUUAUCAAAUUCACUUAAACAUAUUUAUACUAUUUAAUAUUUAUACAAACAAAGUUACAAAUGUCAUAUCCCUACAAAAGGUGCACAGAAUCUACAGGUACUUCAAUACUUAAAUAAAUCCAUUAAUCAUUAUCAAAUGCAUAAAUAUCAUAUCCCUAAUACAAAUGAAGAUCAGAGUGAAGCCACCCACGGGAAUUCCUAAGCUUAUAUAAUGGCAAACCAUGAUGCCUUAUGUUGAUGCACAAAAUCAGUGGGGACUUUGGUACAACAGAAAGUGUCAAGUUUGUGACCUUCACUAAAUUGCUCCGGUCACUAGUGUGGAUAAGUAUGUAAAUAGAUAGGGAUAAGGAAGCAAACACAAGAUGUACGUGGUUCACCCAGAUUGGCUAUGUCUAUGGAGUAGAGGAGUUCUCAUUAAUUGUGAAGGGUUUACACAAGUACAUAUGUUCAAACUCUCCUUUUGUGAGUACUAGUGAAUGAUUUAGUACCAAUGACAUUUGGAAAUAUUGUGGGCGAAUGAUCUCCUUUUAUAGAAGAGAGUUUCUAGCUUUUUUUUUACAUUGACACGUGUCGUGUUGUGAUUGGCUUCUACUGUUGACACGUGUCACGCUAUGAUUGGCUUCUGAUGUCGACACGUGUCGCGCUAUGAUUUACCUCCUGGUUGGAGGGAAACUCUUUUAGGUCCUUGACGGUAUAACGUUGACCGGUGCUUAGUAGUUUCGGGAUUGGUCAAGUAUGGUACAAACAAUGCUCCCCUAAGUUCCCGAGUGAGGGAAGCUCCUCGGUUGGGGACUUGCAAGAUCCAAGUGGCUGAGUAAUCACUAAACUUCUAAGUACCGAAGUGUGGUAUCAUCUUCACUUGCCUUAUUUGUCUCAUAGGUAGAUGUGGCAUCUUCUUUGGAAGUACUUUUCCUCUAUCUAAGGGUGGUAUCUUUAACCGGUGGAGAUACAUAAGGUAAUGUAUCAAUUUGACUUGAAGCUUACUUGUAGUUUCAGGCUUGGUCAAGCGUGAUACAAACCAUGUAGUAUGAGUCCCCCAAGUCGCCGAGCUAGGAGAUUUGUCAAAAGAGGUGACAUACAAGGUAAGCAAUCAGAGCUCCCAGCAAUCAAUCCCAGAUCAGAAGUUUGAUUUUAAGUUCCGGCUGAUUGUUCUCAUUCUCCCUAUCUUGCAAGCAGCAGGAAGGAUAAAGAGAAGAAAAAGGAGAAUAGAUGAUAUGAGAUACUUUUGCUUUUGAAGAAGUAACUUUCCACAUGCUUAUUCUUGAACUGGGCUGGAGGGUUUUCUGGUUUCCUCCAGAGUAUAUGGUCGACUCAAGAAUUUGAGGGUCAAAACAAGUUCAUCAAAUCAAGAAUGCGUUCGACCUUGAUGAUAUGGGAUACUUUUGCUGUUGACAAAGUAAUAGAUGAAUCGGCACGUGUUCUUUUGCGCUUGUCUCCACAUGCUUCCGUGUAUCCUUCUCACUUGCCCUAUCUGUUCAUUAGGCAAAUGUGGUAUCUUUUCUGGAAGCAUAAGAUGUUGAAGAUGAGUACUCGAGAGCAAUGCCAGGUAAGUAAUCAGGCAAAAAGUUCCAAGUAGUUAGUUCCUGACUGGAAACUUGAUUCCAAGUGUUGACUGAUUGCUCUCUUUCUCCUUGUCUUGCAGGUAAGAACAAGGCCAAAGGACAAGACAGGGAAAAAGCAUGAUAUGGGAUACUCUUGCUUUUAACUCUAAUGAUAUGAGAUACUUUGGCUCUAGUGUGGCUUGUUUGCAGAGGUAUUAUCGGGGGGAAAAUAAGCUGAGUAUUUCAAGAGACUCUGCUGAGAGUGCCCUCUCAGAUGUGAAGAAAAGUUGAGUAUUUUUUUUAUUUGCAAGUUUGCUUGGCUGUGGAGGAUGAAGGUUGACAUAUAUAGGAAUUGUCCUAACAGUGAGUAGUAAUGUUGUUCCUUUACCUUUCUCGAUCAUAGCAAUGUAGUAAAAGCUACAAGAUUCACGUGUUUUAACUUUGUCAGAGCACUUUGAAAAAGUGGUCUGUGGUAUCUGGAAAGCUGAUGUUGCAUGUGAAGAUUGCAGAUAAGCUUUAUCCAAGGAAAUCUGGCUCUCGAAGUUCAAAGAGCGAUGCUUUUUUGAUUCUCGAACAAGCAAUCAUGUCGGAGACCUGGCUUUCGAGAUUCAGAGAAUGGCGCCUCUUCGAUUUUUGAAAAAGAAAUCAUGUUGGGAGUUUAGCUUUCGAGAUUCGGAGAGUGGUGCUUCUUCAAUUUUUUAGAAAACAAUCCUGUUGGGAGUCUGGCUCUUGAGAUUUGGAAAGCGGUGCCUCUUCGAUUUUUGAGAAAGCAAUCCUAUUGUGAGUCUGGCUCUCGAGAGUCAGAUAGCGGUGCCUCUUCAAUUUUUGAGAAAGCAAUCCUGGUGUGAGUUUGGCUCUCGAGAUUCGGGGAGCGGUGCCUCUUCGAUUUUUGAGCAAGUAAUCUUGUUGGAAGUGUUUUCUCGAUAUGAGUAAAGGUUGGGCAUUUUUGCCAGUCUGCCUUGCCACGAAACAUAGAGGUUGACACACACAAGGACUUUCCAGUUAUCAAGCAGUGGUGAUGUUCCUUUACCCUUGUAGGUAAUGGUAAGGUAGCUGGACCUUCAAAAUUUAUGUGUCUAAACUUUGUUAGAGAUCUUUGGAAAAGUUAUCUGUGGUACCCGAUGAGCUGAUGUUGCGUAUGGGGAUUAUCAACAUAUUUUACUCAGAAAAAUAUGCUUCUCGAAAUCCGGAGAAUGGUGCCUCUUCGAUUGUUGAACCAACGACCCUAUUGCCCUUUCUUUUAUAGAGGCACCAAUUGUGCAAGAAGUACGUUCAGAGAGUUAUUGCUUGCAGGAAUUUUCCCCUCAUUUUUGUACUUCAGAGAUUUAUUGCACCUCAUUUCUCCUUCAUCAUUUCUAAAAAUGUCUGGUACAUCCGACCGUCGUUUUGACUUGAACUUUGGUGAAGAGGCAACCAUGCCUUCUCAAGACAACAUAUGACGCCCAUCCUUCUUUUCCUCUACUGGUCCUCUUACCGUUGGGGACUCUGUGACGAAGAAUGAUAUGACUACUGCGUUGGUGGCCAAGAACCUUCUUACUCCCAAAGAUAACAGACUACUUUCCAAACAGUCUGAUGAGUUGGUUGUUAAAAAUUCUCUGGCUCUCAGUGUUCAGUGUGCAGGUUAUGUGUCUAAUAUGGCACAACGCCUAUUUGCUCGAACCCGUCAAGUUGAAUCAUUGGCGACUGAAGUGAUAAGUCUCAAACAGGAGAUCAGAGGGCUCAAGCAUGAGAAUAAACAGUUGCACAGGCUCGCACAUGACUAUGCUACAAACAUGAAGAGGAAGCUCGACUAGCUACAGGAAUCUGAUGAUCAGAUUUUACUUAAUCAUAAGAGGUUUGUGGGUUUGUUCCAAAGGCAUUUAUUGCCUUCGUCUUCUGGGGCUGUACCGCGUAAUGAAGCUCCAAAUGAUCAACCUUUGGUGCCUCCUCCUUCUGGGGUUCUGCCUAGUACUGAGGCUUCGAAUAAUCACCAUCUGGUGCCUCCUCUUUCUGGGGCUAUGCCGACCGCUGAGACUUCUCCUGAACAACCUUUGUGAAGGCUCCUUUUUGUUUGUUUGUUUUGAUUCAUGUAUAUGUACAUAUUUGUAACUUAUCGAAGAUAUCAAUAAACAAGUUUUGCUUCAUUUCAACGUAUUGUGUUAAAUACACCAAGGCCUUCUUCACUAAGUUCUUUGACUUUUUUCUUUUGUUAAAGCUUGUAUGUUGAAGCUUUGAGAGUGAAGCAUGUAUGUUGAGGUAGUGCUCCUUUAAUUUCCCAAGUGAGGAAAACUUCUCGGUUGGAGACUUAAAAAAUCCAAGUCAGUUACUGGUCGUGAGACUUCCGAGUAUCAAGGUGCAGUAGCAUAUGGUAGGAGUCCCCUAAGUCUCCGGUCGAAGAAGUUGACGAAUGAGGCAUUUCCUUUCUAAGUGAUAGCCCAAAACUCCUUCAUAUAUAUUUUUUAUGAAAGUUGUUAGGCCCAAAGAAGAGGAGGCCUAGGCAAUAUUUUUUGAAUUUUUUUUCGAAAUUUUGAAUUUCCAAAUUUUUGAAUUUUCGAAUGUCCGAAAAAAUAUAUAUAUAUAUAUAUAUAUAUAUAUAUAUUAAGCUUUGUAGGUGAAGCUUUGAGGUUGAAGCUUUGUUGGGUACCAUGAAUUGAUUUUGCUUCACACUAUCUUGAUCAAGAUAAUGUAAAGCUUUUGUAGGUGAAGCUUUUGUGUUGAAGCUUUGUGGGUGAAGCUUUUGUGGGUGAAGCUUUUGUGGUGGGUGAAGCUUUUGUUGGUGAAGCUUUUAUGGGUGAAGCUUUUGUAGGCGAAGCUUUUAUGGUGGGUGAAGCUCUUGUUGGUGAAGCUUUUGUGGGUGAAGAUUUUGUGGGUGAAACUUUUGUAGGUGAAGCUUUUGUUGGUGAAGCUUUUAUGGGUGAAGCUUUUGUAGGUGAAGCUUUUGUAGGUGAAGCUUUUGUGGUGGGUGAAGCUUCUGUGGGUGAAUCUUUUGUUGGUGAAGCUUUUAUGGGUGAAGCUUUAUUAGGUGAAGCUAUUGUGGGUGAAGCUUUUGUGUUGAAGCUUUGUAGGUGAAACUUUUGGUUGAAGCUUUUUGUGGUGAAGCUUUUGUGUUGAAGCUUUUGUAGGUGAAGCUUUGGAGUUGAAGCUUUAUAGGUGAAACUUUGGAGUUGAAGCUUUGUAGGUGAAGCUUUUGUUGGGUACCAUGAAUUGAUUUUGCUUCACACUAUCUUGAUCAAGAUAGUGUGAAGCUUUUGAGAAUUUGUAGUUGUCCUCUAUUGAUGAAGCUUCUGUUGGUGAAGCUUUGUUGGGUACCAUGACUUCAUUUUGCUUCACACUAUCUUGAUCAAGAUAGUGUGAAGCUUUUGAGAAUUUGUAGUUGUCCUCCACUGAUGAAGCUUUGUUGAAUUUCCUAAUUUCCCUUUUUUUUUUUUUGGAAACUAGAAAUUUGAAAAUGUGGGAGAGACAACAUAUACAAAUUUUUCUUCCACACUGUUAAGCAAGAGAUUGUGAUGCAAGCCACACCUUGUAGUAGUCGAAGGUUUGGAUGAACCAUAUAAAUUGAAUUUUCUUCGAACAGUCUUGAUCAAGAGUGUAAAGCUUUCUAUGAGUUGUAGUUGCCCUUCAUUGAUGAAGCUUUUGUUGGCACCAUAAAUUGGUUUUGCUUCACACUGUCUUGAUCAAGAGUGUGUGAAGCUUUUGAGAAUUGUGGUUGAACUCCUUUGAUGAAGCUCUUGUAGGCACCAUAAAUUGGUUUUGCUUCAUAUUGUCUUGAUCAAGAGUGUGUGAAGCUUUUGAGAAUUGUGGUUGCCCUUCAUUGAUGAAGCUCUUGUUGGCACCAUAAAUUGGUUUUGCUUCACACUAUCUUGAUCAAGAGUGUGUGAAGUUUUUGAGAAUUGUGGUUGCCCUCCAUUGAUGAAGCUCUUAUUGGCACCAUAAAUUGGUUUGGCUUCACAUUGUCUUGAUCAAGAGUGUAUGAAGCUUUUGAGAAUUGUGGUUGAACUCCUUUGAUGAAGCUCUUGUUGGCACCAUAAAUUGGUUUUGCUUUACACUGUCUUGAUCAAAAGUGUGUGAAGCUUUUGAGAAUUGUGGUUGAACUCCUUUAAUGAAGCUCUUGUUGACACCAUAAAUUGGUUUUGCUUCACACUAUCUUGAUUAAGAGUGUGUGAAGCUUUCUACGAGUUGUAAUGUUUGUAUUGUUACAGAAGAGAAAUGUCUGAAGCAUAUGCAAGAGGGCUGAAUAGCUUGAUCUUCGUAUGCCAUGCAUUGAAGUUGUUGUUGGCUUGCAAUAAGACUUUGUUGAUGACUAUAACCCUUGUUGGGCAUAAGUGCUCCCUUAGUUGAGUUAUCAAGCUUGAGGGUUUUUAAUUAUUUAUGAAUGCUAGGAGUUGACAUGUACAAGUUGUACCACUUGUCUUCUGGUAGGUGGAAUGAAUAGUGAGUUGCUUUCAUCACUUGGUUGGUGGUACGAAGGUGAGUUCCUUCAUCACUUUUCAUCACAUUUCAUCACCUGGUUGGUGGUCCUUCUUCACCUGGUUGGUGGCAUGAAUGGCAAGUUGCCAAAUGAUAUUAGAGUACGGGUUGUACAUUUCAUCACCUGGUUGGUGGCAUGAAGAUGAGUUCCUUCUUCACCUGGUUGGUGGCAUGAGUGGCAAGUUGCCAAAUGAUAUUAGAGUACGGGUUAUACAUUUCAUCACCUAGUUGGUGGCACGAAUGAGAGUACGAGUUGUACAUUUCAUCACCUGGUUGGUGGCAUGAAAAUGAGUUCAUUCUUCACUUGGUUGGUGGCAUGAGUGGCAAGUUGCCAAAUGAUAUUAGAGUACGGGUUGUACAUUUCAUCACCUAGUUGGUGGCAUAAAGGAAAGUGCGGGUUGUACAUUUUAUCACCUGGUUAGUGGCAUGAAGAUAAGUUCCUUCUUCACCUGGUUGGUCGCAUAAAUGGCAAGUUGCCAAAUGAUAUUAGAGUACGGGUUGUACAUUUCAUUACCUGGUUGGUGGCAUGAAGGAGAGUACAGGUUGUACAUUUCAUCACCUGGUUGGUGGUAUGAAUUCUUCACAUUUCAUCACUUGGUUGGUGAGAAUAAGGGCAAGGUGUCAAGGCACAUUGUAGCAAGUGUCGAAUGGCACAAAUUAUGUUGAACCCUUUCGAAGCACAGUUGGCUUAAGUAUAAAUGUGUUGGAAUGUAUGAUUGAACGAAUAUACUGUGAAGCUGUUCGUUUAUUUGUAUAGUCUUGUUGACAUAUACUUAGACUUUGUUUCAUGUUGGAAGCGUUCAUGUUGAAGUUUUGAACUCAAGUGUUUCAUUGCUAGGAAUGUAAGAGGAUUAAGACCAAGUUGUCUAAAUCACCUCUUUAUUGAAUUCAUGCCAAAUAGUCUUCGUUACAUAGGAUGCCGAAUGACUGAAGCUUAACACUUGUACAAUGUAAGUUUACUUGUAAUAGUACUUCAAGUGAUUAGCGUUCCAUGGAUGGCCAAAGGUCUUGCUAUCAGAGCUUCUAAGCUUGUAGGAGCCAGGGCGACUGAUGCUAACAACUUCAAAUGAUCCAUCCCAGUUUGGACUAAGUGUUCCUUCAUUUAGGACUCUGUCGCAGAGUAAUCUUUUCUUCAAUACCCAGUCCCCCACUUUGAAAGAACAAAACCUUUGAGUCAUAAUAGUUAGAGAUGCGCUGCUUGUAGGGGACAUUCCUCAAGUGAGUCUGGUUUCUGUGUUCCUCGACUAGAUCUAAGUUGAGGGUAAGUUGUUUGUCAUUUUCGCUUUGCACGUAGUUCUGGACUCGAAACGUUGCUUGCUUAAGCUUAACUGGGACAACUGCCUUUGUACCAAAGGCAAGUGAGAAUGGGGUUUCUCCUGUUAAUGUCCGAUACGAAGUACGGUAUAACCAAAGAACUUGGGGUACAAAUUCUGGCCAACAACCUUUAGCCUUGUCCAAGCUGGUUUUCAAAGUUCGCUUGAUUAUUUUGUUGAUGGCUUCGACUUGUCCAUUAGACUGAGGAUGAGCUGGGGAAGCAAAACAUAAGUUGAUGUUGAACUUCGAGCAAAACAUCCUGAACUUAUUAUUGUCGAACUGUUGCCCAUUGUCAGUGACUAUCGCAUUGGGAAUGCUGAAUCUACAAAGGAUGUUCUUCCAUACAAAGUCUUCUAUUUUUUCCUCAGUAAUGGUUGCCAAUGGUUCUACUUCAGACCAUUUUGUGAAGUAGUCAACUGCAACGAUGGCAUAGCAGACAUUACCCUUCCCUGCAGGCAUUGGGCCGAUCAAAUCAAGUCCCCAUUGGGCGAAGGGCCAAAGGAUGAUCAUAGGAGUGAGCGGCUCGGGAGAGGAGUAAGGAAUAGUUGCGUAGCAUUGACACUUAUUACAUGAGCGAGAUAUUCUGAUGGCAUCUUGGUGAAGUGUUGGCCAGUAAUAUCCUUGGCGAAAAGCCUUCUGUGCUAAAGAUCGAGAUCCAGCAUGAUCUCCGCAGACUCCUUCAUGUAUUUCUCGAAUGACAAUUUCCGCCUCUAUAGGUGUAAGGCAUCUUAGGUAUGGUAUGUUAAAAUCCCGCUUAUAGAGUUGGUCAUUAAUGAUCAAGUAACGGGUAGCCUUGUAUCGAAUACUUAGCUUAGACUUCAUCAUUUGGAAGGGUGCCAUAAACAAGGAAUCUAUAAAUCGAGGUAAUCCAACUAUCCCCCUGUUGUAAGUUGCACACUUCCGCAACCAUGGUGCUUGGUGUUGCCAACAAUUCGACCUAAAUUUUUCUCCCAAUCUUGUCUUCCACCGUUGAGGCGAGGCGAGCCAAAGCAUCUAUAUGACUGUUUGCCGCUCGAGGAAUUUGGGUGAUCUGGUAGUGGAAAUGUUUGAGCAACAAUUGUGUUUGUGCCAGAUAUGCUACUAUGGAGCUAUCCUUAGCGUCAAAGUUGUUGAUGACCUGGUUAACCACCAAUUGGAAGUCACUGAAGAUAUCAAUUCGUUUAACCCCAAGGUGUUUGGCCAAACGUAAGCCUACUAGGAGGGCUUCAUAUUCGACCUCAUUGUUCGACGCCUUGAAUUUGAAACGAAGAGCAUACUCCAUUGCCAUUUUGUUAAGGGUCGUAAAGACUAGUCCUGCUCUACAACCCUAUUGGUUGGACGAGCCAUCAACAUAUAGACUCCAUGCUAGGGCUGUUGGUUCUAUUUUCUAAGCUUCAGAGGGUAAUGAAACCACUUCUUUAGACGUAAAAACAAUGUCACAAGAUAUGUGAAGUCGGCGAUGAAGUUUACCACUGCUUGGCCCUUCUCAGCUGACUUUGGUUGGUAGGAGAUGUCAAACUCACCCAAUGUUAUCACCUAUUUUAUCAUUUGCCCUGAAGUGUCAAGACUUUGGAGUAUAUGUCGAAGAGGAUGAUUGGUAAGUAUGAUGAUGGAGUGUGCUUGGAAGUAAGGGCGAAGUUUUUUAGCAGACAUGACCAAUGCUAAAGCCAAUUUCUCAAUGUUGGAGUAUUGUGUCUCUGCAUCUUGUAAGGCCUUGUUAGUGUAGUAGACAUGUCAUUCGACAUUAACAUCAUUUCGAAUGAGAACAAAACUUACAGCUGAAGCCGAUACCGACAGAUAGAUCAUGAGAGUGUCACCAACCUCAGGUUUGGAGAGCAUAGGGGCUUUACUCAUGUAGUCUUUGAGGUUCUUGAAUACCUCAACACAUUCAUCAGUCCAUGUAAUGUACUUCUUACUUCCCUUAAGUGCUUUGAAGAAAUGAGCACAUCUGUCUGUGGCCUUAGAGAUGAACCUAGUUAAGGCUGCCACCUUACCAAUAAGGCUUUGAAUGUCUUUUGAAGUUACAGGUUUCUUCAUGUCGAGGAUUGCUUUGAUCUUCUCGAGAUUAGCCUCAAUGCCUCGUUGGCUUAUCAUGAAGCCUAAGAAUUUGCUAGAGCUUAUACCGAAGGCACAUUUGUUAGGGUUCAACCUUAUUCGAUACCUCUUCAGAAUGGUGAAAGUUUCAGAUAGGUUGGUGAUGUGUUGGUCAACAUGUUUGCUCUUAACUAGCAUAUCAUCAACGUAAACUUCCAUGCUCCUCCCAAUCUGUUCGGUGAACAUUGAAUUAACUAGUCUCUGAUAAGUCACUCAUGCAUUCUUUAGGCUGAAGGGCAUGACUUUAUAGCAAUAUAGUCUUCUGUCAGUAGUGAAGGCUAUGUGUUCUUGGUCUGGAGGGUUCAUGAGGAUUUGGUUGUAUCCUGAGUAAACAUCCAUGAAGCUCAGGAGUUCACACCCUGCCGUAAAGUCUAUAAGUCUAUCAAUGAGGGGAAGAGGGAAGCUAUUCUUCGGGUAUCCUUUAUUUACGUUGGUAUAGUUGACACACAUUCUCCACAAGACCUUUUGGAGCAUGAGACUUUCUUUGGUUGGAUUUUUCUUAACAAGGACCACAUUUGCUACCCAUGUUAGGUAAUUGACUUCGCGGACGAAGCCUAUGCCUUUGAGUUUUUCAACUUCUGCCUUCAUUGCUUCGUAUCGUUCAACGUCAUAAGAUCUUUACUUCUGUCUCGUCGACUUGGUCUUGGGGUCAAUACUCAAGCGAUGACAUAUAAUAUCGGGAGAGAUGCCUGACAUGUCCUCGUAUGACCAAGCGAAGACCUCAGUGUUCUCUUGCAAAAAAGAGAUCAAUGACAACCAAAUGGGUGGUGACAAGGUGGUGCCAAUCUUCACCAUGCGAUCUGGAUAAUCUUUUGAGAUAGAAACCUUCUCCAACUCUUCAAUAGGCUGUGCUUGCUGGAUGAAAGAGUUGUCUCAAGGAUCAUCAGGUUGACUGUUACCACCGUGAAGAUCCAAGUUAGCUUCGUCAGGGCUGGUCUUAUGACUUGGUCAUGUAUAGAAAGGGUUUCCUUAGGCACAGAUAGGUGUUGUUGCUUGAUUGAAGUGUUGUAACAUAACCGUGCACUAAGUUGAUCUCUUCUGAUAUGACCAUUGCCAUAGGGGGUUAGAAAUUUCAUCAAUAACAUAUGUGUGGAUACCAUGGCCUUAAGAUCAUUGAUGCCUGUGCGUCCAAAGAUGACAUUGUAUGUCGUUGGGCAAUCAACCACCAGGAGGUUAGUGGUAAUGGUAGUUGUGUAAGGGCCUGUACCAAUGGUGAAAGGUAAGUGUAUGCUCCCUAAAAGUUGCAUGAUAUCACUGGAGAAGCUUAUCAGAGGAGAAAUCGAGCGAUCGAGCAAGCGUUCAGGUACAUUAAGUGCCUUGAAAGCUUUAACAAAGAUGAUUUUGACCAGUGUCUACCAAGAUUAAUCGUACUUCAAAGUUGGCUAUGUGAGCUUCCACGAUCAAUGGGUCAUUGUGAGGGUAGAUGAUACCUCUUUCUUUCUCAGGGUAGAAACAUAUUGGAUCCCAGUUAGGCUUUUGACACUUGCCUCCCCUGAUGUCUUCCACGUGAAACACUUGGUGACCAGACCUUAAAGCUCGUUCGAUGUUUUUCAUGGCUCUGUUGGAAGAUUCAGAUAUGGGUGUGUCGUCGCUUAUGGAAUAUAUCACAUUCACUUGGCGUUGGUUACGGUUAUCCCUUGAAGGGUGAAGGAGGAAUUGAUCAAUUUUUCCUUCACGCGCCAAAGCUUCAAUAUGAUCACGAAGGGUGAUACACUUCUUGCCAUCAUGGCCGUUAUGCUCGUGGUAGCAGCAAAACGUGCUCGUGUUCUUCGUGCGCUUGUAGCCGGACUGCCUUGGCAUUGGCUUCGGUAUCAAGUGUGCUUUGCUAGGGUAAAUGGCCAUGCAUGUGGCGUUCAAAUGUGUGUAUGUCCCAUACCUCAGGGCAGGGCCUGUCUUGACACGUACUUGGCCCACUGUGUUGACUGCCUGGGGAUGGGCUUAUCGUGGUGAUACCCUUAGUUAUCGCGAUAGUGUCCCUUACUCCUUUUACUAAAAUGAGACUGGUGAGGAUGAAAAUAUUUCCUUUUGCCCUGAGAUUGGUAUGUUUGUUGACUUGGCAAAGUAUUAAGUAAGGCAGGGGGAGGCACCGCUGCCGUUUGAAAGGUUGAGGUAUUCUCAUUUGGGUGGGUCUGGCUUCUACUCCCUACUUGCUGAUAGGGGAUGGUUGUUGGGGGUUUCUUUUGGUAUGUCCUUGCCUCGACAAAGUCAUGGUUAUAAGCAUACGCCAUCACCUCAGAGUAAGUCUUCCAAGUGUUGGCAUUGAUCAUGUACUUAAAGAAACAGUCACGUAGGCCUGCCGUGAAGGCUUUGAAGGCAGUCUUGUCGUCUGCCUUGGCACAACGAGAAUGCUCAUGGCUGAAACGGUCAGUAUAUAUGUAAUGACUCAUCUGGCUUCUGGCGAAUAGUGUAUAAGUCAUCCGCAAAAUGCAAGCGAUCGGUCUAGAAAAUGUGUUGAGAACAAAUAGUUUCCUCAAUUCCUUAAAUGAGUCUACCGUCUCAGGUGGAAAACGGAAAUACCAGUUUAGAGCUUCAGGAAGAGAAGACAUCGCUCUUUGUCAGUGUGCAUCUGGUAUGCCAUGGUGGACUCAAAGAGGUUAAGGUGUUCAAUUUUCCAGUAUAGAGUUACAAGCCAAUCUUCUGCUUUGUCUUUGCUUAGAAGGGGUGUCGAAGAUCCUCCUUGUAAGAGGGCCAUGCCUAGGUUGGUUCCAAUCAGGUAUCUCAGCUUGUCAUUUGACUUUCAAUUUGUUUACUUCCUUAAGGAGCUGUAGGACAAGAGGGUUCUGAGUGGAGUCAUGUACCACUAGAGUUUUCUUUCGUAAAUCUCCAUAUCCUUUUGGAAGUAGGAAGGUUUGAUCAAGAGCAUGUGAUUUUUCCCUGGACUCGCCUACUGACUUCCAAGGUAUGUUUGUCGGAACAUCUCUAAGUCCUCUAUACCUUCGUGUUUCUCUAGGACUUGAUGCCCCUUCCCCAAAUUGAUAGUAAGCCUAGUACAUGGGAGGGGACCGAGUCUUUCAGAGACCCUUAGGUCAUUGAUCUUUGAGCUUACAUGGAUGGGAUUGUCUCGACGUUGCUUUAAGAAGUCUCGACAAUCGCGAAAGACGGCUUUCGAUCCUUCCACUCCUUUUGUAAAGAGGUGUUUUCCUCCACUCCUCCUGCUCUUGCUUCGGGUCGAAACAGUUGGGUUGAGAGAAGUUUCAUGUUGGUCGCCAGUUCGAUGAGUAGCUCACUCCUCAACAGGAAUACCCAUGUCGAGGGCAAAUAGCCCUUCGUGUUGAAGGGCACCCAGUUGAUGGUUGACUUCUACAGGGGUGGUGAGCUCGUGUGUUUUAGUAUAUCUAGCCUCGUGGAGCAUCUCGAAGACCUUCUCAUACUGCUCUUGGAGGAUCUCAUUCUUCAUCGCUAUCUUGUUGAUCUGAGCCUCCAGCUCAUCGACUUUAGCCUGAAUAGCAAACUUCUUUUGUUCUUUCUUUCGUUGCUUCGCACCAGGUGCGAGUGGGGUGUCGUUCUGUGUGUUGUGGCUUCCUUCGCUCCACAUGUUGGAGAAGAAUGCCUGGUCAAAAGAGAGUGUACGAAUUGUGGAAACCAGCUUAACAAAGCUGAAGAGAGUGAGAAUUCCCACAGACGGCGCCAAAUGUUGUUGCACAAAAUCAGUGGGGACUUUGGUACAACAGAAAGUGUUAAGUUUGUGACCUUCGCUAGAUUGCUCCGGUCACUAGUGUGGAUAAGUAUGUAAAUGGAUAGAGACAGGGAAGCAAACAUAAGAUAUACGUGGGUUCACCCAGAUUGGCUAUGUCCACGAAGUAGAUGAGUUCUCAUUAAUUGCAAAGGGUUUACACAAGUACAUAGGUUCAAGCUCUCCUUUUGUGAGUACCAGUGAAUGAUUUAGUACCAAUGACAUUCGAAAAUAUUGUGAGAGAAUGAUAUCCUUUUAUAGAAGAGAGUUUCUAGCUUUGUUUUGACAUUGACACGUGUCGUGUUGUGAUUGGCUUCUGAUGUUGACACGUGUUGCGCUAUGAUUGGCUUCUGAUGUCGACACGUGUAGCGCUAAUAGUGGCCUCUUGGUUGGAGGGAAACUCUUCUGGGUCCUUGACGGUAUAACAUUGAUCGGUGCUCAGUAGUUUGGGAUUGGUCAAGUAUGGUACAAACACCUUAUAUAAAUUGCCAAGUGCAAACUUAUAAAUUUUAUAGGCUUACUUUCCAUUUUUUCAUAAAAUAUUUCUUCUUUAUUUAUAUUUGAUAUGGAAACAGGGAUGAUUUUGAUAAACAGGGAUGCAAAAAAGAAUCAUUAUACAUAUACAAAUAAAGAGGGAAAAAGCUCUAUGAGAGAGGUUUUCAUUUGCCAUUCCUUUCUGUGUGAAUUCACGGAAUUAAAAUUGCCCAACUACCCCAAAAGCUUUCCCAAACCUCUGUGCUUUUCUUGCAAUUGAACUACCCCAAGAAGAAGUUUAAUACGAAUCACGAUGAAGGCUAAAAUGUUAAUUUGGCAAAUUCAUAACAAUUGGAAUAUAUAGUUGUUUGGACCCGAUUUUACAAUAUCGGCCCAAGCAAUCGAGGCCGUUGAGUGACCAUGGUUCUAGACCAUCGGAUAAGAAAGUUAAGAUAAUUUUGUUGUUGUUAAGAGAUAGUAUUAUGGCUUUAAUCAUAAUAAUUAUCUUUUAAUAAAUUAUCUUGAUUUUCUCGUACAAGAUAAAUGGAAUACAGAACAAGUCUACAAGAGAUUCACAUUCAUGUGUGAUAAGGAUGUGGAUAUUUUAAAUUAAACAUAGUUUUAUUUGGCUGGAUAAUUGCAUGAUAACCUCAUGCAAUUAUAUGGGUUUUGAUCCCGUCAAACAUGGAUGAUUUUUCGUGGACAUUUUAAAUAGGUACUCAUCCAAUUUAAGAUGAGGGCUGCUGGAAGAUUAAUCGGCGCAUGCAAACCACAUCAAAGAUCAAAUAUAAUCCUUCGAAGAUCAAGCCACGUCAAACACAUGGGAGAUUGAAAUUGGACUCUAUUCAAGGAUCAAGCCACGUCAAGCAUGCAUGUCUUUAUAAAUUGGAGUGGUUGUGCAACAACAAAAGGACUUCCAAUUCAACACACAACUGCCCUGCGCAAACUCUCUCAACAACUUUGAGAUUUUUUAUUUUCUCUUUUCGCUGACACAUCUUCCGUUGGCAUCAACAGCAUUGUGAAAGCAACCGGUGAUAUCUUCAGUCGGCAUAGAUAGCUCUGUCACUGUAGAAUCAGCCGAUCUCGCAGCAUCUUCCGUUGGCAUCAACAGCACUGCGGCGAGGAUGGUUGGUUAUUUAUCCAAGUCUCGGUCGAGAAGGAUUUCCAUAUCCUUAUUGGUCGAGGUCAUCUCAUUAGCCUUCUCGGCGAAGUAAGGUGGUACAGCCUACUGAGCUCGGCGCAUUGUACGUCGAGUUAUUUUAUGAUUGGAUACUCUCAAGUAGGAUUUAGAAUUCGGCAUUCAGACGGUCGAACCAUAUUCACUAUUAAGACUCAUAUCUGCUUUGAGUAUUUGUGCCCUUACACUUUGGUGUCGAUUCGGCGUGAGUUUACUCUGACGAAUACCAUCACUAUGACCGAAUCCAACGACGACGAUUCGUGAACUUCAUAAGAAUAGUAGCCUUGUCUUCAGGUUCGAGAACCCAAGAGGCCGAGACGUGUUCCUUUCUCGGUAGCAAUCGCAAGACGCAGAAGUCAGCCGUGCACCCAACGCAACAUCAACAAAUUUUACUCCUCGGCCAAGCUCGACCAACGAGUUGGCACGCCCCGCAUUCACCGAAGGACGUAGUUAGCUUAUAGAUUACUCGGCCUGCACGCCGCGUAGGCUUGGUAGUUUUUAGGGUCAACAUUUUGGCACGCCCAGUGGGACAUAAUGCUAAAACUAUGAAGUUCACAUGAUCUAACUCGAUCAGGCUUCAAAGGAUGAGUGUCAUCGCCUAUUAAAGAAGCAAAAACAACUUCUCGAGAGAUUGGGAAUAAUUUCUGAAAGGCAAGAGACCGGGGGGCAAAUUUCCACUCUGGCCACAACCAAUAUUCGGCCUAAGAAAAUUGUUAAUUUGGCCGAAGAACAAAGGCCACCUAUUUUUUCAGUCGAGACUGAAAGUGUGGUAGGCCUAGAAGAAAAAGUUCAAAUCUCUGAGUUACAAAUCAACUUGGAAAAUGAUUCGUCAGAGGAGUGUUCCAAUGACGAACAAGACCAAUACACAGCUUCAGACCAUAAAACCACAUCGAUUGAUAUGGUAAUUGGAGACAUGGUCUUAGACGUCGAGACUACGCCAAUUGACAUGAUUAUUGGUGAUAAAGCUGAUAUGGGGAAAUCCCGUUCGGCUAAGUUGUUCGAGUUAAACGCUGAAAUUGACGAAAUUGUUAUGCCUAGGGGGCAUAAUAAUUGUUCAACACAUUCGGCAGCCGAAAAUGAAAAAUAUUUCGCGGAGUCAAAGAUAUUUGGAGAAAAUUCUUUAUUCGGCCUAAAGCGAAUUCAAUUUGAAAAUUUUGUUAUUAUAAGAUCUUGGCUCGGAAUAAAGCAUCGUUGGCCUCCUCCUGUUUAUUGAUUCGGCCACUUUUCUUUUUGUUUAAAAAAAAAAGUGAAUAAAUUAUUUUCUUAAUCAUCUGGCUAAUUAGGUCGAUGCGUAAGAAAAUAAGGGGGGCAAAUGAACAUUUGGCAGCAUGUAUUACUUGUGUGGCAUCUGCCGCGUGGUUACGACCGAGAGUAAGUCUGCACGGCCUUAGAUCUUAAUGAGGUGAGACAAGGAAAUCUUGAGGAUACCCAAUCAAAGACCCAUGCUUCAAAGGUGAUGAAAGCCAGAACCUACCACCUACCAAAUUUCUUCUUAAACUUAAAAAGCAUCAAAUAAAUAAGGAUGUUAUUCGGUGGAGUUUGGGAAAAGCCAUUUGGCGGAUUUGAAUGAUUGACCAAGAUCUUUGGUUAAUAUGUUUGUAUACAAAUAGGUUAUCAGACAUAUUUGGAGUUUUGGUGAUAGGCUUCUUCGGUGGGGUUGUGGCACUUCUUGCAAGGCUAAAUUGGUCAAACAAAAAUAGUUUGUACUCACCAACUGCACCAGCAUGGUUUGAAAUUAUUGACUGCAAUUUUUCACUUGAUAAGAUGGAUGUGCACGACUGGGUUAUUACAUAAAUUAUCAAGUUCAACGACUUUGUAAGAGGUUAGUCAUUCUUGAUGUUUGUAUUCCGCCGGCUCUGUGGUGGUAAAAGUUUCAACCAUGUCUACUCGAUUGUUGGCAUUUCUUUGGUCGAAAGAUGCCAUGACCGAUUGGUGAAGUUGUUACAAAGCAGUGCAGAGUAUCAUUCUUGGUGGAAAACAAUGGUUUGCAGUUUAUUUGAAAGCAGAAACCAUUUGGUGAUCAUGGUUUUUUGAGCACCGCUUUAAGAAAAAAGCGCAGAUGGAAAUUCAUGCUCACUUUGAUUUCCUGACCGACAUUGGAACACUGACAUUUUACUAAUUGUUCUAGUAAGAGGCAUGUUAAUCGGUUGGGACGUGGGGUUCGGUGAAGCAGGGAGUCAGAAAAGAAUGAAAAAUGUGAUAAAGAUAUGCAUGGCCAACAACAUCAUUUGAAGCUUUGGUUUUAACAAAGCCAUUUGUUGGCAUUUGUUUGAAAUUGUUAAUCCAAGUGCGAACAUGUGAUUCCGCCGAAUGAUGGUUAUUCGGUGGUGGUUUUGAUGAUGUUAACUCGGCCCAAUAUUUCUCUACCUCGUCAUACUUUUUCUCAGCUUCGGCUCAUUUUUUCUCGACCCCAUAAAUUGUCAAUUUCGACCAUAUGAGUUAGAUGGUCGAAGUGGUUACAAGGUUAUUUAUUAAAGUUGCCGAGCCUUGUAUAGGAUUGUAGCAGCUGAGGUAGACCACAACGUUGCCGAGGAACUUACUUUCUUUUUCGGCGCUCGGCCCAAUUUUUCUCGACCUCGUCAUACUUUUUCUCGGCUUCGGCUCAUUUUUUCUCGACCCCAUAAAUUGUCAAUUUCGACCAUAUGAGUUAGAUGGUCGAAGUGGUUACAAGGUUAUUUAUUAAAGUUGCCGAGCCUUGUAUAGGAUUGUAGCAGCCGAGGUAGACCACAACGUUGCUGAGGAACUUACUUUCUUUUUCGGCGAUACGACGGCAUUUUUUUGGCUACGAACGAUUAAUUUCCUUAACCAUUCGGCUUACGAGCCGAAGUUCAAGGAAACUGGGGGGCAAUUAUUGGACCCGAUUUUACAAUAUCGGCCCGAGCAAUCGAGGCCGUUGAGUGAGCAUGGUUCUAAACCAUCGGAUAAGAAAGUUAAGAUCAUCUUGUUGUUGUUAAGAGAUAAUAUUAUGGCUUUAAUCAUAAUAAUUAUCUUUUAAUAAAUUAUCUUGAUUUUCUCGUACAAGAUAAAUGGAAUACAAAACAAGUCUACAAGAGAUUCACAUUCAUGUGUAUAAGGAUGUGGAUAUUUUAAAUUAAACAUAGUUUUAUUUGGCUGGAUAAUUGCAUGAUAACCUCAUGCAAUUAUAUGGGUUUUGAUCCCGUCAAACAUGGAUGAUUUUUCGUGGACAUUUUAAAUAGGUACUCAUCCAAUUUAAGAUGAGGGCUGCUGGAAGAUUAAUCGGCGCAUGCAAACCACAUCAAAGAUCAAAUAUAAUCCUUCGAAGAUCAAGCCAUGUCAAACACAUGGGAGAUUGAAAUUGGACUCUAUUCAAGGAUCAAGCCACGUCAAGCAUGCAUGUCUCUAUAAAUAGGAGUGGUUGUGCAACAAAAGGACUUCCAAUUCAACACACAACUGCCCUGCGCAAACUCUCUCAACAACUUUGAGAUUUUUUAUUUUCUCUUUUCGCUGACACAUCUUCCAUUGGCAUCAACAGCACUGUGAAAGCAACCGGUAAUAUCUUCAGUCGGCAUAGAUAGCUCUGUCACCGUAGAAUCAGUUGAUCUCGCAACAUCUUCCGUUGGCAUCAACAGCACUGCGGCGAGGACGAUUGGUUAUUUAUCCAAGUCUCGGUUGAGAAGGAUUUCCGGAUCCUUAUUGGUCGAGGUCAUCUUAUUAGCCUUCUCGGCGAAGUGAGGUGUUACAAGUUAUUACAUUCGGCACAUUGAAAACCGAAUUUGAUAUUGAACUUCGCAGAACUAGCAGCCUUGUUUUCAGGCUCUUGAACCCGAAGGCCGAGAGUGUUCCUUCCUCGGCCGCAGUCGCGAGAUUCAGAAGUCAGCAGCGCACCCAACGCAACAUCAACAAAUUUUACUCCUCGGCAUAGCUCGGCCGACGAGUUGGUACGCCCCGCACACAACCGAAUGACGUAGUUAGCUUACUAAUUACUCGGCCUGCGCGCCAUGUAGGCUUGGUAGUUUUUAGGGUCAACAAUAGUAUACAUAUAACAAAGAGAUGGUUUUUUCACACGAACCGAAUAAAGAGGACCGCAAGGCUUAGUUUCCAGUUUUUUCAUAAAUAAUUGAAAUUGUAUAGAAGUUAAUCAUCACAAUUGGCAUCAAUCGGAUGUACAACCAUUCAAAAAAUCAAAAUUUUGUACCAAAAAAAGGCCCUAGAUGGUGGAAAUGCAAACCUACAAGCUGGAGAUUUGAGAGCUUUUUCACCAUGGAAAUUUAGAAUUGCAGAUGCGGAUUGUAAGAUUUGUAUCUGUGAGAGAUGAUGGCCCAGAGAAGAAUUCAAGAGUCGAGAGACGAUGCCUAGCAAAGAAUUUGAGAUUAGAGAGUCGAGACGGCCAACAAGAGAGAAAUGUGUAGAACUGAGUUUGAUACUUUAGGAAAUUAGGUUAACAGGAUAAGACACAUGAACUUAAUUGAUUUAAAUAAUUUUUUAUUUUUUUUAAAAAAAAACCACUUAGCUCCGCUUAGGGCUGCCUAAAUGGCCACUUAGCUCCCGACCGAUUUUUUGAAAUGCUUUGCAUAAAAUCUCGACAGGCAUUCACUGCCCAGCACCUAGGUAGCACCUAGGCUGAUUUUAAACACUGGCUAUUAAGCAUAACCCUCGCCAAAUGAUCACCGAUACCAAAUUUUAUUAAAUGAUUCAACCUCCUUCACUAUCAUAGAAUGUCAUUGUGGUUGAUUUGAUUCAUCUCCCUUCGCCACUUGACGAAAAUCCUCAAACCCCUUGUUGCAUUCCUCCUCCAUUUCGACAUUUCUCUCUUGGGAAUGCUUGUACAACUCAAUAUGGUUGCGACGUUUUUGUGACAAUUCAAAAUUUAGGAAUGGGAUCCAUUCUCCAGAUGUGUUAGCCUUCAUUUUCUGCUUACUUGCAUGAUAGAGCAUUUCAUUGGGCUUACCGUUGAGGUCCACAAGCUCUUUUUCUUCCAUUAGUAGCUUAUGGUUCAAAUACUCGGCGACGCCCCUCUCGUAAUCAAGUCUCCCACAGACGUGAUAUAUAUUUUCCAGCGGUGUCUUUGAGUCGACAGAGCUAAACGAUGAUGUAUUAUUUACCUUGGGUGACCUCGGAAGUGGAGAAGGUUCCAUAUUGUACCACCCGUGGAACUUGGCUUUAAAACCCUCAAUUUCAUGUUUAGACUUGGACAUGUAUGUCUUGUGAAUUGUUUUGGCUAACUGAGAAGUGGAAUGCCUUUUUUGCUAUAGGGUUUAUGGGACCAUGAUUUUCCAAGGCUAGAGUAAGGCUAAUCCGAAUAUUGUAACCUUAGAAGUUCGGUCAUUGACUCACCAGCUUCGGGCGAAGCUGUAUCAGACGAAGCAGGGUGCCACCAUCACUUUACUCCAAGGUAAUAGGCGGAGUCUGCUGGAUGACCAUGCUUGUUCCACAAGACGCGCGAUCUGAUUCGGAUGUGGACACAAUCAAGUCUUAUAAGUCUUGGAGUCCCUACAAUCUAGAGAUAGGCGUACGCUGCAAGUAAUCACAAUUCCUAAGAGGAUGCAAUAUCUACUUGAUAGAUAUCCUCUAAGAUUCUCCUGGCCUAAAGCGAGGAUUCUAUCCUAGAAAUGUCUCAUUUCCACGGUAUAAAUACACACAUCUAGGGUUCAUCUAGGGUUUAUCUAUGGUAACACAAUCUAUGCACUUGAAUUCUCUUACCCACUACCUGAGCCUCAAAUCAUUCACAAACUUAACCGUUAGAGAGCCUUUGGUUGACACACCCCCUGGCUUAAGGUUUGUUCAUAGUUGUUUUACUAUUUUGCAGGUUGCUCAGGAUUAUGCAGAUUUGUACUCAACCACCCCCACAUAGGUGCACAAAUUUGGUUCCAAGAAUCCUCUCAGUCAAGGAAGAAAAUAUCGGUAAUAUCGGAAAUAUCGGUAGUUCGAAAACACGGAAAUAUCGAUGGAAAUAUCGGGAUAAUAUCGAUAUCGAUAAAAAUUACAUGGAAACCACGGAAAUUGUAAGAAAAACUUGGAAAUUUUUAAUGAAACUUUGCAGGAUGUUUAUUUAGUCAAUUAUCUAUUAGUUUAUCACAAAAAAUUGGAAGGAAAUGCAUUGCAUGAUGAAUUUAACUGAUUUAAGUUGAUUAUAUAGCGAGCUGGCAAACAUUGUGAGUUUAGAAAAUAUGUAGUAAUUAAUGAAAGAAGUUUAAACACACCAUAAUCAUUUAUAUAUAAUUAAUUAGUACAAUAUUGGGAGGUUUUAUUUAGGAUAUUAAAAAAAAAAAAAGGGAAGUGAAUAAAAUGAUGAAGAAUAAUGUGCCGAAUUUGACACUUUAAAUUUCUUACACAUAAGCAUGCGUCUAGGCGUUGAAGUUCCAAAUUAUAGUAUAUCAAUUAACGAUUGAAAAUCAAUACGUUGAAUAAGACUAAACUUUAAUUUGGAUGCUGAUUAUGUUUUUUCAAGUUUAUAUAAAGUAAAAGAAUUGAAUUUUGGAAGCCAGGAGUGUGUCAAUUGUUUUAUAAUUCGUCCGAAUACAUAUAUCAGGUUGCUACUCAACGUAAUUUGAAAGUAUAUCUAGUGCAAGGACUUGUCUUUUUUUGUUGAUAAGCAAAGGGUUUGUAGCUUUUUUUGAUAAGCAGUAGAACAUAUUAUGCUUGUUUAAUCUUUAGCAUUUGAUGGUUGUCCACAAAUAAAGACAAAACGUUUUGGUUUUCCGGCCAAACCACGGCGAGUUGGCCGGCGUGCAAGGUAUCAAUCUCUUCGUCUCGUCGAGUAGUACAACUUUCCUUUUUGUUUCACUCAAUUUCGUUGAGUAUUGAAAAAGUUAUACUCAUUUGAAUCUUACCCAUUUUCCGGCCAAAUCACGACGAGUCAGACGUCGUGUGAGGUACCAUUCUCUUCGUCUCUUCGAGGGCUACAACUUUCGUUUUUUCCUUGCUUGAUUUUGUUGAGUUUUGACAAAGUUAUGGCCGUUUAAAGUAGGUGUGGAUUUCCAGCCAAAAUUCCGAUUUUCUCUCCCAUUGGGUCGAGUCCCACAUCGCCCACGCGAGGGCAGUGAGCAAGCAAGAAGGCCUAUAAAAGCCACAUUCCCAAGCUGAGAAAAGCAUGUCUUGCUCAGCUUUGGGCUAUGAUCAAGUGUAGUAUGUGUUGAGAUUUCUCAGCAUUUUUAAGUAUUUUUGGAUAUUAUCGAUAAUUUCGAAAAUAUCGCGAUAUUAUCGAUAAUAUCGCGAUAUUUUGACGAAAACCCUUUGGAUAGUUAAAAAAAUAUCGGACCCCCAAAAAAAUAUCGCCGAUAUUAUCGAUUUUUUCUUCCUUGCUCUCAGUCAACAGAAGCCUUUUUAGACCCCUAGGAACCUAGAAUAUCAUGCAAUCAUGCAAAGUUCUCUCUCAUGCUAAACUGAUAAACUUUUAGUUUACACACUUGAGCAAGCCAUUAUUUACUUAAUCAUGUUAUCUUUGAGUCAUUGAUGUAACUGGAAUAUUUCCUAAUGAGUGUUAAUUCUUUCGAAAUAUUCCGAGACUUGGUACAAAAGUGAAUCAAGAGAAGCAAAAGAGUACUCACAAAGCCCGAGUCCACCUCGAACUAAAGUCCCCCAACAAAUAAAUUUAUAAAUUUGAUUUUUUUUUUCUUAAAUUGAAUUUGGACUGUUGGUGAACCAGCAGUCCAACCAUAUAAGUAAUCCAAUUAAUAAAAUAGUCAUUAGUCUUUCUGCAAGUGACUGGCAACGUUAACAAUUGGGUCCUAGCCAACAUUGGCUCAUUUUCUAUGCUAAAUUUGACAAAAAAUAAGUUUAAACCAAAUUGUUUUAUUAGCCCAAUAAUUGAAGAAGCUUGGACGAGUUCAAACUUAAAUUUUGAGUCUUAACUAUCCAUUUGGUGUUGGUGUGAACGUUUCUCCAAUUGUUAACAUGCAGUUGGUUCAAUAGUUACAGAGAGACAGGAGCAAUAGGACAAAAAUGGUGAAACCCUCCAUUGAAAUCACAGAGGACUUCGCUUCCGCAGCAAAAAUUGCAGACGACAUUCCUCGGGAAGACGUAAUCAGAGUUCUGAAUUUUCUACAAGGAGUUGGGAUCUCGGACCCCGUGCCAGAUGAGUUCGAUGCUAGAAAGGAUACCUACUCCGACAUCAUUCGUGACCUCCUGAAGCCCCUUCACAUAUCCCGUGGUCGUGUCACCUGCCUCGUAUCUGUGAAACCUGCUGUCACUGUAAUCUAUCUUCCCCUCUUUUGUUUCUAUUUUUUGUUUCAAUUUUUAGUUUUCAGUGGUUCUGUUUGGUUGCUCAGAAAAUUCUAGAAAUGGGUUAUUUAUUCCCAAAAGUGGGAAUAUUUGAGGGAUAGGAUUGGACCCUUUUGGGAUUUGUUUGAUUUGAAUUGGGUUUGAUUGUUUUUGGUAUCUGGGUUUGACUGAAUGGAGCUGUGUGCUUGUUUGGUUGCUGAGAAAAUUGUUGCUUGAUUUAAAAGGGUGUUUGUGUAACCAAACUAAUGAUCGGCUUAGAUCCAUUCUAUUAGCUUGUCUGAUUGAGACUUUGACCUAAAGCAAAGCAAAGAUACUUUGUUGAAUUCCGCCAAUUUGCUCACUAAUGUGCACUUGUAUUUCAAUUUGACGUCUAUUUCAAUUGUUCUUGUAUUUCGGGUUAAUUUUCUUCUCUUUUCGUUUGUUGUCUUUGAAACCUAACAAACGUAAUGAUGUUUUAUUGAUGAAUAUGCAGAAUUUCUAUUCCGGAUUUCAUGGAGGAGCAAUUGCUGCUGUUGCUGAGGCUGUGUCUGUAGCUUGUGCAAGAACCGUCGUGGCUAAUGAUAAGGAGCUUUUUCUGGGGGAACUGAGCGUUUCUUACCUCUCUAGUGCAACAAAGAAUGUAAGUCCCGUAGAAUUUACAUUUGUUUUUUUAUAAAUGGCGCUAUAUAAAGUUUGAUGCACAUGCCAAAAUAGAGUGGAAAUGAAUUCAAACUUUACUAUAGAUUAUUUAGCUGUCUUCGUUGGAGAUCGAAUGGUCUUCGGAGGCAUUUCAAAUGGUAAUUGUAUUGGUAUAGAAUGUCAAAGGAAGAAAUUAGGAUUUAGGAUCUUGUUGGCGCUUAAAACUUGUAAAUUGUGAGGAGGAUUUGUACCUUCUGUGUGCAAUUCCUUGAAUGUCAAGGGUCUGCCUUUUGUGCAUCUUGAUGCAGAGAACUUAUACUUCUGUCAUUCUUGAGUCGUUUCUUCUUUUUGUUAAUAAAAUCUCUUACUAAUUAAAAAAGAGGUUGCUCGCUGUACUUUGAAUCCACUUUCUGAAGAUGCCAAUGUGGAAUUGUGUUAUCACAGAUUGUGAUACCAACUGAAAUGGGCCAAAAAUUGGGAUAUACAGCCGGUGCUAAGUUUCCAAACCUUAAACGACAUAACGUGGCUGUAUCAUACUUGAUUGACUCAGGCUGAUAGUGGCUUUGAAACCCCCCCAAACUCUGUUUAGGUAUAGGUUCCAAGAAUAACUGCCCAAGUUGCACACAAUGCUCCCAGAUUUUGAUGAAACUAUUAAAAAAUUAAGCAGGUAUUCAAUUUGUUUUUGGACAUCGGUUAAGGUGCAAUCAGCUAACCACGACAUUCGUGCUGUUAUUCUUGCUGUUCAUUUCUUUCUGUUUUGAUUAUAGUUUGCGUUAUUCAUGCUGUUCAUUUCUUUCUGUUUCGAUUUUUACUUUACCUGACGGGACUUUUACAGGAAGAGGUGAUAGUUGACUCAUCUGUUGUUCGGAGUGGAAGAAAUCUGAGCGUGAUAGCUCUUGAAUUGAAACUCAAGAAAACCGGGCGCUUGGUUUACACUGCUCGUGCUACGUUCUACCAUACGCCUGUUGCAAAAUUAUGAUUCGCCUGUCAAAUAUCUCUCUAUUUGUUUACCCAAAUUUGUACCUCAUCGGCACAUUUCUAUUGCAUAUCUUGUCAAUUUUUAUGACUGUCUCCCAUGUCACAAUGUAUUGUGAUAAUAUGGACAUAAGAUCCGUAGAGAAUCUUCUUAUAUGUGAUUUUAACUGCGAAAUAGGUUAUCAUUUAAUAACAUUGGAGCUAAUUAUAUGUACGUUUAUGCAUACGAAAAUAACGUUCUCUACACGAGUUUCAUAUCCCCCAACUUUGUAUCUCUCUCCCCUCGCGCAAGGAAAGGUUGGGAGACGUGGGACGUGCAGCGGGGACACUACAGUUUACUGGUAUGUAAACAAUGUAUCUGUCAUUUCAAGCUUAUGGAUCUUAAUUCUGCAUUCCCUUGAAACAAAGUACAAAACUAAUGCAACCAACAAUUCCUGAGGACCUUCCUCAACAUCUCUGUAACCAAGUAACACUUGUACAAAUCCACAAAUCCUACGAGGGAGAGCUUCUUCCUUUACGAACCUCUUCAGCUGCCAGUCUUUGUUAUUUCUGCCACGGGCUUGCAGGCCAGGUCCAUCAAUCGACGUUUAUUUCAACGCGUGAAGCUCAAGAAAUCGUCCUCACUUAGGUAAGCAGCAGCAGAACCAGAAGAAGACAAUGCAUGGGCAAUUUUGACAUUCCGUAGUUUGAAUUUGGAACGGAAUGGGGAGCACUUGCAGGGGUGUAUACCGGUGUAUGUCAUGUCCAAAGACUAAAUAUUUGUCACCUAUUGCACCUUGGAGGCUGCCAUGUAAUCACUUACCUCCUGAUCGACGGGCUAUAUCAUCCAUACGAUGAGUCUGAAGACGACUUGGAGAAGAUGAAAGUGGUUAUCGUACAAUUUGUACAUUGAAGUUGAGACGGCUUAGUCUUCAAAUUAUCAAAUUAGUAUUCAAAGAGUUGCUUCCUCCUGUGAUAAUGGAAUACGAUGCUAAUCGGGGAUACUUUGCUGACUUGAUUGGAGCUUUUUAUGUUUAAUGCUGCUGCUGCUUUGGAGAGAAGUGAAAGGUUGAAUGCGGGAGACCAAUUCCUUAGUAGUUAAAGUCCCUGGACAAGCAUAGAGGGUCUUUGAACUUUUUGCACCAAAAUAAUGCACACUGAGUACUGACAAAACAUUGCAAGAGAAAUCAUGGCGGAAACCGCCCAGCGGCCUAAGGCUUGGCAAUUUUGCAUCAACUCUAAGCCUUAACUUCCAGCCUACAGCACCAAUAUGGCGGAAAAUAGCACUACUUCAUGACCAAUAAUAAUCGUGAUUGUCUGAAAAACCUAAUGUGUGAUUUUCAACUUGGAAGUUUCAUCCUAAGCACCGAUCUCAGUACACGGACAAAACACCGACCCUCCAGCACACACAUAUAUAUGGGGAUCCGGUAAUUCUCUACAAAACAACAACAACAACAACAAAGCCUUUUCCCACUAAGUGGGGUCGGCUAUAUGAAUCCUAGAACGCCAUUGCGCUCGGUUUUGUGUCAUGUCCUCCGUUAGAUCCAAGUACUCUAAGUCUUUUCUUAGAGUCUAUUCCAAAGUUUUCCUAGGUCUUCCUCUACCCCUUCGGCCCUGAACCUCUGUCCCGUAAUCACAUCUUCGAACCGGAGCGUCAGUCGGCCUUCUUUGCACAUGUCCAAAUCACCGGAGCCGAUUUUCUCUCAUCUUUCCUACAAUUUCGGCUACUCCUACUUUACCUCGGAUAUCCUCAUUCCCAAUCUUAUCCUUUCUCAUGUGCCCACACAUCCCACGAAGCAUCCUCAUCUCCGCUACACCCAUUUGUGUACGUGUUGAUGCUUCACCGCCCAACAUUCUGUGCCAUAUAACAUCGCUGACCUUAUUGUCGUCCUAUAAAAUUUUCCCUUGAGCUUCAGUGGCCUACGACGGUCACACAACACGCCGGAUGCACUCUUACACUUCAUCCAUCCAGCUCGUAUUCUAUGGUUGAGAUCUCCAUCUAAUUCUCCGUUCUCUUGCAAGAUAGAUCCUAGGUAGCGAAAACGGUCGCUUUUUGUGAUCUUCGCUAGAUUGCUCCGGUCAUUAGUGUGGAUAAGUAUAUAAAUGGAUAGAGAUAGGAAAGCAAACACAAGAUGUACGUGGUUUACCCAGAUUGGCUACGUCCACGGAAUAGAAGAGUUCUCAUUAAUUGUGAAGGGUUUACACAAGUACAUAGGUUCAAGCUCUCCUUUAGUGAGUACAAGUGAAUGAUUUAGUACAAAUGACAUUAGGAAAUAUUAUGGGAGAAUGAUCUCGUAAUCACGAAACUUCUAAGUAUCGGAGUGUGGUGUCGUCUUGACUUGCCUUAUCUGUCUCAUAGGUAGAUGUGGCAUCUUCUCUGGAAGUACUCUUCCUCCAUCCAGGGGUGGUAUCUUUAACUGGUGGAGAUGCACAAGGUAAUGUAUCAAUUUCACUUGAAGCUUACUUGUAGUUUCAGGCUUGGUCAAGCGCGAUACAAACCAUGUAGUAGGAGUCCCCCAAGUCGCCGAGCUAGGGGGUCUGCUGAAAGAGGUGACAGACAAGGUAAGCAAUCAGAGCUCCGACUGAUUGUUCACCUUCUCCCCAUCUUGCAGCAGCAUGAAGGAUAAAGAGAAGAAAAAUGAGAAGAGAUGAUAUGAGAUACUUUUGCUUUUGAAGAAGUAACUUUCCACAGGCUUAUUCUUGAACUGAGCUGGAGGGUUUUCUGGUUUCCUCCAAAGUAUAUAAGGCCGACUGAAGAAUUUGAGGGUCAAAACAAGUCCAUCAAAUCUAGAGUACGUUCCACCCUGCUGAUAUGGGAUACUUUUGCUUUUGACAGAGUAAUGGAUGUAUCGGCACGUGUGCUGUUACGCUUGUCUCCACAUGCUUCCUUGUAUCCUUCGCACUUGCCCUAUCUGUUCCUCAAGCAGAUGCGGAAUCUUCCCUGGAAACAUAAGAUGUUGAAGAUGAGUACUCGAGAGCAAUGCCAGGUAAGUAAUCAGGUACGGGGUUCCAGGCAGUCAGUUCCUGGCUGGAAGCUUGAUUCCAAGUGCUGACUGAUUGCUCUCUUUCUCCUUGUCUUGCAGGUAAAAACAAGGCCAAAGGAAAAGACAGGGAAAAAGCAUGAUAUGGGAUACUCUUGCUUUUAACCCUGAUGAUAUGAGAUAUUCUUGCUCUAGUAUAGCUUGUUUGCAGAGGUAUUAUCGGGGGGAAAGAAAGCUGAAUAUUUCGAAAGGCUUCGUUGGGAGUGCCCUCUCAGAUAUGAUGAAGGGUUGAGCAUUUUUGCAGGUCUGCCUGUCCUUUGGGGAUGGAGGUGCGACAUAUAUAGGAGUCUCCCUAACAACAAGUAGUAAUGUUAUUCCUUUACCCUGCUUGGUCAUAGCACGGUAGUGGGAGCUGCCAGUUUCACAUGUUUUAACUCUAUCAGAGCACUUUGAAAAAGUGGUCUGUGGUAUCUGGCUCUCGAGAUUCGGAGAACGAUGCCUCUUCGAUUUUUGAGAAAGCAAUCAUGCUGGGGGUCUGGCUCUCGAGAUUCGGAGAGCAGUGUCUCUUCGAUUUUUGAGGAAGUAAUCAUGUUGGGAGUCUGGCUCUCGAGAUUCGGAGGGCGGUGCCUCUUCGAUUUUGGAGCAAGCAAUCUUGUUGGGAGUGUUGUCUCGAAUGUGAGUAAAGGUUGGGCAUGUUUGCUAGUCUACCUUGCCACGAAGCACAAAGGUUGACACACAGGGACUUUCCAAUUAUCCAGCAAUGGUACUGUUCUUUUACCCUCUCUUCGAUUUUGAGAAAGUAGUCAUGUUGGGAGUCUGGCUCUCGAGAUUCGGAGGACGGUGCCUCUUCGAUUUUGGAGCAAGCAAUCUUGUUGGGAGUGUUUUCUCGAAUGUGAGUAAAGGUUGGGCAUGUUUGCUAGUCUACCUUACCACGAAGCACAGAGGUUGACACACAGGGACUUUCCAAUUAUCUAGUAGUGGUACUGUUCCUUUACCCUUGUAGGUAAUAAUAUGGUAGCUAGACCUUCAAAAUUUAUGUGUCUAAACUUUGUUAGUGCUGUUUCUUUGCUAUUCUUUUACCUUUCUUGGUCAGAGCGAUGUAGUGGGAGCUGCAAGCUUCACGUGCUGAAAUUUGGCAGAGAACUUUGGCAAAGUUAUCUGUGAUACCCAUGAGCUAGUGUUGCGUGUGGGAAGUGGGUGAUUGAACAGUAAGAUUGAUGUGCUUUCUACUUCACCAGAAGUCUUCGACAGAAUGCCCAUAAUUUCUGCAAAGCUGAGUGUGCGUGUGACAGGUGCUGACAAGGCUAGAAAAGUAGGUGCCUCUUCGAUUUCUGAGAUCGGCCCUCGUGGUCUCUGAGCAGCCCAGCUUUUGAGAAAAGCGAGCGCCUCUUCGAUUGAUUCGGAGAACGAUGCCUCAUCGAUUUUUGAGAAAGCAAUCAUGCUGGGGGUCUGGCUCUCGAAGAUUCGGGGAGCAGUGUCUCUUCGAUUUUUGAGAAAGUAAUCAUGUUGGGAGUCUGGCUCUCGAGAUUCGGAGGGCGGUGCCUCUUCGAUUUUGGAGCAAGCAAUCUUGUUGGGAGUGUUUUCUCAAAUGUGAGUAAAGGUUGGGCAUGUUUGCUAGUCUACCUUGCCACGAAGCACAGAGGUUGACACACAGGGACUUUCCAAUUAUCCAGCAAUGGUACUGUUCCUUUACCCUCUCUUCGAUUUUUAAGAAAGUAGUCAUGUUGGGAGUCUGGCUCUCGAGAUUCGGAAGACGGUGCCUCUUCGAUUUUGGAGCAAGCAAUCUUAUUGGGAGUGUUUUCUCGAAUGUGAGUAAAGGUUGGGCAUGUUUGCUAGUCUACCUUGCCACGAAGCACAGAGGUUGACACACAUGGACUUUCCAAUUAUCCAGCAGUGGUACUGUUCCUUUACCCUUGUGGGUAAUAAUAUGGUAGCUAGACCUUCAAAAUUUAUGGGUCUAAACUUUGUUAGUGCUGUUUUCUUUGCUAUUCUUUUACCCUUCUUGGUCAGAGCGAUGUAGUGGGAGCUGCAAGCUUCACAUGCUCAACUUUGGCAGAGAACUUUGGCAAAGUUAUCUGUGGUACCCAUGAGCUAUUGUUGCGUGUGGGAAGUGGGUGAUUGAACAGUAAGAUUCAUGUGUUUUCUACUUCCCCAGAAGUCUUCGACAUAAUGCCCAUAAUUUCCGCAAAGCUGAGUGUGCGUGUGACAGGUGCUGACAAGGCUGGAAAAGUAGGUGCCUCUUCGAUUUCUGAGAUCGGCCCUCGUGGUCUCUGGGGAGCCCAGCUUUUGAGAAAGCGAGCGCCUCUUCGAUUUCUGAGAUCGGCCUUCGUGGUCUUUGAGCAGCCCAACUUUUGAGAAAGCAAACGCCUCUUCGAUUUCUGAGAUCAACCCUCGUGAUCUCUAAGCAGCCCAGCUUUUGAGAAAGCAAACGCCUCUUCGAUUUCUAAGCAGGCGCCUCUUCGAUUUCUGAAGCUCCGUCGAGUGCAGAUUUUUAUAGGGGCUGACAUUAAGUUCCAAAGCACAUUUGAAUCUCCACCAGUAGAAGCUUCAUUCUUGCACUUCUAAGAUCUUGAUUUGUCCGACCUCUUCUCUCUUCAACACCUUUGAAAAUGUCUGGCCCCUCCGACCGUCGUUUUGACUUGAACCUUGUUGAAGAGGCAGCCCCGCCUUCUCCAGACAACAUAUGGCGCCCAUCCUUCGUCUCCCCUACUGGUCCUCUUACCGUUGGGGAUUCCGUGAUGAAGAAUGAUAUGACCGCUGCGGUGGUGGCCAGGAACCUUCUCACUCCCAAAGAUAACAGACUACUUUCCAAACGGUCUGAUGAGUUAGCUGUUAAGGAUUCGCUGGCUCUCAGUGUUCAGUGUGCAGGUUCUGUGUCUAAUAUGGCCCAACGCCUAUUUGCUCGAACCCGCCAAGUUGAAUCAUUGGCGGCUGAAGUGAUGAGUCUCAAACAGGAGAUUAGAGGGCUCAAGCAUGAGAAUAAACAGUUGCACCGGCUCGCACAUGACUAUGCUACAAACAUGAAGAGGAAGCUUGACCAGAUGAAGGAAACUGAUGGUCAGGUUUUACUUGAUCAUCAGAGAUUUGUGGGUUUGUUCCAAAGGCAUUUAUUGCCUUCGUCUUCUGGGGCUGUACCGCGUAAUGAAGCUCCAAAUGAUCAACCUCUGAUGCCUCCUCCUUCUAGGGUUCUGUCCAGUACUGAGGCUCCAAAUGAUCCCCCUUCGGUGCCUUCUCUUUCUGGGGCUCUACCGACUGCUGAGACUUCUCCUAAGCAACCUUUGUGAAGGCUCCCUCUUGUGUGUUUAUUUUGACUCAUGUAUAUGUACAUAUUUGUAGCUUAUCGGGGAUAUCAAUAAAUAAGCUUUCCUUCAUUUCAACGUACUGUGUUAAAUACACCAAAGCCUUCUUCGCUAAGUUCUUUGAAUUUUCUUUUGUUGAAGCUUGUAUGUUGAAGCUUUCUGAGUGGAGCAUGUAGGUUGGGGUAGUGUUUCCUUAAUUUUCCGAGUGAGGAAAACUUCUCGGUUGGAGACUUGGAAAAUCCAAGUCACUGAGUGGGAUCAGCUAUAUGAAUCUUAGAACGCCAUUGUGCUCGAUCCUGUGUCAUGUCCUUCGUUAGAUCCAAGUACUCUAAGUCUUUUCUUAGAGUCUCUUCCAAAGUUUUCCUAGGUCUUCCUCUACCCCUUCGGCCCUGAACCUCUGUCCCAUAGUCGCAUCUUCUAAUCGGAGCGUCAGUAGGCCUUCUUUGCACAUGUCCAAACCACCGUAACCGAUUUUCUCUCAUCUUUCCUUCAAUUUCGGCUACUCCUACUUUACCCCGGAUAUCCUCAUUCCUAAUCUUAUCCUUUCUCGUGUGCCCACACAUCCAACGAAGCAUCCUCAUCUCCGCUACACACCCAUUUUGUGUACGUGUUGAUGUUUUCACCGCCCAACAUUCUGUGCCAUACAGCAUCGUCGGCCUUAUUGCCGUCCUAUAAAAUUUUCCCUUGAGCUUCAAUGGCAUACGGCGGUCACAUAACAUGCCGGAUGCACUCUUCCACUUCAUCCAUCCAGCUUGUAUUCUAUGGUUGAGAUCUCCAUCUAAUUCUCCGUUCUUUUGCAAGAUAGAUCCUAGGUAACGAAAACGGUCGCUCUUUGGUAUUUCUUGAUCUCCGAUCCUCACCCCUAACUCGUUUUGGCCUCCAUUUGCACUGAACUUGCACUCCAUAUAUUCUGUCUUUGAUCGGCUUAGGCGAAGACCUUUAGAUUCCAACACUUCUCUCCAAAGGUUAAGCUUUGCAUUUACCCCUUCCUGAGUUUCAUCUAUCAACACUAUAUCGUCUGCGAAAAGCAUACACCAAGGAAUAUCAUCUUGAAUAUGUCCUGUUAACUCAUCCAUUACCAACGCAAAAAGGUAAGGACUUAAGGAUGAGCCUUGAUGUAAUCCUACAGUUAUGGGAAAGCUUUCGGUUUGUCCUUCAUGAGUUCUUACGGCAGUCUUUGCUCCUUCAUACAUAUCCUUUAUAGCUUGGAUAUAUGCUACUCGUACUCCUUUCUUCUCUAAAAUCCUCCAAAGAAUGUCUCUUGGGACCCUAUCAUACGCUUUUUCCAAAUCUAUAAAAACCAUGUGUAAAUCCUUUUUCCCAUCUCUAUAUAUCUUUCCAUCAAUCUUCGUAAGAGAUAGAUUGCCUCCAUGGUUGAGCGCGCCCUGGCAUGAACCCGAAUUGGUUGUCCGAAACCCGUGUCUCUUGCCUCAAUCUAUGCUCAAUGACUCUCUCCCAGAGCUUCAUUGAAUGACUCAUUAGCUUAAUACCCCUAUAGUUCAUGCAAUUUUGUACGUCACCCUUAUUCUUGUAGAUAGGCACCAAAGUGCUCGUUCGCCACUCAUUUGGCAUCUUCUUCGUUUUCAAAAUCCUAUUGAAAAGGUCAGUGAGCCAUGUUAUACCUGUCUCUCCCAAAAGUUUCCACACUUCGAUUGGUAUAUCGUCUGGGCCUAUUGCUUUUUUAUGCUUCAUCUUCUUCAAAGCUACAACCACUUCUUCCUUCCGGAUUCGACAAUAAAAAGAGUAGUUUCUACACUCUUCUGAGUUACUCAACUCCCCUAAAGAAGCACUCAUUUCAUGUCCUUCAUUGAAAAGAUUAUGAAAAUAACCUCUCCAUCUGUCUUUAACCGCGUUCUCUGUAGCAAGAACCUUUCCAUCCUCAUCCUUGAUGCACCUCACUUGGUUUAGGUCUCUUGUCUUCUUUUCCCUUGCUCUAGAUAGUUUAUAGAUAUCCAACUCUCCUUCUUUGGUAUCUAGUCGUUUAUACAUAUCGUCGUAAGCCGCUAACUUAGCUUCUCUGACAGCUUUCUUCGCCUCUUGCUUCGCUUUUCUAUACCUUUCACCAUUUUCAUCGGUCAUCUCCUUGUAUAAGGCUUUACAACAUUCCUUCUUAGCCUUCACCUUUGUUUUGUACCUCCUCAUUCCACCACCAAGAUUCCUUUUGGUGUGGGGCAAAGCCCUUGGACUCUCCUAAUACCUCUUUUGCUACUUUUCGGAUACAACUAGCCAUGGAAUCCCACAUUUGGCUAGCUUCCCCCUCUCUAUCCCACACACAUUGGGUGAUUACCUUCUCUUUGAAAAUGGCUUGUUUUUUUUCUUCUUUUAGAUUCCACCAUCUAGUCCUUGGGCACUUCCAAGUCUUGUUCUUUUGUCUUACUGUUUUGAUAUGUACAUCCAUCACCAACAAGCGAUGUUGAUUAGCCACGCUCUCUCCUGGUAUAACUUUGCAAUCCUUACAAGUUAUACGAUCCCCUUUCCUCAUUAGCAGAAAAUCUAUUUGUGUUUUUGACGACCCACUCUUGUAGGUGAUCACAUGUUCUUCUCUCUCUUCUUAAAGAAGGUGUUGGCUAAGAAGAGAUCAUAUGCCAUUGCAAAAUCCAAGAUAGCUUCCCCAUCCUCGUUUCUCUCCCCAAAACCAUGGCCACCAUGAAAACCUCCAUAGUUGCCUGUCUCCCUGCCCACGUGUCCAUUUAAAUCUCCUCCUAUAAAUAACUUCUCUGUCUGAGCAAUUCCUUGCACCAAGUCUCCAAGAUCUUCCCAAAAUUUCUCCUUCGAACUCGUAUCCAACCCUACUUGAGGUGCGUACGCACUAAUCACAUUGAUAAGUUCUUGUCCUAUUACAAUCUUGAUUGCCAUGAUUCUAUCUCCUACCCUCUUGACAUCUACAACAUCUUGUACCAAGGUCUUGUCCACGAUGAUGCCAACACCGUUUCUCGUUCUAUUUGUGCCCGAAUACCAAAGUUUAAACCCUGAGUUUUCUAGAUCAUUUGCCUUACUACCAACCCACUUAGUUUCUUGUAGGCACAUAAUAUUUAUCCUUCUCCUCACCAUAACUUCCACUACUUCCAUAGAUUUUCCCGUUAAGGUUCCUAUAUUCCACGUUCCUAAACGCAUUUUGCUCUCUUGAACUCUACCCUUAUGUCCUAGCUUCUUCACCCUCCCCCGUCUAAUAGGAUCAAAGUACUUCUUUUGUGUGUCCCGGGUAAAGUUGAUAGGAGCAUAUGCUCCCAAACAACUUUGAGUGGAGUCGUUCGAAAAGAAGUUUCUAUGGCCCCCUUGCUCAUUUAACACUGCAUCCGGGUGCCGAUGGAGAUACAGCGACCCUUGCUCACUUAUCACUGUGCUCGGGCCACACAGCGCGCCACUUACGGGUGACGCUCUAGCUUUAGCGCGAUUUUGUUCUGGAUUCAUUUUCAUAAGGAUUCGACGUGAUCAUGGAGUGCCGGCUGUCGACUACCUGACGCCAUCCCCCUCCUCCUUUAUCCGGGCUUGGGACCGGCCAUGUAAGACAUAGGCGGAGUUCCGGUAAUUCUCUACAAUGCGAGAAAAAACAUCUGAUUAAAAAUCCCUCACAUCUACUUGCCUUGAAAAAGAAACAUAACAUCUGAGAUCAGGAGAUUAUAGUCACUUGAUGUAUGAGACUUGCACACUCACCUACAUUCGGACUCUGAAAAUAUGGCAUUAACAAAGGCCUCUGGAUCAAACGGUUGGAGGUCUUCUACGCCUUCACCAACACCCACAAACUUUACAGGGAUGCCGAGCUCAUUCACCACACUGACCUAAAAUAAGAUACAACCUUAUAAUUAGUGAGGGCUGAAAAAGAGACUUAAGAAUUAAGCCUUGAAAAUAACAGAAGCUACGUCAAUAACUCAAUUCAAAAUUGAAAACUAUAUGGGACAGAAGAUUUGAACAUACCACACAGCCUCCUCUAGCAGAACCGUCAAGUUUUGUCAAAAUCAUACCAGUUAUACCAACAAUCUGUCACAAUAUGUACAAGGCAAACAAUCAAAACACAAAUGAGGUGGCACAAAGAAUUAUAGUACAGAUUAAGGGCAAGAUAUUCAAUCAAAUAUUGAUAGGAGCAUAUUUAUGCGACUUAGUUAGCUUGUUUUCUUGCACUUUUAUAGUUAGUUUGUGGUUAUUAUAGUGUUUUAAGCUAUUUUCGUGUUUUUGUAGGUCCUAAUGACAAAGUUAGCAAGAAAGUGCAUUUUGGUGCAUUUUGGAGCAGUUUUGGGCACUAAAUGGAUAGCACAUGUAUGGGCCAAGGUGGAUGGACGUUUUUGGAGUUCAAAAGGCUAAGAAUCUGAUAAGGAGAUGAAGAAAUUAAAUUCAAGACAAAGAAGAUAAGGAAUCAGCUCAAAAGAGGAAACAUUAUCCAAAACCUUAUCCAACCUUAUCUUAUCCAAACUAACCUUAUCUUAUCUUAUCCUAUCCUAAUUUUAUCAUGCCUUAAUCCUAGCUGCAAGGGGACCUAAAUAUAUAUUUCUAGAACCUAUUUCUAGAAGCAUUCUCUUUUAGAAGUCCUAAAUCAGCCACAAAACACAUUGUUUACAAAAGUGGCACCUAUUUCCUUCUAGAAGGCUUUUGCCUUGCCUUGCAAUCCACUCUCCUUUCCCUCCAAUGUGUGCCGCACAUUUCCUCACCCAAUUCCCCUUGGAUUCUGAUUAUAUUAGCCUUAUUCCUUGUGGAUUUGGGUUAUACAAAUCCUUUUCAGAAAUUAAUUGGGCGAAACCCUUUCCUCAGUGGAUUUCAUUAAUUGUGCCGAACCCUAGAGCCCUAAUCCUUAAAAUCUGCUAAGUUGUAACCCUAAUCUGAUUAACCCUAGCCUUGCCGUGCCUAUAUAUAUGUGUUUUACGCCAAAAUUCGUCACCACCCCUCAUACCAUUCAGAAACACUUUUGCCGCAACCAUAUACACCAUUCUACACCAUUCUACAUCAUUCUACACCAACAUACAUCUCUGCCGCACCUUUGGAGAGGAAGAAGAUCCUUGCCGUGCAUUCCAUUGAUGAAGGAGGACCUUGUGCACAAGCCAUUUGCAUCCUUGGGAGUUCUAAGAGUUCUUUCUUCCCUCGUUUUAGUUUCAAUGUUUAUUUCAAUUUGCUUUUCAAUUGCUAUGAACAUGUGUAACUAAAUUCUUAUUAGUUAGUGGUGAAUUCGAAGCCAUGGACAUAUGUUUAAUAUGAAUUAUUCCUUUCAGUUAUUGUUUCGUAAAACAUGAAUGUGAUUUACUUAUCUAUUUGAUUGAUAACCUAUUCUUGUGUGUUGAUUAAGGAGGCUUACUUAGUUUGCAUGCGUGAAUUUGAUGCUAAAUUAUAAAGGACUUUCACCUAAUCGUUAGGAACUUAUAAUUACAAGUAGUGGAGAUUGUUAGUCACAAUCGUGUUAAGUAGAUUCUUGGCAAAAGUAUCAUGCAGUUCAUAGUUAUAAUUGCCUUGUCAUUGCUUAUGAUUUCCAAGGAACUUAAUGAUCUUUGAAUGUAUCUCUAUCAUGCUGUUCAUAUAGGGAACUUGAUGAGAAUAAUUUGAUUGCGAUGCGUUGUCUAUUCAAUUCAAUGAAUUUACGGAAAUCUGAGAGUUAAUUUGUGCAUUCAUGAUUAAUUUGGGGCAUUGUCAUUCAUGGUUUAAAGAAACAAUACUGGAAAUCGAUUUAUGUUGCAUAUUUUCAUGUGUGAAGAAGGAUCCUCUAACUAGCCUUUCACCCUUGAAUUCAUCUCAAUUUCGUUUUAACUUACUUUGCUUUGCAAUUUGUUUAGUUUUACUUUAAUUUCGUCAAAAACAAUCCCCUCUUUCUAUUUAGUGUUUUUAGGUCAGAAUCUGUUCAAUUUAGGUUCUUUAGAGUGUUUUGAGUCAAUAUAGGUUAGAGUUAGUCCAUAAACAUUGUUUGAGUCUCAAUUUAGUCUUAAAUUCGUCCAAUUUACUCCCUAGAGUCUGUUUUAGUCUAAUUGUUAGUAUUGUGCUGUUUUGAGUCUUUUUAAGUGUGUUUUGAGUUAGUUAAGUCAUAAUCUGUUUUCUUUUAGUCUUUUGAGUCAAAUUGAGUUUUAUUUUCAUCCAAAUCAAUUGUUAGGUCUAGAAUUGAGUCAAUUUCAUCUAGUUUUGCUGAUUUGAGUGUUUUAGGUCAGUUUAGAGUCUACAGAGUCUAGUCUUGUGUUUUUAAGUCUAGUUUAGUGUUUUAGAGUUUAAAUUGAGUAGAUUAGCUAAUCCCCAGUUUAGAACGAUCCCUACUUACAUCUUUGCUACAAUUGUCAUCAAUAGGGUUUAAUUUGUGUGUCAAGUAAUUUUCACAUCAAAUAUCUAAGUUCUAUUCUAACUGACAAAACUGGAAUAUAACAUACUGCACCCAAAACACGAAAGGGAACAAACUUAAACACUCUUGUGACAAACUAGAUCAUGCGAAGAAUAAUCAACCAUCUUAAUUCAGAAGGUAAACGAUAAGAACAUUACUUCAUUGAAUUCUCUUGCUUGCGGAAGCAUGUCUAAGCCUGUGGUCCCAUCCAGAAUUUGUAGGAUCUCCUGCAUGUAUUAAAAGAAAUAUAGAUAGGCACAUAUAGAAAAAGGUGUCACAAGACAGAUUGUAUGGAUUUGGAGAAGUUACUAGAUAUCUCACAUAAUAAACUGGGCACAUACAAAUCAAAGAAUACACGGAUGGAUAUGGUAGUGGCAGGCAUGAAUAGAUAGAUUCACAAAUCAAAGAAAUGAAAGUAUAAAGUGUUAAUAAUAGCACAAGCGGGUUAUUUGAAAUGUGGCAUAAGCAGGUAAGAUUUUCAGAGGUACAGUUACAUAUCACUAAUAAACACUACGCAAAAGGUUUGAGAGCAUGACAAAGUAGUUAAAAGAUGUUCCUUGUUUUAAUCCAAUAAAAGGUCUCUGGUAAAUACAAUAUCUCUAACAUUUUCCUCAGCUAUCACUUUACCAGACUUGAUUUUACCUUUCACAGUAUCCUAUUCAUGGACCCAUAUUGAUUCCAAGGAUGCAACUGCAUCAUCUUGCAAGAACUAUUUUUCGACAUGAUACAUUAUCAAAGAACAUACUAUACUCAGAAUUAUUCUGUUCAAGGGGAAGUAUAUGCACUCACAUGCCUAGAUUUUUGAACUGGAUAAUAGAAAGAUGAUAAAAGUGUUCAACGGCAAAGCUUACAUUAGGAGCACCAGGCAUGACUUUGGUCACAGCUUUCUUGCAUGCAAUCAACUCUUCCAUCAAGCUGUAAUUAGUGUGCAGACCUGAAGUUAUAUACAUGAAGUGCAGAUGAAUCAGCUAAGCUCACAAAUUUACAUAAACAGUACAACAGACGUAUGAAAGGUUCUCGAACAAACUUACAUCCAGAGGUGUCGCAUAAGACAAUAUCAUACCCUUGUCAUUUCCCUCUCUUCACAGCCUGAGAAAUAACUAUUCAGAAAGCACUUUAAGACUAUAUGUCAGUAGUUAUACCAUGUCAACUGAAAAAGAAAAUAUAAUUUCAUCUGUCUGUUCAAUCCAAGUUGUCUACCUACCUGAUGGUGCUUUGGCCUUCUCUCUCUCAGCCACAACAAUCUCACACACAGUCCUCUCGGCCCAUAUCUCCAGCUGGUCACAUGCAGCUGCUCGAAAGGUAUCCCCUGCAGCCAUUAAUACCUGGCCAAUUUGAAACCACAAAGGGAUUUAGACCGCAAAGCCACUGAAAUAGGCAUAUUUACUCGCAAAGGACGAAGCCAACUCAUUGCAGCCAGGACAAUCAACAGAUGAAAAUGUCCACAUUUGCCCCUCCAUUCUUCAAUCUAUAAGCGAGCUUUCCUGCAUGAGGAAAGUUGAUCAGAUCAUUAUCAAUCUUAAUGGGUCCUCGAUCGCUUAAACCACAUAUAGCUGAAAGUAUAUUAAAGAAAACAGUCCCCAAAUGUUGGAUUUUGUAGUGAUGUGUCACUGACUCACUAUGAAGUUCGGAUUAAAGGUUUCUUAAACUUGAGUUCAUCUCCACUAAGUUUUCCCAAAUAUGCAUGCCGUCAGAGUAAAUAGGCUGGAAAUCAAAAUGUGUCUUAAGACAUGAGCAGAGAGCACAUGAUACGAGCGGAGUUCUUUUCUUACCAAGAGAUGUUGUUUUCCCGCCUCCAUUAACGCCAACAAUCAUAACCACAGCUGGUUUCCUGAUAACACAACAAAUAAUAACCACAAUUAAACUCUAAAGCUGGACACAACAUGUAAAACUCGAGAAAGCUCAUCACCUGUAUCCGAGUUGAAGUUCGGUUUUCCCUUUAAUAGUUAACAAAUCAAGCACACUCUUCUUCAACGCAUCCUACAAACAUCCCGAUCCCGAUACCACAUUAUUACAUUUUACCUGCAUACCAAUUAACUUAAGUUUAACAAGCGCUCCUUUCGAUUGCUCAACCAAAUUUAUAUACCUAACUCCUAUUCCUAUAUAAUCGGAAGAAUUUCGGUACUUUUCGGAGAGACAAUGUUAAUGUUCUUGCCAGCUGUUAGGAUUUCCCUUAAUUUCGCUUCCAGAUUUCAGCUUUCCAGCAACUAUAUCCUCCCUUAAACUCUCCACAAUUUUGAUCGUGAUUUUCGGCCCGAAAUCGGAUACCAGCAAAGCCUGAAACCGAAAAGAACAUACUUAAUACAUUUUCCCCUGAAAAUUGAGGGUAACUUUUUCCCGAGAAAUAAACAGGGAUAAAAAGAAAACCUCUUCGAGUUCGUCGAGGACUCGAUCGGUGUCGGCGAGGUUCCAGUACAGCAAGAGCUUGUCAACGACGGCGAGAUUAUCGCAAGUCUUUGAGAAUCCCGAGAAGAGUUUCUCCACGUCGCUGUUGGCCUUCUCCUUGAUAAGCCUGCCGAGCCAGGUGAAGAACCCGGUCUGCCCCCCCCCCCCCGGCAUUCGAACAGGAAAUGGUCCGGUCCGGUCGGGCAAAGGAGAAGGCGGUGGUGCUGAGGCGGUGAAGUUUUGGAGAUGAGUGAGAGACGAGGAGGGAGAGAGCACGGCAAAGGUGACGCCAUUGCUGUUGAGCUCUCGGAGCUGAGGUUGGAUUGUUUUUCGGAUCUCAGAUAAUGUGGUAAAUUUUGCAGUGGGUCUUCUCUUCUGAGUUGGCGCUUCCGGAAACGGCGUCGUGUUAGGCGGGAAAUAAUUUUAAAAUAUAUCAAAUUAAAUAAAGCAUGAAACCAAUUGUGGUAAAUGAAAAAAAAGAAAGAUAUGAAAGACCGAUCUGUGUUAACUUUGAACUUGAGAUGUUCGAUGAUUUGACUGAGAGUAAGAAUUCUAUGCCAAUUGAAAUAAGUUGUUAUGAAAAUAUUCAUAAUGAAAAUAAUGAAUUCAAAAUAAUGAUGCAGAUAUAAUUUGAAAAUAAGUUUUAUUCAAAAUGCAUAUUGGGACUUACAAUUGAUUUACUGAUGAUUGAGUCAGCAAAUAAGAAAGUGACUGAUGAAAAGGAUAUUGGUGCACGCAGGCAUCCUUGACAUUUGAAAAUUAAGGUGUUUACAAUUUUUGAUUUCUUGGAAUACGGUGUGAACUCAAAGAAAAUUUGAACUGAGGAAAUGUUGUGAAAAUUAACUUGUUUUUUCUUUCUUCGGAGUCUUCCUUUUAUAGACAAGGAAAAUGAGACUUGAAUGAUUGAUUUCUUCACUCUUGAAGCAUGAGAUGACUUGCUUUUACUAUUGAUGAAUAGUGAAUUUGUCAGAAUAAUUGUUGCUUUUACUGUGGAGCGUGCUGAGUGAUUUAUGCUGACAGAUUGAUUCCUUGCUUUGUCGGAAUAUUGGAUGCGAAUAAUGACUGAAUGCUUCACACGAUGAUUGACAUGGUGACUUAAUGCAUCCACAUGGCUUUACUUGUUGUUUCACAUGGUGCCUUGAAAUGAUGACUAAAAUUUUCACAUGGUGAUUAUCAUGGAGUUCACAUGACUUUAUGCAAAUGGGUCUUGAGAAUCCUGGUAGUCAGCCCAUUUGACUAUUUGGUUGUUUGGAUUGGCUGGUUGUUGAGAUGAUGAUCUGAAAACUUUGAGUCUGAAGCUUUAUCAUCUCCAGUGUGGAGUAUCGCUAAUUCGGCAAGUAAUUGAUGAGCUAGGCCUUGGAGCUGGGCAGCUUUGUCCUUGCUCUUUAUGCUUGUUGACUUGGAUGACUUGACUGUUCUUUUUAAGGAUGGGGAUGGACUAAUGUCCGAUAAUGAUUAUGCCGGAAUGACUAGCAACAAUAGCUGGGUUGGCAUGACUGGAAAUGAAGUAGUUGGAAAUUCAGAGAGGACCUGAUUGAUGACCCUUUGUUGAUUGAAUUUAUCCUACCACUUGACUGAUCUCACCCUAUAGACUUCACCAAUUUCAACUUCAUAAUUCCACUUUAAGAUCCAUGUGACUUUGUACUUAGCCAUGAAUAUUGGUAGAAGUGUAAUACUGUAGCUGAUUUUUCUUCUGUCGAAUUUUGACUAGAAAUUGGCGGAGAUUUUCUACAUAAGUUCUUCUGGUAAAAGACUGAUUGUUGAGUCAUGGAUUGACCACCAUUUUAGGAACCAUGCAUGAAACUUUAGCUUAAAAUUUUUGUCAAAAUUAAUGAAUCAUGAAUGACUGAAAUCUUCCGUCUGGUGAAGAAAGAUAUUAGUCUAGGCAUCAAUGUAAUUAAAAUAAUUGUAGUGAAUAUUGGGUAACUGGAUGUAUUGGGUGUGAAGGGUUUUACUUUUGGAAAGAAGUAUUCUUCAAUCUGACUCACUUAAAAAUCUAACAAUGCAAAGGGAAUGGUAUAGGAUUUUGUUUUCAUGGGUUUUACUGUAAAGUGGUUUGAUGGAAAUUGACUCGGUUUCCCUAAGAAUAGCUUGAUAGAAUUUCAAUGUUUUGUAUGACUCUGUGGGUCGAUAAUGGAAGUUGGGUGGAAAGACAUUUUUGACUAGUUUUUCUGGAGUUUGUUCAUUACUGAGAUUAAAAAGAACACUGAAAAGGUAUUCACUAGGAUUUUUUUUUACAUAUGGUUAUGUUUUGAUAUAGCUGAUUGGUUGGGAUGAAGAUAAUGAUGGGUUUGUUGGAGUUGAAUAUGGGUCAUAUUGAUUGACUAUGGCUGACUGGUAAUUGGGACGUGGUGAGUGGUAGUUUGGCUGAGGGUUUCCUAUUGUGGAACCUAAGGGAGUGAAACGGUUGGUUAUGGCUAGGGCUGAUGAAGAAUUUGGGUUUGAUUCUUGUUUUACUGGUGGUGGUGGUAGAGAGGCUGAAAGCCUUCUUCGAUCAAGUUUUUGUUCUACUAUUCUUUCCCGGCAGAAAUUCUUUGGUUAGGAAAUUAGGAAAGCAAUUUUGGCUACCUUAGAUGUAUUCAAUUUCAAAACAAAAAAAUACUUAAUAUAGUUUGCCAUCAUGCAAAAAUCUGUUUUGAUGCAAUGUUUUGAACAUAUGCUUUGCAGAUUUGCAAUUGACUUUGACUAAAAACUUUUGGUAUAAUAAAUCAUCUUGAAUUUACUAAUGCAUAAUACUAUAGAUAAUAUUUCUUUUUUAAUAGUACUAUAAUAACUUUGUGCGGAAUUUCAUACUCUUGAAUGGAAACGAACAAUUUGUGCAGAAGUUCUAGAAGAAGUUGAUUGUUUGAGAAUACCUCUAUAACCAAUUUCAGACACAUCAGAUUCAACAAUUUUGAAUGAAUUAGGAGUUGAAAUGCCAAGACAAGGCAAUGUCUUAACAUGUGACUUAAUCUGUUUGAUUAUGAAAGUAUGAGUAUUGGACCAUGGUGAAUGAUUUUCUUUAGAUGAUCAAACAAAGGUUUGCAUUGCUGCCUAAGGUGUGGAUAAAAAUCUGCAACAUAAUUUAAAGAUCCUAAAAAUCUUUGUAAUUGGGUUUUGUUAGUGAUUUCAUCUGGGAACUUAUCCAUAAAUUGAAUUACUCUAUCUAUUGGCUGAAUGGUUGACUGGUGGAUAUUGUAUCCUAAAAACCUAAUUUUGGUCUGGAAUAACUUAAUUUUGGUUGCUGAGACAACUAAUCCAUUUGACUUAAUUAUCCUAGCAAACAUAUUUAAGUGUUUCCAAUGCUCAUUUAUCGAUUUGGAAUAAAUGAGAACAUCAUCGAUGUAAACGAUUGAGAAAUGACUGUAUUGAUUAAAUAUUUCAUUCAUGAUAUUAUAAAACUCACUGGGUGCAUUCUUAAGAUCAAAUGACAUUACAUUCUAUUCAUAACCACCAAAAGGAGUGACAAAUGCUGUUUUAUAUUUAUCAUCCUCAUGAAUUUGAAUUUGCCAAAAUCCAAACUUCAUGUCAAACUUUGAGAAGAUUACUGCUUAAUUGAGUCUCUUAAUUAAAUCUCUUUUGUUAGGAAUUGGAUACCGUAUCCAUUCCAAGACUUCAUUAAGAGGUUUGUAAUUAAUGACUAACCUAGGCAUUCCUCUUUCUAAUUCAGCAUUUUUCUGGACAUAGAAAGCAGGGCAAGACCAUGGUGAUUUACUCUUUCUGAUUAUUCCUUUAUUGAGAAGUUCUUGAAUUUCUAUUUUGCAGAAUUCCAUAACUUCUUGACUCGUUUGAAUUGGCCUGGCUUUUGUUGGUAUUUUCUUCUUUCUGUGCCAGAAACCGUUAGGAAUGUCAGAACAAAUUUCAUUAACAAGUUUCUUUUGGAAGUUGUCAAUGUUUUGUAAUAAAGAUUUGUUUGUUAAUUGUUCUUCAAUUCUUUUGUAAUUAAUUUCUUCUUUUAAGAAAUUAAUUUGUUGUGAUUUUUUGGUAACUAGAUUGAUGGUUUUUGAAAUACUAUCUUUUUGUACUUGUCUUAAUUUCUUGAGAUCUGUUUCUGUGCAGAACUCAAAUGUGAUUUUUUUUGUCCUAGCAUUUUCGUGGUUAUGUGAUGUGGUGUACUUUGAAAGGAUAUAAUAGAGCUAUGAAGGGUAGCCCUAAGAUGACUAGAUCUGAUUUAUUUUUUAUCAGAACGAAUGGUGUUUUAAAGCAAACAUUGUUUUGACAAACAUGUGCUUUCGAAAUUUCAUAUUUUAACUACAUUGGUGAUUGGUUUGCUGCAUUAAGGAUUUCUGUUGAUUUAUGAAAAUAUUUAGUAGGAAUUAAAUCUUCAUGGAUACAAUUUAAAUCUGCACCUAAAUCAAUUAAGGCAAUUGUUUCUAAUUGGAAAUCUUCAAUUAUUAUUUUUACUUUAGAAUACCAUUUCUGGAUUCUAAUCUUUUGCAGUAAUCCUAAUACUAAGUUCUGUGUUGGAUUAUUUACGGACUUGGAUUCUAAUUCUUGAUCGGAUGAAGAAUUAUUUUGUUCUUCAUCUGUUGGGGAUUGGAUUUCAUUGUUCCCAAAAAAUUCUUGUGUUUGAAUGUUACAGAGAUGUGAACAAAUUUUUAGGUUUUCUGAUUUUAGAAACUUAAUUUCUUCUUUGAUGUUAUUGACGUCUCUUUGUAAAUCCUUGAUUGUAACUUCUUUCUUAGUUUUACUAAACCGUUCCAGGGUUGUACUAAGACAAAUUUUUGGAGUUAUAUGUGGUUGACUACUACUGACCUCUCCUUGGGAAACUAAUUUCUUAAGUUUUUUUAAGUAAAAUGAUUUUAACUUAGGGUCAUCUAUUUGACUGAUUAACUUGAUAAGAAGAUAUUCUUGUUUAUUGAGGACUGAAAUUCUUUUACAGCAAGUAUCCCUGCAUCUUAUCUUGAUGUUAGGGGAUGAAAGGCUACUGAAGGAGUGACUGGAAGAAGAUGAAUUAAACUCUAAAUCAUCUUCAGAUUGAUUAUGGUAUGUGUCUCUUAAUUCUAAGACUUGGAUUAACUGGACUUUCUCUUCUUCAGAGAUCUUAAACUAGUUGAUUGUUUUCUUGACUCUACAUUUGUUUGCAUAGUGACCGAAUUUGCCACAAUUGUAGCAAUUUACUUUUUGUUCUUGGUUUUUGGAGUGGAAUUUUCUUGAGGGCUUCCUCUUCCACUUUUUGCUGGACUUGGGUUUCUCAUAAAAAUUGUUUGUUUCAAAAUUCACAUUUUUUAAUUUGUAUUUAUUGUAUUUGGGGUUCCUCCUAUUUGGGUAUCUAUUGUAGGUUUUUGAUUUCUUCUUUUUGUUGGACGGAGCAAUUUGAGGUAAUCCAUAUUGUUUACAGAAUGUUCAUAAUUCGUAUUUGACUAUUGACUUGUCUUUGUUGACUUGUUUUAAUCAUUCCUUCUGGAUAAUAUUAAUGAUAUUUCCAUAAGUAAGUGUAUUAUAGGGUAUGAUACCUUCUUCAUUUACUAAAACUUGUCUGAUUUUAUGGGUAAACAAGUUUGGCAAGCCAUUAAUGAAUUUUUCUUUCCAAAAUGGUUGAUUACUGUCUUAUCUAAGUAUGACUCUAGACAUGAAAACAUCUUUGUACCAUCUAAAAUCGCUUAGGGUUGGACAUCUUAAGUUACUAAGUUGGUCAUGAAUUCUUGAGGUGACAUUAUUAGGUGUUCCUAUGAAAUGUUCUAUGAUUGUGAAAAGUAACGUGUUAACUGCGUCUGUGACUCCUAUUCCAAUUCGUUCAUCGAAAAUAGGUGUUCCUUCUUCGUCUUGUUUUACUGCAUUUCUAAUUUCAUUCUUAGAUUGUUCAGUGAGAUUUUUCUCCCAUCAGGAAUGAAGCAUUCUUGUAAAUCCAGUGACCAAAAGGUCGACAACUUGGGCAUGAUUGAGAUUAUGGUUGGUAACAUAACUAUUAGUAACCAUGGAGAUGUGUUGUAAUUUGUUUAAAAGUUCUUGUUUUGAUAACCCAUAUAUGUUCCAUUCAUAGAGUUGAUCAGCUGAGACUGAAAAUUGGUUAUGGAUGUUUCUUUCUUCAAAUUGAAUAUCCGAAGGUGUUGACCUUAGAUACUAAUUCUUGGUAAGAGUUGUUGGAUUGACUUUUUUUGUUUGUGAUUCGUUUUAGUUCAAGGUUCUGAAAAGCUUCUUCUACUUUUCUAAUUGAACUUGUUCACUCUUGUCAUUUGAAUUUCAUAUUACAGAAGUUGUUUCUAGUUGAGAUUCAUCUGGGUGUUGUAAGACAUUGAUUAUUUUUUCUUAUUUCAACUCUUGUAACAUUUGAUCUAUUUUCUGACUAGCGGAGAUCGUCUUUAAAGCUGUUGUGCUAGAUGAGGCUUCUGGGAAGUUGACUAAGGGUUUUUCUUUAAGGAAAACUAAUGAAAAGUCCAAAAAAACUUCUCUUUUAACGAAAAUCCAUUUUUAAAGGUUUAGUGAAUAGUGCCAAUUAAAGGUAAAAAUGUGGUUUUUCAUUAAAAGUAAACAGUACCGGGAGUGUUUUGUUAAAACUCUCUUUUCUUUAAUUGUUGGUUUGGGAUGUGAAAGUCUAUCUAUGUUGGUUUCUAUUUUAUCUAGCUAUUUUCCGAUGGUGUGUAGACUUUGGUUUGUGAAAUUGUUUAGUUCAAUGACUGGCUUAACUCCUGCAUCUUCUUUGAGAAGUUUGAAAGAAGUGGCUAGUAUUUGUGUGUUUGCAGUCGUAAUUAAAAUUGUUUCUUGUGGAGGGUGACUAGAAGAGACUAUGGUUUUAUCUUCUUUAAGCCAAUUUCUUUGGUGAUGACUUCUAACUUUUUUUCAGAUCGUAAUAUUUUUUCAACAAAAUCGAAAAAAAAUACUUCAAAUCUGUGUUUUUUCAUGAAAUUGGUCCAUUUAUUGUAAAUGCUCAAUUUUUGUUCUUUUGUAUAUUUUUCCCUAAAGGUGUUUCGUUUGGGAAUGUUUUCCGUUGCUUCGAUGUUAGCAUUGAGUUUUUUCCAUCGAAUUUUGAAUUGUUUAUUCAGGACUAGCAAUUGGUGAUUGACUUGAUUUGCUUCAAAAUCAGAUUCUGUUGGGGAGGUUUGUUCUUCUUGGUUCUGGGUGUUAGUUUGGUAUCGUGGAUGUGUAACUUGAAGGGUUGUUUCUACUGAUUUUAACUUCAUGUUGAUUAAAUCAUUAAUCAAUUCUUGCUGGGUGACUACUAAGCUAGUUUCUACUGAUUUUAAUUUCUUAUUAACCAGGGAAUUGAUUAGAUCUUGAUCUUGACCCACCAUAUCGGCUGAUAUGGAUCCAGAAAAAGAAUUACUAGUUGGUUCUCUAAACUUGCGUGAAUGGGCUAACUCAUGUAGGUGGAUGCUUAAUUUUCUGGCUAAAGGAUUGAAGUUGAUUUUAACUGUUCUGUCAAACUAUUGUUCUAUGUUGUCUAGGUUGACUAAGCUAUUUUGUAUGCUUAUUGGUUUACUUUCAUUGAUCAAGCACCAAUCUGAAGGUAGACUGAUAUCUGACCAUUUGAUGGUUCUGGGUAUUUUGAUGUUGGCAUUCUCUUGAUUGGUUCUCUAAAGAUUAAGGCUAAUGGUUGGAAUCAUUCAAGGACUUGAUACUCUGAAGUUUUGAUGUUUAAUGUGAGUGCUUUCAACAUAUGAGGAUCUAAAGGGCUUAUUGUGAGAUCUGAUAAGCAAUCAGAAUGAAUUGGUCCAUUGUAAAUGUUUGACUCGAUCAUUCCAAGAAUGCUAUCACUGAAGUCAGUGACUCUUGCAUCUCGGAGACAUAACAAAAUAGAGGUAUUGAGGCCUCUUCUUGUUAAAAGCUUGAUUGCAAUAUGAACUAGACCUAUUUGAAUGUAAUUGUGACCAUCUUUUCUAUGGGCUUUGAUUUGUUAUGGUGUGAAUAAUUGACAAGUAUCAUGUUCUUUACUGAGAGCAUAAGUUUUCUCGACUGUUUUAACAUGAUGUUCACUUCUGAAAGAAGUUACUGACCAUUUCUUUUUGUAAAUAUUUUUAUUGGAUAUUUUGAGGAUGUUCCAAUCUCCAAAAUCAACGCUUUCAUCUGUUUGAAAUUUUAAUUUUUGAUCCUCAUAUACUAUGUCUGGAAUCCUACUCAAAGUGGAUUUGGAGCUAAUGCUAGUAGUUGAAUUAGAUCUAAAUAAUCUACUCGUUGUUCAAAAAUCAAGUCUUGUAAUUACAAAAAUCUUACUGGUUUUACUUUCUUCGCGUAUUUGCUAAACUCUCUCUCUGCUCAUGCCAAUCCUAUGGACUUAUUGUUUGGAACAUGUCUUACUGUUUGGUUUGAGAGCAAACAAUCAUACUUAGAAAGCUAAUAGAUAGGAUCUACUGGAAUUAACAAAAACUAAUAGGUGAGCAAAUGAAUAAACUAUUAAGAUUACUGAUUCAAUCACCAAUCAUUUGGCUAUGAUACCAAAUGGGGUGGAACUGGGAGCAAAUGAGGCUCAUAUGUGGGAUUAAAUAAAGCAUGAAACCAAUUGUGAUAAAUGAAUAAAAAGAAAGAUAUGAAAGACUGAUAUGUGUUUACCUUGAACUUGAGAUAUUCGAUGAAUUGACUAAGAGUAAGAAUUCUGUGCCAAUUGAAAUCACUUGUUAUGAAAAUAUUCAUAAUGAAAAUAAUGAAUUCAAAAUAAUGAUGCAGAUAUAAUUUGAAAAUAAGUUUUAUUGCAAAACAUAUAUUGGGACUUACAAUUGAUUUACUGAUAAUUGAGUCAACAAAUAAGAAAGUGACUAAUGAAAAGGACAUUGAUGCAUGCAGACAUCAUUGACAUUUGAAAAUUAAGGUGUUUACAAUAUAUAUAAGAUGAACUCAAAGAAAAUUUGAACUAAGGAAAUGAUGCGAAAAUUAACUCUAUAUAUAUAUAUAUAUAUAUAUAUAUAUAUAUAUAUAUAUAUAUAUAUGGUUUUGGUCAUCGGUAAAAAAAAUUCUCCCAAGUCAUAAGCUUAGAUUAUAGUCUAAUUUAGUUAAAUAUACUAUAGUCUUGGAUAAUGGUUGAGUACAAAAUAAUAAAAUAUAUGGUGUAGCAUUAGAGCAAGUCUAAUGGAAAAGGCAAGGAUUACGGGCUAGAGGCUUUAUUUGGCCUUCCAAAAUGUCAUUAUUUAUGAAAUCUAGCCACUCAAAAUUUUGUUAUUCUAAUAGUGCAAGAGGCUAAGUUUUGUAAUUUUUUUUAAAAGUUGACCAUUUAAUAGUCAAAGAUAAACUCGCUCGUGAAGAGUCGUGGACUGUUUUAACCUAGACUAGACAUGUCUCUUUAAAAAUUGAAUUUUGUCUUUUGGUGCUAAAUAACACUUUCACCUAGAGUAGUUUGCAUGCAUUAGAUAUAAUCUUAGAAGCGUGAAAAAGAUGACGAUAAUUUCACUUUUCAAAUACUUGGUUGCAAGAAUGCUAGAUUAGAUUACCCAACAUAAUACCUUACUCAUAGAAACUUCAAUGUCAUUCCCCGCCAAUUUCCAGUCAACGUUUACAUACAUAAGAAGGGAGUUACUUCUCAAAUAUUUUACAAAACAAAUCAUGAAAAUUCAAUUCCAUGCAUGACUUGAGAAAAUUCUGUAACCACGCGACAUGUCACAAUGAAUUUCCUCCACAAUUAAUUGCAAGUUUCCAACUUUUAUUCACCGCGUAAUAAAUCAAGAAACAAGAGAUGUGUGAAUUUGUCUUUGACAGUACGAUAUGUAUUCCUACCAUGAAACUUGGUCGCUUGUCAGAGAUCUGCCAUAUACUGCAUUCAUUAACGUUUUACAUAUUGUUGAAUAUACAUUACAUUCUUAAUACACUUCAUAAUUGUUUUUUCACUUACGAUUUAUCUUUACACUCCACAUACUUUCCUAUAAUACCUUUAUAUUUCACACUCCCAAUAUACACCUUACGUUUUUUACACAUGCCCCACGUUUUUUACUUACACCUCACACUCUUCACAAUACUUUUUUUCUUUUUUUUUUCCCUUGUCUUUGAUAUGCACCGUUCGAUACAAAAUCAUUCAUGUCAUUCAAAGAUUUGCUCAACUUUUUUCUAACAAAUGAACAUUAAUGAGUGAGGGGGUGUAUCUCAAAAAUGACAAUUUAGAAAGUAUAAGAUGAUGAUGUGAGGACCUUAGGCUCCAUAUGUCAAUUUGAUCAUUUAGAUUGGUAUAUUAUUUUGGUAGUUAAAUAAUUAAAUUCGACAGUAUGAAGUAUUGCCCUUGGCUAGGAUGCACACGGAAUGAUUUUUUUUUUUUAUGCAUCGCAUAUCAUACUCAAACAUCACGCUGUGAUGUCACUUAGUACUACAAUCUGGUGGUGUUCAUCUUCACUUGUAAUUGAAAGGUCUUAGUUCGAAUCUCGUGGAUGACAAAUUCGAUACCAAAUUAGGUUAUCUAUUGUGUGAUUUAACCAAGCUCCCCCUCUCCUUGGUGUAAAAUAUAUUGGUCUAAUAAAAAUAAAUGAAAAAUUUCUGUGAUGGCAUUUUUCAUGUAGAAUUACAGUAGCGGUAUCGCUUUAUUGACCAAGGUAUUAAAAAUUCAUUUAAGUUUACAUGAACUGUUGGAGGGCAUGGCUAUAUUUGCAAAAAUUGUAAAGGCACAAAUGCAAUUUAGUAUUAUAUGAUCAUCAGAUUAUUAUUUGUUAAUACAUGGCUUUGAAAGAAAACAAGGAUUGUAAUCUAACACCAAUCAAGUUUAACCUUCCUCCACUUGUGAUGGUACAUUUUGAACAAGGUGGAGCUUCUGAAACGUCGAUUUCAAAUUUCAUUCAUCAAUUUUUUUUGGCAAAUUAACAUGUUUGUAGUUGUAUUGGUUAAAAUUUUGCUCUACAAUUAAGGGUGAGCAAGGCUGGCCCUGAGAACUAGGGGCCCCUAAAGUUCUCUAACUCUCGAUUCUUUGUAUAGUGAUAUGUACAAAAGAAUUUGCUAAAUAUAUAAAAAGGUAGAUAUACAAACAUUAUUUAAAUAUUACACGACUCAUGCUUUUAGACGCAAAUGUACUAAAUGCUUGAAGUCAAGAAACUAAGAUUGUGAGUGAAGAACAAUAAAACUUGAUAAUCAAGAGAGUAAAAAAUAAUAAAACUUGAUUGACGAGGAUAAUAAAUUCAACUACGCCAAUUGUUUCUCAUGUGCUUUUUUUCUUUCUAAAAUCAACAUCACACUAACAAAUCAAACAUUAAAAUAAUCCAUUGAAAAAUAAAAAUAUAAAUUCAAAGUUUUGAUUACCUUAAAUGCAAUCUUCAAAACAUGUGAUAGUUGAUUUAAACAUUCAAUAGAAAUUGAGAGAUUAAGAAGUUGAAAGAAAACAAAAUUGCAAAGGAACUUGAGUGUUAUAACUUUAUAUGCACUUGGAGAGAUGGAUUGGGAGUAAAUUUGAAAAAUAAGAAAAAACUAGUGACUUAAAAUGCACCUCUAUGUUUCGAACUCAACACCUCAAAGAAAAAAGAAGUCAAACAUUUCCACUGCACCAACAAAUAAAGUAUAAUAUAUCUUACUUUUAUGUAUUUAUAUUUAUUUACGGGAUUGUAUCCGUUUAUUGUAUAUCGUGCAACCAGUUUUCGUUAGGUACUGUUUGUGUUCAAUUUUAAAUAAAAAAAUUUAAAUAAUUUCUGACCGCACAAUAUACGAUGAACAAACAUGAUUAAAAGAUCAUUGGGAUCCUCAUUCUUUGAAGUGGGGGCUCUAAGGGGCAGGGCGCCUACAUGGUCAUGGACUACCCUUAGGGCCAGCCUUGGGUGAGAUUGAUUUAGAGAGUUGGGGAAGACAAAUAAUUUUGCGAUAUACGCGUUAAAGUGAUUUGGGUUUUAUUUAAAAUUUUAUUUUAUUUUUUAAAAACCUUAUAAAAUAUAAAUUGUCAUUGCAAUUAGGGUAGGUAAGUAAUUUAAUGUUGCAUGCUAAUAAAAACAAACUUUUUCCAAAACAUUAGCCCCGCAAUAAGAGGUGUGAAUCCGUUAAUUACAUGAAAGUUUCUACCCUGAAUAACUCAAAACCCCAUUUGAAGGGCCACAGUCAACUUGGAAAACCAAAGUCUACUUGGGCGCGUAUAUUUAGUUUAUUAGUCCAAUUUGAAAUCCACAGAAACCUGGUGGCUGUUUCUCUCUCUUUUCCCACAUCCUUCCCUCAACACUCCUAUAUAACCCCUCCCCACUCACACCUAUUUCCUCCCAUCGGCUCUCACAAUUCCCCUAAUCUAACACAACACCUUACGCGCACCCUUCAUCCACCAUGGCAGCCAAUUUCCGGACGCUGGAAAUCACGGUGAUCUCCGCUGGGAACCUGCAAUUAAAUCGAAAACCCAUCAGCAAAAACACCUCCGUGACCGUCCGGACCGACACCAACAGCCAGUUUCGCACCACGGACAUGGACACUGAAGGCGGCGCCUACCCACAGUGGAACGAGAAGCUUGUGCUUGACUUGCCAACGCACUCCAAGUCCAUCACGGUGGAGGUCCAAUGCCAGACUUCGUACGGCGUCAGGACGUUCGCGACGGCGAGUAUUCCGGCAUCGGAUUUUGUUGGCGGGUACGUGCCGGAGGGUUACCUGCAUUUUUUGAGUUACAGGCUGAGAGAUUACAAGGGGGAGAAGAAUGGGAUUAUUAAUAUUUCUGUGAGGAUGAAGGUUCCGGAGAUGUACAGCUCUUGUGCAAGUUCAACGACGUCGUCUCCCUCGAUGAUGGGGUUUCCGGCGGCUGGAAACAAUAGUUUUGGCGGCAACAUUGCGAUCGGAGUUCCGGUUUGGUAUGGUGCCUAUCAGAAAAAUUAUUGAAGAUCCUAAUCACAAUUUUUUGUGCGUAAAUAUUAGAGGAUUUAGACUUUUGGUUACGGAUAAUGCAAACUCAACGUCUUUUGUGUUCUUGAGAGAGGAAAAAUUGAUUGUCACAAAACUUUAUUUUUGCAUGACGAUGAGUAAAGAAAAUUUAUAUUUGGCAAAAGUGGGUUGCCUCAGUUGGUAAGGUUAUUUCAAAAUAUAUUUGUCUUUCGUUAAUUUUAUCGUCAUUGUAAUUCUAUAUUAUCAAAUCUUGCGUGCAAUUGCUUUGGAGAAAGACUAUAAUGAUACAAGAUUCCACGUACAAGCAAAUUCUUCUUGGCAAUUCUUUGUUUCAAUUAAUAAAGUUUUUUAUUUUAUUUGUUCGUGGUGUACUUUGAUUUUCAACUUGGUAUCAAAGUGAUGAAGAUGAUACCCAUUCGGCUCCAAAUAUCAAUGGCUUCAUGCUUUUUGGUCUAGGGUUUUUGAAUGGAUCAUAGUUGGCCUGCCCAAAAAAAAAGUAUUUAAUUAAAAAACAAAUAAAUAAAGCCACUUUGUAAAGAAAACAAACUAAACUUUAUCGAGAGAAGAUAAAUUAAAUACAGUAACCACACAAGCUACGUAAUUAUUUUUCCCAAAAGAGAUAGCAAGUUCCCUACGCAAUCCUUUAAUUUCAAAAAAAUUGCUUCAAAAUCUUUUAGUUUCAGAAGAUUCUCAUUACAUUUCUUUAAGGGCAUGUUUGUUUGGCCUCUUUAAGUCUCAUUAAACUAGACUGUCUUGGAUAGGAGUCUUAACCCGUGUUUGGUGCAAACAAAGACUGCUUUUAAUGAGACUAAGUCAAACUCGCUCUGACUAAAAGUUUCACUAAUUGUUCUUAGCGAGUCCCCCCAAAAACUAGCGGAUUGCUAAUCCUGUUUCUAUUGCCCGCCUCAUCUGCAAGCAUGCGUUCCCAAUCUCCUUCUUCCCGCGAACCUAGUCACCAAAUCAUGCCUUCCACCCCCUUCUCCAGUUUCCAAAUUUGAAAUGGCUCUCACCAAUCUCUAUCCCGCGAACCCAACCUCCUCUUGCUUUAGCGAUGAAUUCAUUCAGUUAAGCUUCCAAUAAGCUUAAUCCACACCAUAAAGAACACUUCAAUUCGAAGGUUAAAACUUAUAAAUCCCAAAUAUCAAAAAUAUCAAAAUCUGCAAUAAAUCCAGAAAUCUAUUACGUUGGGUUGCUAUGAUCUUCUCUAGAAAUCCCAAAAAAACGAAAGACCUCUAGAAAUCUGUAGUGCUCUUCUCCAGAAACCCAGAAAUCUAUUACUUUGAUUUGGGAUUUUUGUGAAAAAAGAGCUAUCUUUGCUUCAAGGAACAAGAAGAAAGACCUAUUGGUCUUUUGACCAAAUUAGGUGCAAAAUGCACAUCUUCCUCAAAUGUUAUGAACUUAAGCCUACGAUAAUUGAGCUAUGUGAAAGAUCAUCUCUCCAAUUUGUUUGAACCAUGGGAAUGCGUAGAUUAGAUUUUGGUUGUAAUUUGAUAUGAUCAAAUGUUGUAAAAGAGCAUAAGCUCUUCUUUACUUUAAAGUAAUUUGAUUUGGUCAAAUGUUGUAAUAGAGCAUAAACUCUUCUUUACUUUGAAGUACUCCUUUCUUGUUUUCUUUGAUAUGCAUGAAAUUGGAGUAGUAGGGUCCAAAGCCCAAUAAGAAAACACGCCUUAAUGUGAUUAAACGUGUAACUAAAAUCAAUCACCAUCCCUAGACUGAGAUCCAACACUAGGCUCGUGUUGGAUUGAAUCAAAGGUUCAUAGUCAUCCUAAGGCCCUAAGACAACUAUAUAGUCCAUCAAUGAAUGCAAAGCUUAUGCUAGUAGUACCAUAUACUCUUGCUUUAAAAACCAUUUUACAAGCAUAGUGGGAGUAUCAUAUACUACUGAAUCAAUCACAUGGACCAAUAGUUGUAAUAGGACCAAAUUGUUUUAAUAAGAUUAAAAUGCAUUCUUGUAUGUGAUGAGACCUAAAAACCCUCAACCAAACCGUUAUUAAGUUGACAAGCGUGAUAGUGCUUUUGUUGUAUGAGAGAGAGAGUAUUUUUUAUUUGGUUAAUGCUUGAAUCGUAAACGUGAUUACACAAUGAAAGAUGACGGUACACAAAUGGCAAAAAUAGUUGGGAAUUUGUAAGUUACAGGCAAAGCUCAUGGAAAGUAAGUUUAUGCAAUGGCAUAGUCAAAGAGUUGUAUACCUAAUGUCUACCCUACAACAAAAGUCAACAAACACAAUCACAGCCACGAUUUCAUGUAUAAAGGAGCCUUUCACGUAUAUAAGUAAUUUGAACUCAAGGCAUGAGAGAUUAGAGCAAUUUACAUAAGACCCUAAAUUCAAUAUAGAGAACUAAAAACAUUGUAUAAAUCUAGAAACUCAAAUAUGAGGUAAAGACUAAGCAAGAAAUUUUCUAAAAUAUAAUUAAAGCUAAAGAAAAGUUGAUAGAAUAAGGAGCAGAAGGGAAGUGAAGACUGCACCACAAUAAGAAGGAUGAAAAGGAAAAUGUGGGUUGGUCUAGAACGAAAAAGAGUUUGAACUAAGAACUCACUUAGUGACUCCACCCAUGACCAUGACCACAGACACAGCCUUUGGUUUAAAACACUAAGCCAACAUACGUAUACUACAUGUAACACUUGUAGUCACAUUCCGUGGGAGAAAUUUCAAAUUAAGAUGUUAAUGUGAUAAAAAAUAAGGUAAAUUACACAAAACUACAUCAACUAUGGGGUGAACCACAAUCUCAUACCUAAUAUUUAAAAGUUACAAUAUCAAACCUCAUCUUACGAAUUUGUUGCAAUGUCAAACCUCUGUCAAAUUUUUAGUUAAUUUCUCUGUUAAAUGCUGAUGUGGCUUGAGACGGGGCCCACUCCCUAGCCCAAUUGGAUUAAAAAAUUAAUUAAAUAUUAAACAAUUAAAAUAAAAUUAUUUAAAUAUUUUUAUUAAAAAAAUGUAAGACCCACCCCCAAACUCAUCACCCUCACCCUUCUUCCCUACAUGUCUCCCCCAAACUCAUCACCCUCAUCCUUCAUCCCCAUUUCAAUCCUUAAUUUUUAAUUUACUCAAACAAAUCAAAUCCCAAUUGGAAUUUCGUAAACUAGGUGUGCUCUAUUGCUACCACUUUGACACCUCUGCCAUCGCCACAGAAAAUCCUCGUGCAUCCAUCUUUUUCUUUCUCUUCUGUUUCAAACAUGUGGUGGUGAUUUGGGAUCAAAGAAAGCUUUGGGCUUUGCUCAACUAGGUUUGUGGGUUUUGGCUCAAAGGAUAGGAGACGGCUACGCUAAGGUUUUGGGGUCGAAGGGAGAGCGGGUUCGAUCGAGUUUUUGGGGUUUGGUUUAGGGUCUAGUGAGGUUCGGUGGUGCAGGAACAUUUUUGGGUUUCUCAACGUUGGCUUGGCAGGUGAAGUCGAGCUUGGAGUGGGUGUGGAGGACGAGGUUUGUGAAGCCUAGGGCUUGGAGCUUGCGGACGAUGGCAUAGCCGACGUGGCUGCUGUUGUAGCGUGAAAGGGAGAAAGGGGAGAGAGAGGGGAGGGAUGGUGGUUCUGGGCACGGCGAGAAAGAGAAGUGAAGGGGACGAAGGAAACUACGGAUGGGUGAGGUUGGUUUUUUAUUUUUAUUUUUUUGAAUUUUGUUUAAAAUAAUUUAUUUUAAAUGAAUUAAAAUAAUUUUAAUAAUUAAAUAUUUUAUUAGUUGUUUGACCAUUUGCACAAGUUGACUGACACAUCAGCAAAUAUGGGCUUUGCAUUUGCCAUGUCAUCACUUCAUGGUCAAAUUGACGUAUUAAUUAAUAGAUGUCUGACAUUGCAACGAAUUCAUAUAUUAAAAUAUGACAUUGAUAGGAGCAUAUUUAUGCGACUUAGUUAGCUUGUUUUCUUGCAUUUUCAUAGCUAGUUUCUACUUAUUAGAGUGUUUUAAGCUAUUUUCGUGUGUUUUCAGGUUCAAAUGAUAAAGUUUGCAAGAAAGUGCAAUUUGGAGCAAUUUUGGGCCAAGAAUGGAUAGCACAUGUAUGAAGCAAGGUGGAUGGACGUUCUUGGAGUUGAAGAGGCUAGGAAUAUGCUAAGGAAAUGAAGAAAAUAAAGUCAAGACAAAGACGAUAAGGAAUCAGCUAAAAUGAAGGAAUAUUAUCCAAACUAACCUUAUCUUAUCUUUUCCUACCUUCAUGAUGUGAUGUAAACUAGCACACAAAUUAAACCCUAUUAAGAUAGUUGUAGUACGCGUAAGUAGGGAUCGUUCUAGGCUGGGGAUUAGUUAAGGAUGCUAAUCAACACAAAUUAAACUUAAAAACUAAAACUAGACUCAAACAAAUCAAAAUAAGCUAAAUUUACUCAAAUAACACAAAACUAAAUUGAAUUGACUCAAAACAAGAACUAGAAUGUAAUUUGGACGAAAAUUGAACUCAAAAGACUCAAAACAAUGAAAAACAACAAAUCUGGAUAGAUUUUAACCUAAGAACAGGAAAUAUAAAGGGGGGUUUGUUUUUGACGAAUUUAAGACCAAAACUAAACAGAUUUAAGACUCUAAAUAACUUUGAACGAAAUUGGUGAUUUAAUGGGUGAAUGGCUAGCUAGAGGGUCCUUCUCCACACAUGACACAUAUGCAUACAAAUCAAUUUCCAGUUAUUCUUCCUAUAAACCAUGAAUGACAAUGCCCCAAAUUAAUCGUGAUAAGCACAAAUUGACUUUCAAAUUUUCCUAAACUCAUUGAAUUGGACUCAGCGACGCAACCAAUUUAUUCUUAUCAAGUUCCCUACAUGAAUUGCAUAAUAGAGAUACAUAUCAAAGAUCAUUAAGUUCUAUGAAAAUCAUAAGCAUUGACAAGGCAUUCAUAACUAUGAACUGCAUGAUACUCCUGCCAGGAAUUUACUUAACACGAUCGUGACUAGCAACCUCCACUACUUGUAAAUAUAAGUUCAUAACUAUUAGGUGAAAUUCCCUUAUAUUUUAGCAUCAAAUCCUUACAUGCAAACUAAGUAUGCAUCCUCAAUCAACACACAAGAAUAAGUUAUCAAUCAAACAGAUAAGUAAAUUGCAUUCACGAUUUACGAAAUCAUAACUAGGUGUAAUCAAUUCAUAUCACAUACAUGUUCAUGGCUUUGAAUUCACCUCUAACUAAAACGAAAUUAGUUCCUCGUGGUUGCAAUUAAACAAAGACAAUCUAAUUUAAUCAUUGAACUAAAACUACGGAUAGAAUACACCUAGGAACGUUCCAACAAUCCAAAGCCUUGAAUGGCAGGCACAGCACCAAGGGUCUCCUCUCUUUCCUUCCUUGCAAAGUUGUGGCACAAUUGUAUUUUUCUGAUGUUUUGGCUCUUGUGUGUGUGUUGCGAAAAUAGGGUCAGAAAAUAUGUAUUUAUAGGCUAGGGUUUCGGCACAAAAGUUGUGAAAGAGAAGGAUUACAUAAUCCUAAGAAAAAAGGACUAGGAAAUUCGGCACAAACCUUCUAGAAAGGGUGUUCUGGCAGAUUUCUAGAAGAAAAGGGAUAAAAGGUGCGGCACCACUUAGGAUAAGGAAUAGGGCUUCUAGAAAGGGCUAUUUAGGUGAUUUAAUGUGCAAUUGAUCCCCCCUUGCAGUUGGAAUUAAGGUAGGAAAAGAUUAGGUUAGGAUAAGAUAAGAUUAGGUUAGUUUAGAUAAGAUAAGGUUGGAUAAUGUUUUGGAUAAUGUUCCUUCCUUUUAGCUAAUUCCUUAUCUUCUUUGUCUUGACUUUAUUUUCUUCAUCUCCUUAGCAUAUUCCUAGCCUCUUGAACUCCAAAAACGUCCAUCCACCUUGCUCCAUACAUGUGUUAUCCAUUCUUGGCCCAAAAAUGCUCCAAAUUGCACAUUCUUGCCAACUUUGUCAUUUAAACCUGAAAACACACGAAAAUAGCUUAAAACACUCUAAUAAGUAGAAAUUAGCUAUGAAAAUGCAAGAAAACAUGAGAAUGCAAGAAAACAAGCUAACUAAAUCGCAUAAAUAUGCUCCUAUCACUUAAUUCCAGCUGCAAGGGGGGAUCAAUUGCACAUUAAAUCACCUAAAUACCCCUUUCUAGAAGCCAUAUUCCUGAUCCUAAGACCAUCUCCAACCCUUGGGCUAAAAGCCAAAUUUUUUAGCCCGAAAAAUUUAGCUUUUAGCCCGGAAACAUCUUUUCUGCUCCAACCCUUCUAUCCUAAAAUUUUAGCCCGGAAUUAUUAAAGAAUGAAAUUAGCCUAAAUUUUUUUCUUAAAUCAAUUUUUUUUUUUAAAAUAGAUAUGUAGAUUAUUGUAAAUUAAUUUUAUGAACAUUUUAAUCUAAAAAAAUUUAAAUUCCGAUAAACAUUUCGCAUUUAGCCCGGGGGGAAACCUGGGGGGUAUUUGGCCCAGAAAUAGCAUUUGGCAUUUAGCCUAAAAUUUUAGCAUGGGUUGGAGAGUGUUUGGGGGGAUAAUUUGGGGGGUAAUUUGACUUUUAGCCCAGGGUUGGAGAUGGUCUAAGUGGUGCCGCACCUUUUAUUUCUUUUCUUCUAGAAAUCUGCCAGAACACCCUUUCUAGAAGGUUUGUGCCGAAUUUCCUAGUCCUUUUUCCUUAGGAUUGUGUAAUCAUUCUCCUUCACAACUUUUGUGCCGAAACCCUAGCCUAUAAAUACAUAUUUUCUGACCCUAUUUUCGCAACACACACACAAAAGCCAAAACAUAAAAAAAAUACAGUUGUGCAUAUGUAAGACUCUUAUAUUGAUGAAUAUGUCCACAAAUAAAACUUGAAAAACAAAAGUAAAUAGAUACAAAUGAAAGGUGAAUAAAAGACUUAUGAAAGUUAAUUGAUAACCGUGCAAAUCAAAAUUAAAUAGAUUAAAAUGAAAAGUGAAUAGAAGAGAGAUAAAAGUUAGUAUAUACCUCUGGUAGAUUAUGGAUAUGAAGCUUUAGAACUGUAUAUGACUCAAGCUCUUCAAAGCUAUCACCAUACUCCAUUUUAUCUUGGUCACCAAAUGUCUCAGAACUUUGCAUCAUUCUCUACAUAAAUCAAAAUCUAACGCAAGUUUAUAUCAUGAUAUGUCUUGUUUGUAAUAACAAACUAGCAUUAUGUCUCCUUUAUAGUUAAGAGGAAAGAUCUAGAAUAUCAUUUUUGAAAGAAAAAAAAAACCAUCAACAUAAAUCUGUGUGCAGUAUUAAGUGUGAAAUUAUCAAAGAGAUGAGCCAAAAACCCACUUCCAACAACACAUAUCUUGUCCCCAACUUGUUAAUUACCACUUGGACAGUACUACAGGUGUGGGGUGUUAUCACAAAAGACCCCGGUAUUAGUUAGAGUGGGUUAAGACAUUUAAAUUCUUCUUGUCUCACAGAUGAGGUCAAUGUGAUAUUUCAACAUUAGGUUUUCUUACGCUUUAUUUAUCUGGUUUUGUUCCAUUAGACACGUUUGGAAAUGAUCCAUCCUUAUCUUAUAUUAAUUACUAGAUGGUGAAAGAAAUCUUCACGAAUAUAUCUUACCUGCAUUUUCUGCGAAGAGAUUCAGUACACGAAAAAAUAGGACAAAUAAAAAAAAUGAAAUGUGACAUAAUUUAAAAGUAACAUACUGUACAUAAAUGUAAUGUAAUAUCUUUGUAAAAAAUUCCUAAUUUUUUUUAGGUCUUUGUCUUAUCGAGGGUUAACUACAUUUCACACCCUCUAUGUUUAGGGUGAUUUUCAAAACUUGCCACAAGUUUUCAAUUUUCUCACAUUGCUUCCUAAGGUUUUAAAAUUUUAGCAAUUUAGACCUUUUGUCUAGUGAAUCAUUUGAAUUUUCAUUAAAUUCAUUACAUGGUGAGCAUAAAACCCGUAAAUGAGUAUAUUGAUACAAUUUAAAACCUUAGGGGGUGAUGUGAGAAAAUUGAUAUCUGAUGGCCCAUUUUAAAAAUCACCUCUAAACUUUGAGAGUGCAAAGUGUAGUAGCCCUUGUAUUUACUUUGUUUCUAGAAAUUUUUUUUGACAAACAAUAGUGUUAGUGGGUUAAGUUGUUAGUUGUUAGGGGAAGAGGGAUCGGUGGGAUCAAACUCGCACUAGGGUGUAUAAACAUGAUUGUUUUUUGCCACUACAUUAAAGCGCCAUCUGUGUUUCUAGAAAAUCUUUCGAACGAUUCUUAGAUGCAAUUCAAUCAUGACUAAAUGUAUUUGUGUGAGCGAAAAAGUUGAUCAGUAAGCACCUUGCAAAAUCAGACACAAGAACAUGAAUAAAGAACCUACUUCUCUCCAUAAUCUAACGUUUUGAGUCCUGCCCGCUGCAGCUGUUCAAGUGUGAAAAUCUAUUUGAUCUGUAAGGAUCAUUUAAUUGACCGAGGACUUGUUACAGUUUUAACCUGGAGAAAGAAUGUUUCAAGCUUUGAAGAUGCCCUCCAAAGUGGGAAAGAAGUUCCUUCAACUUGCAAUGAUGGUGUUUCUCCUCAAACCUUAUUUUGGGAACUUUAACGAAAAACUCCCGGUACUGUUCACUUUAACGAAAAACCACAUUUUUACACUAAAAAGUCAAUCCUGGUAUUAAUCACUUUACCCUUUAUUUUGUCCUUAUCGUUAAAACUCAAAGUUUUCAAGCCCUUUUCAUUAGUUUUCCUUAUUUUCAAUCCGUAAAGAUUGAAGUGAAAUUUGAUGGUCUUCCACCAACAUCAUCGAUAUUGUCCUAACUAAACUACUUAUUACUAGGUGUUGAGUUUUAUUACAAAAACCUUAGUGAUAUCAGAAGUAGAAUCUCCCGUAUAUCACAUAUAUUAUUUUAUUUUAUGCCAUUGUGUUAUCCUUUUCUUGGGAGCAGCCUCUUCAUAAAUGGGGGUAAGGUUAGCCGACAUUCACCUCUCCCAGACCAUUUGUAAAGCGGAAGCCUUGUGCACUGGGUACGACCAUUGUGUUAUCCUUUUCUUUAACUGAAUCCAUAUUAUCAAGUCAUAAGGCUACGAAUCGAUGUCAGCCCUGUUUAUUUUUUGAAAGAAGUAAGUUUUAACUUCAUCCCAUGCAUAUUGUAGAUCUCUUUUAAUCCGUCGUACGUAAGGAUUGAGUGACAGAAUUAAAAAGGAAAAGCAAACAAACAUCCACUUUUAAACUUAGAAAAAUUAAUUAAAACCGAUUAGAAUCGAAACCAAACACAACCCUCCACUGAAUAAAGAAAAAAAUCAAACCACAUCAUUCAUGCGUAUCAGAAUUCACAUGAACGCAAGAGAUUCAGAUUUGUUAUGACAGCCAGACAUUUCUUGCCAUAAAACACGAAGUCACAAAGCAACUUCUUACAUUAUAAUGAAGGAUAGACCAAACCAUAGAGACAAUAAACGUAUCUUCCAAGAAAUAAGACAACCACAAAGUAAUAUAUUAUGAAACCUAGGAAUUUCCAGGAAGUGUUCGAGUCCCAAUUGAAAUUCUCAGUAUGGAUUAAAAAAAAGGACUAGAGGCUUUUGACUUGCCUCCAUCCGAGGUUUGUUCAUUAUCUAUUGAUGGAACCAAUGACACAAAAUGGAAUAGAAGAGCAUGUUCGCUGUAUAUGCGCGAGGGAAUCCGACAGCGGAAGAAAUAGGUAGAGCAGAGUAAAUAUUAACCCUGCUCUGAUACCAUGUAAAUUUAGGAUAGGCAAAGAAAGUAUUUACCAAGAAUAAUUACUCUGUUAAUGAUAGAAUAGUUAUAUACAGCAAAGAAACUAUAAACUAGGAACUAAGUUCACUACAGCUAUACAAUAAAGGGAAAGAAAAUCAAUCAAACAAUCGAAAUAUACAUUAUACAUGCCAUUGCCUAUUCUGUACCUUGAUUGCAAAGGAUUCUGAUUUCUUUCUAACACUCUUCUCGUUUCCAACUUCCUGUCCUCGUGUCCCUUCCUCUCACCAUGAAAGGCCAAUGUCAUGUACUUUAACAGGGGCGUGGGAGGCUGUUGCUUGAGCACUUGAGCAUCCUCAUCUUCCCCCCGUUGUCCUACAUUUCCUUCCUCGCUCCAUUCAUGACCAAUGCAAUGCAGUUCAGCAGGGGACGGUAUCGGCGUCUGCUCAAGAACUUGGGCCACUUCGUCUUCUCCCUUGCUCUUGUUGCACAACUAGGGCUUGCCUAUCGUUUUUGGGGCCCUGGCGAACAAUCAAAAUGUGCCUUUUUUUUUCAAUACACGAAUAUAUAUAUAUAUAUUUAAAGAGGGCUAGAACCCAAUCAAAGCUGGGGGACGCUAAGCCUUCACACCCAUAUUAUAUUACUUGAAGGAAAAAAAAAUACAAAGAAGGGACAUAGUACCUAAACCCUGAUGUAAAAGUAUAAUCCUAUACAACCAUUCCAAGCAUAACUCCUUAAAAAUUUAACCUUUAAGAAAUUGUCUUCUUGCAUUUUCUGAAGCAAACUCAUCAAUUAAUUAUUAUUUUGGUGCCUUUAGGGCCUAAGAUAGACCUGAUUCGAAAUUACAAAUGCUUUCCCAAAAAUUGGUUUGUGUAUAAGACUCACUUAUAUUAGUGAAUAUGUCAACAAGUGUGCCAGUUUUAUGGAUAGAUAAAACUUGAAAGCAAAAGCAAAUAGAUACAAAUGAAAAGUGAAUAGAAGAGUUAUUAAAGUUAAUAAAUAAACCGUAACUGUAAAAAUCAAAAUUAAAUAUAUUAAAACGAAAAGUGAAUAGAAGAGCGAUAAAAAUUAGUAUACGUCCAAUAAAUCAUGGAUACAAUUAUUUAGAACUGCAAAUGAUUCAAGCCUUUCAAGCUAUCACCAUAAUCCACUUCAUCUUGGUCAUCAUAUGCCUCAAAAAAUUUCAUCAUUUUCUCUACAUAAAUCAAAAUCUAAAGCAAUUAUAGAGCAUGGUAUUCGUGUUUGUAAUCAUGUACAAAACAAACUAGCCUUAGGUCCCUUUUAUAUUGAAGAGGAAAGAUCUAGAAUAUCGUUUUCGAAAAAAUAGUAGGCAUAAAUCUGUGUGCGGCAUUAAGUUUUGAUACGCUUUUAUCUGUUUUUGUUCCUUUGGACACGUUUGUAAAUGAUCCAUCCUUAUCUUAUCUUAAUUACUAGAUGCUGAAAGAAAUUUUCAUGAAUUAACUCUUCUGUUUCAAUAAAAACAGUUAAUUUCGAUUACCGCUUGAGGGCUUUGCUCACUCUGCAGAACAUAUAAUUGAAAAAGAGGGGUUGCGUGCGAGCCGAGUAACGUAGGUAGGUGGAUCAAACUAUCAACUCCAGGGGCUUCGUUCCCCUUUUCUUCUUGGAUCACAGCUACGAGUCUUAAGGCAACAGAAGGCAGAAAAAGGAAAGUCGCUUUAAUUACAAUUACAAAAAAGAAUUUAGGCACAGCCUUUUCCACAGUUAUAGAAGAGAAGCCUUUGCUGCGCUUUGGAAUGAGCUAGAAGCGAAAAAAAGUAUACAUUGGAUGUUUGAAUUGCUUCAUCUUGAUUUUGAACAUGGAAUUUUUUCUUCUGAGGUAGCAGAAAGGCGAGAAAUAUUAAUCUUCGAAUUAGGCUUAACAAUCUUUAUGAGUAGCAUACUAGUGUAUUUAAUGAUUUCAGGUGAUGAAUAUAUUCUAGCUACCUUUCUCCGGCUAACGCGUAUCCAUUUUAUUGUCAAAAUCUCUAUAAGCUGAAUGAUGUCACUCGAGUGUUGAGCUUUCAAAGGGUUUUUCAAGACCAUCCAAGGUCUUCGUUUUAUCUAGGGCUAACUACAUUUGACACCCUCCAUAUUUAGGGUGAUCUUCAAAAUGGGUCACGAAUUUUCAAUUUUCCCACAUUGCUCUCUAAGGUUUAGCAAUUUAGACCUUUUGUCUAGUGAAUUAUUUGAAUUGUCGUUAAAUUAAUGACAUGGUGAGCAUGUAACCUGUAAAUGAGUUGAUAUGUAAGCCACAUUUACACCACAUUGACUAAAAAACUCAUUGAUUAAAUAAUAAUUAGACACCCGAAUAUACAAAAGGAGUAAAUUGAUACAAUUGUAAAACUUUAGGGGCCAAUGUGAGAAAAUUGAUAUCUCAUGGCCCAUUUUAAAAAGGGAUGUGAUAUCCACACACCCCAUUUUACUUCUCACACACCUUUUUAAAUUUCAACCGUCAGAUCGGAUGAAUUGAAGAAGAUUAACGGACAUAAAUUAUCAAGGAGUGUGUGAGAAGUAAAAUAGGGUGUGUGAAUAGCAUAUCCCUUUUAAAAAUCACCUCAAACCUUGAGGUGUAGAAUGUAGUUAUCACUUUUAUUUACUUUGGUUCUUGCUUUUUUUUUUUUUUUUUUUUUUUGACAAUAAUAAUGUUAGUAAUUUAAAUUGUUAGUUGCUAAGGGUAAGAUGAAUUGGUGGGAAUCAAACCCGUACCAAGAAGUAUAGACAUGAUUGUUUUCCUACACUGCAGUAAACCCCCAUCUACGUUUCUUGAAAAAAAAUUGAACGAUUCUUAGAUGUAAUCCAAUCAUGACUAAAUGAAUUCGUAUGAGUGAAGAAGUUGAUCAGUAAGCACCUCGCAAAAUCAGAUACGAGAACAUAAAUAAAGAACCUGCUUCCUUCUCUCCAUAAUCCAACUUUUUGAGUUUGAUCCACUGCGGCUAUUCAAGUGUGAAAAUCUAUUUGAUCCAUAAGAAUCAUGUAAUUCUCCGAGAAGUUGUUCUACUCAAGGAGCUGAUUCACCAAAGUCAUCUGGUGGCGAGGGCGCUGGUUAGGUCGACGACCUACUGGGACAGGUGUCGUUCACAAUUUGGGAUGGAAGAGCUCGAGUGAUGGGCAUUUACAGGAGUGGUGGAAGUGUAAUGAACUACAGGGUCAAACUUGGACUCUAAGGGGGCGUUUGUUGCGCCGGACUGUCUCGGACUAGACUAGUUGCAGGGACUAAGCUGGACUGGCUUAGACUAGACUAAGCUGGACUAACUUAGUGAAGCGUUUGGUACAGUGUCAGACUAAGAAGCAGGAUUAUAAAAACAGUACUGUUCAUCAGAUUUGUGUUUGCUUACACUAGGACUACAAAUUUUUUCCAUUGUGUAAUAAAGUAAUGCUACAAAUGUCAUGAGAAGAUACUUGUGUAAUAGAGUAAUCCUAAACUUUAUGCAAUAAAAUCGAACAUUAACUAAUGAUAGUUUUCUUGGAUUAUAGAGUUUAAGAAAACAGAACUCAUAUUAGAUAUUUGUCUGAAGCAAGUAAAAUUGCCAUGGAAAAUGUCACUUAAGUUCUUCACGUGCAUGAUAUAUGGUGUUCUGGUUCUCUGUUGGGUGAAGAUGACUAGGAUCCAAUGGUGGUAGGGUUUUGAAGGAAGGGGAAACGUGAGUACUAAUACUUUGGUUUCAAGAAUCCUCCAAGUGUACCCAACAAACCUUGCUCAAAAGAAAAGAAGAUAGAAAAGCAUGGUAAUUAAACAGGCUAUAAGGGCCACCUCUUUUUCCAUGUGGCAUAAUUCAUAGCUGACUAGCUUAACAAGCAAGAGCAAGUACAUAAGAAGAUACUUGUGACAAGUCAAUCUUUGCCAUUGAUUGACUCUUAAAACAUCAUUCACUAAACUUUCAUCCAGGAUAUUUUACAAAAUACCAGUGAACUAUAGUAUACCAUUCAAAAGUAGAUCUCCAUAAUUUACAAACUCUUAGUUAACAUUAGCCAAAAUACUUUAUAGUGGAAAGCUAAGUUAUAAGUCAUAACCUAAGAUUGUACGAUUAAUAAAAUACAUCCAUAUCAAAAGGCACCACAUAAUAUACUCAUCCGCUUGCUUUGUCGCUUAAAAGCCUUUGGACAAACACUUUCUUGAGUUCCGGUUUGAUUGCCCUGAACACUCCCACAUUUUUUGGUUUAUCCAAAAUAAGAGACAAUGCAUCAAUUUGAUCCAUAGGAGAAAGACCCAUUUCUUCAAGUUCGUUAGCUAUGUCACUAUGAUCUGCAGUACCUUGAACUAAAGCUUCAGUUACCAUUUGCAUCCUCUUCCCACUUUCAACAUAAAAUUCUUUCAGUCCACUGAUAAUUGCCUCGGUUCCAUCACUUGAACUUCCCACACCUCUUUUCCUCUUUCGUUGGCUAUUUUCAGAUGGGAUGCUUUGUUGGCUUUGUUCGUUCAUUGAAGAAACAACAUUUUCACCUCCAAUAUCACUUGCACCAACCUGAUCAUGACUUUGUUCCUCCACCAUUUUAGUAGGGGUUUCGGCUACAUUACCCGUAGCCCGAUCUUUUCCAAAUAUAUAUGCAAAUCUAUCAUACAGUGGAAAAUGUUUGCUUCUCCAUCCAUCGGCUUCUUUAUUUUUCUAAGAUUAUAUCAACAUAGCAAAACUAAAAUUGAGCAUGCGUAACAAAUAUAGCAGCAAGAACAAAACUAAUGUAUAAAUAAAAUAGGAUAUGAACUUGCACAUAAGUUUGCCAUGCGUCAUCACUGUCAACUUCAACACACUUUUUGACAUCAUUCCAUGCAAAUCCACUUGUGUUUAUCAUGUCAACGACCAUACUAUAUGUUUUUUUCCAUUUCUUCAACUUUGACUCAAUAUGUGGAGUUGCUUUUAUAUUGGAAUGAGGACAUAAAACAUUGACAGCUUUCGCUAUUUCAAUCAAAGUACCUUGUUUGAAAGCACCGGUGUCACACCGUUGCUUCCGAGCAACAAAAUCCUCAAGAACGGAUAAUAAUACUUCUUCCUCAAAUGCUUCCCAUUUACGCCUUCUUCCUUUUGGCUCUUGAGUAGCAUUCAAAAUAUUGUCUUUAUCCAUACCUAAACAAAAAAUAUUUGAAUGUACUAAAAUACAAUACAAAUAAUCAAUUUGCAUAAUAUCCAAUCAAUUUGCAUAAUAUCCAAAUAAUUUGCAUACCAUCCAAUCAAUAAAAAAGUUUUAACAUUCACUGAUGAGCAAUCUAAUAAUUAUGCUAAUAUCCAACAAAUGCAUGAUAAAAAGGAAUACUAAAAUAAAAUGUUAUCAUUAACACAUAUAGCUAGUUCGGUUGCUGGUUCCUAAUUGCUCUCCACUCAUCAUACAUUUCUUGAGCCAUGGCAUUCCUCUUUGCAGUCCACUGGUCAGAUGUUUCAACACUACCAACAUAUUCACCUUCUUCUGUAUUUUGUCCAUCUUGUAUUAUUGUCAAAUUUUCCAGUGGAUCUACAAACAUCUCUUGCCUAAUAAGAUUGUGUAGUAGGCAACAAGCGGUAAUUAUUCGACCUUGUGUCCUUAUCGGAUAGAAAGAUGAACUUCUUAGUAUCGAUCACCUUCCUUUUAGCAAGCCAAAACAAUGUUCAAUUACAUUCCUUGCCUUAGAAUGCUUCAUGUUAAAAUACUCUUCCUUAUUAGAAGGCGUUCGUCCCUCCCAUUCAGAUAAAUGAUAAGGUAUUCCACUAUAUGGUGCAAGGAAUCCUUCACCAUUUGUAUAACCACCAUCUACAAGGUAAUAAUAACCUAAUAAAAAAAAACAUUAUUAGUGUUUUGUAGUUGACAAACAAAACUAGACCUAACUUACACAAUUGAGACUAAUUAAUACUCUUACCCAUUGGUACCUUAAAACCAUUAGGCCUAGUAAUUGCAUCAUAUAGCACUCUAGAGUCUGAUGCGGAACCCUCCCACCUCGGAAACAGAUAUAUGAAUUGCAUAUCUCCUGAACACACACCUAACACAUUAGUUGCGACUCGACCCUUUCUUGUUCGGUAUCUUGGUUUGUCAAUUUCAUGUACAUGUACAUCAAUGUGUGUUCCAUCUAUUGCUCCCAAGCAAUUCUAAAAAAAAAAAAAAAAAAAAAAAAAAAAAAAAGCUUUUGUUAAUUUAUACAAAGGGAAUGAAGAGUUAAAGCUUAGGGAAAAUGAAAAAAAAUUAUCAUACCUUAAAACAUCGCCACCUAGGAUCUGUAGAAUCAAUAGGCACAUGCUGAGGGACUUUUAGUAGGAUACCUUGUAAUCGCAAAAUUCCUUGCAAUACGCUAUUGAAAUACCUACUUAUAGUCUCUCCCAACCUAUAAAAUCUACCGCCAACACUACGAUUCUUAGUAUAAUGUGCUAGUAUUUGUAAAGUCAUACACACCUGCUCCUCUACAGACACCAAACCAUUAGUUUUUACCCUCCCAUCUUGACGAAGUAAGUCACAUAAUAUGGCAAAAGUCCUUCUAUCCAUUCUCAAUUCGUUGACACAUUCAAUAUCAGUAUUCCCUAUUAUACCAUUCAGAUAACACAAACUAAUCUCUCGUCUAAAAAGUGAACGGUUAGUCAAAGUGGGUCGUUCAACAUGUCUCUGUUUGGCCCUUACCAUCAUCAACACAAGAAUCGUACAAAUGCAAAUUGUCUCUAAAUGAGACAUCUCUAACAAUAAGAUCAAUAAAAGCUUCCUUCGAUCCAUAUCUAUCCAAACAAAAAAAAAGGAAAAUUAAAUAAUGACAUUAUAUAUGUAAUAUUUACUGUUAUUAAGGGUGAUGGAAAUGAAGUGAUUAUGAUACGAAAUGAACUAGAUCAAAAUAAACGGUAUACAAAGAAUUCUGAAACAAAUAACUGCAUUAACAGCCCAAAAAAUAACCAGCCAAGUCACAAUUAAUGUUGGAUCAACAAAAACAAAAAACCAGUCAAGUCACAAUUGCUAGGCAUUGCAUGUCAAGAGGGAAAUUAAAGGACACCUGUAAUGCAGUAGCCUUAGCCUUAUCCUUCCGUUUAUGCUUCUCUUCUCUGCAACCAACAACCACAGAAUAUUGUAGUUCAGCAUACAAAACAUUCACAUUGUAAUAUCAUGGUUAUAAACUAAAUACACACACACGCAGACACACACACUUACAGAGCACACACACACACACACUUACAGUGCAGAAUACACACACACACACACACACACACACACACACACAUACACUCACACUCACAGACCACCUAAAGAUACACACACACACACACACACACACACACACACACACACACACAUACAGACCAACUAAAGAUACACACACACACAGAAACACACCAACUAAACUCACAGACCACAAAAAAAACAUCCAUUCUAGUUCAAGAUCAAAAGAUGAGCAAUUAAGUAAGGACAAAAAUAGUUCAAACCGGACACUAAUCUUUUGAAUGAAACUCAAUCGCAACAUGAGGAGAAAAGCAGAGAGAUUGUUGCAGGGAGGACUUCCAGUUGGAACAAAAAUUCUAGACCAACCCUACCCCCUUCCCUGCCUCACCCUCUCUCGCUCCUCCCCUCCACGUUAAUGAGUACACACAAACACACGCAUGUACACACAGAAAUUACACACACACACACAGUACACAAACACACACACACAGAGUACACAAAUACACACACACACACACACACACACACACACACACACACACCCCACGUUAAUUAGUACACACAAACACACACACACACACAGUACACAAACACACACACACACAGUAAUGAGUACACACACACACACACACACACCCCACGUUAAUGAGUACACACAAACACACACACACACACAAAAAUUACAUACACACACACACACACAGAAAUUACAUACACACACACAGUACACACACACACACAGAAAUUACACACACACACACACACAGUUCACAACCACACACACACACACACACACACACCCCACGGUAAUGAGUACACACAAACACACACACACACACACAGAAAUUACACACACACAGAGUACACAAACACACACACACACACACAGAAAUUACACACACACACAAAGUACACAAACACACACACACAGAGUAAUGAGUACACACACACACACACACACACACACCCCCACGUUAAUGAGUACACACAAACACACACACACACACGCACAGAAAUUACACACACACACACGGAGAAAUUACACACACCACACACACACACCCCCCCCCCCACGUUAAUGAGUACACACAAACACACACACACACACACAGAGAAAUUACACACACACAUAGAGUACACAAACACACACACACAGAGUACACAAACACACACACACACACACACACACCCCCCCCCCCCCCCCCCCCCCCGUUAAUGAGUACACACAAACACACACACACACACACACAGAAAUUACACACACACACACAUAGUACACAAACACACACACACACACACACAUACACACCCCCCCACGUUAAUGAGUACACACAAACACACACACACACACACACACACAGAAAUUACACACACACACACACACACAGUACACAAACACACACACACACAGAGAAAUUACACACACAGUACACAAACACACACACACACAGAAAUUACACACACACACACACACACACAUAGAGUACACACACACACACACAGUACACAAACACACACACACACACACAGAAAUUACACACACAGUACACAAACACACACACACACACACACACCCCCACGUUAAUGAGUACACACAAACACACAUACAGAAAUUACACACACACACACACACACACCCCCCCCUCCACGUUAAUGAGUACACACAAACACACACACGCACACAUAGAAAUUAAACACACACACACACAAUACACAAACACACACACACACACAUACACACCCCCCCCACGUUAAUGAGUACACACAAACACACACACAAAAAUUACACACACACACACACAGUACACAAACACACACAGACACAGAGGAUAGUAAGACCCAAAAGUUCCAUCUUACCUGCCAAUAGCUAAAUGUUAAAUUUCUUGAACAACACAACCUAUAUGCCAAAUACCUGGACAGCUAACUAACGUUGGACAUUCGUUGUACUCAAUCAACAUAUAUCCCAGGACCAAGAAAGUUAUAAAGAAACAAAAUGAAACAAGAAUAAAAAAAAUGAAAACAAAAACUUAAGAGAAAAGAGAAAUGCAUAAUCAAGUUAUCCAUGCUCAGUGACAUUAGAAUAUGCAAACAGAAUAAUUGACCUCAUCAUCCAGAAAAGUUAAGCUAAAGAAACGCAAAUGUUUCGAUAUGAGCUAAAGCAUACCAAAACAACUAUGCCCAGUCAUGUUCGAUUAACCUAAUUUGGCAGUGAAAGGCCUUCUAGUGAAUGACAUGACUUUAACACUAAAUCGAGAAGAGGAAACUCUUCUGCACUAACUCAUCAAUUCAUCCUAAUUUGGCAGAUAGAAACAUACAGUGAAAGAGGUGCUUGGAGAGAGUAUGCUUGGAGACGAGGAUUUUUGGUAAUGACAUACACAUUACACACACACACACACACACACACGCAGACACACACACACAGAGUACUCCCAUUGUUGAAACAUCAAUUUUUAAAAAUCGAAAACAACAUGUGGGUAGGACUUCCAAGUUUUACAACUUUGACAUCCUAAAUUCCCAAGUUCCAUCUCAUCUUAUGAAAAGCCCAAAUUCUAAUUUCAAUUUCACCUAAAUGUCAAAACCCUAAUUUAUUCAAGUGCAGAUCUCUAUGAUUCAAAAAUUAUCAAACCCAAAACAAUAAAAUCAAAUAAAGCUCAGUAAAAUUACCAUCUGCAAUACAAAUACAUGAAAUUAAUAGAAGAAUCGAAGUUUACCAUACAACUCAGAUGAGGGCCAGCAUAUUGAUAAGUGAAUAUUAUAUUAUAUAUUUAACCCUAUUCUUAGUAUAUUUUGGAUAAUAUUUUGGAAGAAUUUUGAUACUUUAAAUUGUAUUUUCAAUAUAGGACUUUCGACUUCCUCUGGAACAAAACGUGGUCAAAUGGACGAAUUUCGGAGUAAUUCCAAUUAGAAGACGUUCGUGAGUCACUUAGCUUGGUCAUAUCAAAAUUUGGGAUUUUUCCAUCAAACGGUUAUUUUCUGGCGAUAAAAUAAAGGAGCGAUGCGCGGUGCUGGAAAAUGACGUUUCUGGGCUUAAAUUGCGUUUUUGGAGCCCAAGAUGACCUCGGAUGGUUUCGUGGCCUUCUAGAGAUGUGUUCGGAAGGUCCUUAUCUUUAAAACAAGCUAUCUUGAGCCGGAUUUGGAGGAGAUCUGAGGCUAAAACGUGGCUGGACAAAUACUUGGCAGAUUCUCCUAGUUUAAUUAGGGUUUUAUUUUCUAAGAUAUUUUAUUAUUUUUCUUAGUUUCCUAGUUGGAAUAAAAAAAAAACCUAUGUCUUAGGGUUUGUGGAGGUUGAGCAAAUAUAUUGCUUUGGCCGUCUACAAUUUUUGGGGAUGCUUAUUAUUAUUCAACUUCAGAGACAAAGAACUUGGCUAGGGUUCUUUGAGAUUUUCUACUUCAAGGUGCUUUCAUUCCUUUUAUUUGUAAUAAUAUUUUCUUUUCAAUUAUGAAUAUGCAUAACUAAUUCCUUUUGCUAGGGCGAAGCCUUGAGCCUUAGCAUGAAUAUGUAAUUUUUAUUUAAUUGCUUACGAUUGAUUGCAUGCGCACUUUGAAUUAUUGAUCACUGUUUUAAACUAUCUAAUUAUCUUGAUGAUUGGCCACCAUUAGGAUGUUUAGACAAGUAAUUGGAUGCAAUUCGGUCGGAAUAUCACCGGGGGAUUGAGUAUUGCUUCUUGUGAUUAAUAAUUGUAAUUCCAUCUAAGGCGAAUAUCACGUUCUUAGGGGUUGCAUGGUUCUUAAAAAGGUUUUCAUAAAACUUCAGGAGUCUUGCAUGUUCAUAUUUGAUCUGAAUAUCACAGACGGAUUGCAUGUUAGAUAUAUGUUCUUGCUUGAAUAUCACGAGGAGAAUAUAUAUUAGGAAAACCUAACCUCGAAGUAGCAUGUGUAAAUCGUAAGUAAUUGGUAGAAAUUCAUAGGAUUGCUGGGUGAUGGUGGAACCCUAGUGCCUUUAUAACUUGGUAUUUAAAAAUCUUUUCUUCGAUUAUAUUAGUUUUUAAUUAAAAUUCGUUUUUUUUUUUAAUUUACCCAAUCUCAAACUCUAUUUUCUCAAGUUUUAAUUCUAAGUAUUUUGAUUAGGAAUUGUUUCUACAUAAAUUAUCCCAAUAGUCCUUGAGGAAAACGACCUUGCAUGAGCAUCUAUACUAUGAUAUCCUUGUAUUCUUGCAAGUAUUUCAUGUGAUUUUGACCCUAUUUGCAUAGACUUAAAAAUCCUAUCACAUAUGCAGAGAUCGGAAGACGCAGAGAUGAGGGUGAGGAGGACGAAGAUGAGGGAGCACGGCAAGGACGACGUUGAGGGAACGUAGAGAUGAGGACGAAGGGAAGACGCAGAAAAUCUCUCGGUUUGCUCUGGCUUACGAAUCCGCCCAAUUUUGGGGUUGCUCGUUAAGAACGGCUAAGGAGGUACUUAGUCCAAGCGAGUCCGGGUUAAGCUCAUUAAAGCUAAUCCGGAUGCACACCAAACGUCGGACUAUAGUCUAGUCCAGUCCAAGCCCUCUUAAUCCUGUCAAACAAACGUGCCCUAUGGGCAAACAUGCGAAAAUAGGGUGAAAAGAUCUUUGGUUCAGAAGUCGGUCCAGUGGCCAGAAUCGGUCUUGGACCGGUCUGGGCCUUGGGGCGAGUAGCCAGAGUGAGUCCUGGAGCUGGGCAACCCGCCUGGUUGGUUGGGUCAUGCACUGGGCUCAUAUGUGGGCCACCUGCCUGUGGGUUUGCGUUGCAAUGGCUGCGGCUUGAGUUUAGGCCUACUGCUGCAAUUGCUGCAGUGGGCUAGGUUUCCUGCCCUCAACCUGUUGUGGUAUAGGCUCCAAUUUAGGCCUCCUUCCCUAGGUGGUGAUGGCAAUGGCAACAAGGGCUACUACCUGUGGCCACAUGGUGGUUGCUACAUUGCAGUCGUGGUGAUAAUGGCGUUCCGCGACGGUGGGGCUUCUGUUGCUGUUGUGUUGAACCUCGAGGACCGUCUUCAUGAGGCCACGUCAUCGUCUUCGUUCUCUAAUCCAAAUCCUUAAAUUAUGGGGUUCCAUUCGUCGUGGUUUCAGAAUUUCCUUUCAUUGUAUCUUUACUCCAGGGACUAAUCAAAGAAUUUUUCUAGGAAAAAUUUCAAUGACUAGGAGCAUAUGAGAAAUUCAACAUAACAAAAAAUUCCAAGAACCAAAUUCUUCGAGCGUUUGAAUCAGGCUCUCAAUGAAAGCACCAAUUUGUGGUAGCAAAUUUUUUUCGCCUUUGAUCUUGACGAAAAUGUACCUACAAAACAAUCAACACCUUUAAUCAAAGACUAAGGUCUCAUGCUCAAUUUUGAUUCAGUGUUUAGAUAAAGAAGAAGAAAUUAAGUUUUCAAAUUAUAUAAUAAACGCAUUUAUGCAAAGGGUUGAGUUUCGUAACAAAUCGUGUAAAUUCAAUUCCAAGCAUGACUCGGGAAAAUUCUCCAACCAUGCCACACACUACAGUUGGAUUUCCUCUACAAUUAGUUGCAAGUUGGAAACUUCAUUCACCACGUGAUAAGUCAGGUGGUGAGGAGAGGUGUAUGAAUGUAUGUGUCUAUCACUAGACGUUACAACUUCAAUGAUCAUACUAUAAAAAUUGAUCACUAGUGAGAGACUAUCCAUAUGCUAUGUUUAUGUAGAAGAAUUUAUCCACAUGAGGAUAAGAAAGAUAGAAGAAGGAAUAUAUGUAAUGCGAGAGCACUUUCAUGUGUAACAGUCAUACCAAAAAAUUUCUCCACAUGAUUAUUUAAAAAAUACGUAAAGAUAGUCCAUAUUUUCAGAAUGUUUAUCUCCACAAUAAAUUGUAAGAACAAGUUGCUUGAAAGUUUCCCUCCGCUAUAAGAAGCGUGAACCAAGUACGUGGAAGUUUCUCUUAAAAAACAAAGACUUCUUUAAAGGCCCAAGAGUCAACUUGGAAUCCAUUCAACAUUUUGUCAAGAAAUCCAUUCAACAUUCGGCUCGUAUUGUAUUUCAUCGUUCAAUUUGGAUUCCACAGAAACCACGUGGGUCUUUCUCUCUCCUUUCUCACACCCUUCCCUCAACACUCCUACAUAACCUCCCACCCACACCUCUUCCCUCUCAACGGCUCUCACAAUUCCCCUAACCUAACACAAGCAAUUCAUCAAACACUAGCGCGCACUCUUCAUCGAUCAUGGCAGCCAAUUCCCGGACGCUCGAAAUCAAGGUGAUCUCCGCUGAGAAUCUGCAAUUAGAUAGAAAACCCAUCAAGAAAAACGCUACCGUGACCGUCUGGACUGACGGCAACAGCCAGUUUUGCUCCACGGACAUGGACAUCGAUGGGGGCGCCUACCCACGGUGGAACGAGAAGCUCGUGCUCAACUUCCCAACGCACUCCAAGUCCAUCACGGUGGAGGUCCAAUGCAAGACUUCGUCCGGCAUCAGGACGAUCGGGACGGCGACGAUUCCGGAGUCGGAUUUUGUUGGCGGGUACGUGCCAGAGGGUUGCAUGCAUUUUUUGAGUUACAGGCUGAGAGAUCACAAGGGGGAGAGGAAUGGGAUUAUUAAUAUUUCUGUGAGGAUGAACGUUCAUGAGAUGUACGCUUGUGCAAGUUCAACGACGUGGUCUCACUCGCAGAUGGGGUUUCCGGCGGAUGGGAACAAAAGUUUUGGCGGCGGCGUUGUAACCGGAGUUCCGGUUUGGUGUGGUGCCUAUCAGAAAAAUUAUUGAAGAUCCAAGGCACAAUUUCUUGUGCGUAAAUAUUACAGGAUUUAGACUUUUGGUUAAGGAAUAUACAAACUCAAGGUCUUUUGUGUUGUUGAAAGAAAUUUGAUGCAACCAUUUAAUUCAUUGUUACAAUACUUGAUUGUUUUUGUUUUGAUUAAAAGAAAUUUUCUCAAUAUCUUAUAGUGAUUGUAAUUAUAUAUUAUCAACGCCCACCAUUUCCUCAAAUUUUCUGCUUGCACAACACAUUUACAAUGUGCCGGCACCAGGUAGCCGACAGCAAAUAGGGUGAAAUGCUUAUUUAGUCUCUAAACUCUCACUUCAGUAAAAAUUAGGUAUCUGAAUUAUUUUUUGGGUAAAAUAAGUCCCUAAAUUCAAUAAAAACUGCUAAUUUGAUCCCUACUAUUAUAUUCAAAACUAUUUUAUCCAAUUUUUUGUCAAUUUAAAUCACUUGACACACUUUAGGGUGUAAUACCGUUUUUUUCUCGCCCAUAAGCCCUUAACAUGUCGUAUAGGUUGCGAAUCUAAUAUCUAAUUUACCCUCCAAAGUUAACUCCAUGCACUAUUUCUUUAUGAAAAAUUACCAAUCUACCAUUCAAUGUGUAUCACAUGCAAAUAACGUGACUUAAAUUGACAGAAAAUUGAAUAUAAUAGCUUUGAAUCUAAUAUUAGGGAUGUAAUUGGUAGAUUUUUAUAAUUCAAUGACUGAUUUUUUUGAAAACAAAUAAUAAUUUAAAAACCUAAUUUUCACUUAAAUAAUAAUUAAGGGACUAAUUUGGCGGUUCACCCUUACAUAUAUAUUGCAUAUAUACUAAACCAAUUUACGCAGAAGCAGAUAGGGAAGCAGUGGGUCAAAUUCAUUGUGAUAUUUGAAAUAGCUGACAACGGCAACAGUCGAGUAAUGCACACCACCUUUGACUUGAUUAACCAGUGGUUGGGAGAAACGCAUUACUAAAAACCCUAAUCACCAAGGUAAUUUACCACUUUCUAGCGAUAUUCUACCACUGGUCGUUUAUUUACUAGUUACCUUAUCAAAAUUUGUGGACCCAAUAAAUUGUUGAUCUAUGAAUUAAAAAUUCAUGAGUAAAUGUUCUUUCACAUAAUACCAUUAAAAUUACGUCCAAAAUAUUGAGUAUAAAUGGAAUACGGAUGAACAUUUUAACAGAAUUAUCCAAAAGAACCAUUGCAUUGCAUUGCAUUGUGACAAGUUUAAAGACCAAUACUCAUAAAUUUUUGGCUAAAUUGAAUUAAUGGUCCCUGUGGUGAUAGGUUAAUUGGAUGAUAACCCUCGUGGUGAAAAAAUUUGAAUUUAAACCCUCGUGGUGAAGUUCCAUUAGAAUCCAAGCCCAAAAUUAACAUUGAUGUCAACUUUUGUUAACAUUUCCACCUUGGUUCUUUGGUUCUGCCUCUCCCUGCCUGGUUCUUAGCAUCCCAUCUCUCUCUCAUUUUCUCUCCAGAUUUUCGGCCUGGAGCAAACCAAUGGAUGUUUAUCUGCAUCCCAGCACCCAAAUCAUAGAGUCAUAGCUAUAGUUAUGGAACAUAUGAAUUAAUUAACUAAUAAUUUUCAGCUCCAAAAUAAAAGUAAUUAAUAGCAACAACAACAACAACAAAGCCUUUUCCCACUAAGUGGGGUCGGCUAUAUGAAUCCUAGAACGCCAUUGCGCUCGGUUUUGUGUCAUGUCCUCCGUUAGAUCCAAAAUCAAGUCUUUUCUUAGGGUCUCUUCCAAAGUUUUCCUAGGUCUUCCUCUACCCCUUCGGCCCUGAACCUCUGUCCCGUAGUCACAUUUUCGAACCGGAGCGUCAGUAGGCCUUCUUUGCACAUGUCCAAACCUCGGAUAUCCUCAUUCCCAAUCUUAUCCUUUCUCGUGUGCCCAUACAUCCCACGAAGCAUCCUCAUCUCCGCUACACCCAUUUUGUGUACGUGUUGAUGCUUCACCGCCCAACAUUCUGUGCCAUACAACAUCGCUGGCCUUAUUGCCGUCCUAUAAAAUUUUCCCUUGAGCUUCAGUGGCCUACGACGGUCACACAACACGCCAGAUGCACUCUUACACUUCAUCCAUCCAGCUUGUAUUCUAUGGUUGAGAUCUCCAUCUAAUUCUCCGUUCUCUUGCAAGAUAGAUCCUAGGUAGCGAAAACGGUCAUUUUUUGUGAUCUUCGCUAGAUUGCUCCGGUCAUUAGUGUGGAUAAGUAUAUAAAUGGAUAGAGAUAGGAAAGCAAACACAAGAUGUACGUGGUUCACCCAGAUUGGCUACGUCCACGGAAUAGAGGAGUUCUCAUUAAUUGUGAACGGUUUACACAAGUACAUAGGUUCAAGCUUUCCUUUAGUGAGUACAAGUGAAUGAUUUAGUACAAAUGACAUUAGGAAAUAUUGUGGGAGAAUGAUCUCGUAACCACGAAACUUCUUAGUACUGGAGUGUGGUAUCGUCUUGACUUUCCUUAUCUGUCUCAUAGGUAGAUGUGGCAUCUUCUCUGGAAGUACUCUUCCUCCAUCCAGGGGUGGUAUCUGUAACUGAUGGAGAUGCACAAGGUAAUGUAUCAAUGUCACUUGAAGCUUACUUGUAGUUUCAGGCUUGGUCAAGCGCGAUACAAACCAUGUAGUAGGAGUCCCCCAAGUCGCCGAGCUAGGGGAUCUGCUGAAAGAGGUGACAGACAAGGUAAGCAAUCAGAGCUCCGGCUGAUUGUUCACAUUCUCCCUAUCUUGCAGGCAGCAUGAAGGAUAAAGAGAAGAAAAAUGAGAAGAUAUGAUAUGGGAUACUUUUGCUUUUGAAGAAGUAACUUUCCACAGGCUUAUUCUUGAACUGGGUUGGAGGGUUUUCUGGUUUCCUCCAGAGAUAAGGUCGACUGAAGAAUUUGAGGGUCAAAACAAGUCCAUCAAAUCUAGAGUACGUUCGACCCUGCUGAUAUGGGAUACUUUUGCUUUUGACAGAGUAAUGGAUGUAUCGGCACGUGUGCUGUUACGCUUGUCUCCACAUGCUUCCUUGUAUCCUUCUCACUUGCCCUAUCUGUUCCUCAGGCAGAUGCGGGAUCUUCCCUAGAAGCAUAAGGUGUUGAAGAUGAGUACUCGAGAGCAAUGCCAAGUAAGUAAUCAGGUAAGGGGUUCCAGGCAGUCAGUUCCUGGCUGGAAGCUUGAUUCCAAGUGCUGACUAAUUGCUCUCUUUCUCCUUGUCUUGCAGGUAAGAACAAGGCCAAAAGAAAAGACAGGGAAAAAGCAUGAUAUGGGAUACUCUUGCUUUUAACCCUGAUGAUAUGAGAUAUUCUUGCUCUAGUAUAGCUUGUUUACAGAGGUAUUAUCGGGGGGAAAGAAAGCUGAAUAUUUCGAAAGGCUUCGUUGGGAGUGCCCUCUCAGAUAAGAGGAAGGGUUGAGCAUUUUUGCAGGUCUGCCUGUCCGUUGGGGAUGGAGGUCGACAUAUAUAGGAGUCUCCCUAACAUCAAGUAAUAAUGUUAUUCCUUUACCCUGCUUGGUCAUAGCACGGUAGUGGGAGCUGCCAGCUUCACAAGUUUUAACUCUGUCAGAGCACUUUGAAAAAGUGGUCUGUGGUAUCUGGAAAGCUGAUGUUGCGUGUGAAGAUUACAGACAAGCUUUAUCCAAGGAGAUCCAGCUCUUGAAGUUGGGAAAGUGGUGCCUCUUCGGUUUUCGAACAAGCAAUCCUGUCGGGGAUCUGGCUCUCGAGAUUCGGAGAACGAUGCCUCUUCGAUUUUUGAGAAAGCAAUCCUAAUGGGGGUCUGGCUCUCGAGAUUCGGAGAGCGGUGUCUUCGAUUUUUGAGAAAGUAAUCAUGUUGGGAGUCUGGCUCUCGAGAUUCGGAGGGCGGUGAUGCCUCUUCGAUUUUUGAGAAAGCAAUCCUACUGGGGGUCUGGCUCUCGAGAUUCGGAGAACGAUGCCUCUUCAAUUUUUGAGAAAGCAAUCCUACUGGGGGUCUGGCUCUCGAGAUUCGGAGAGCGGUGUCUUCGAUUUUUGAGAAAGUAAUCAUGUUGGGAGUCUGGCUCUCGAGAUUCGGAGGGCGGUGCCUCUUCGAUUUUGGAGCAAACAAUCUUGUUGGGAGUGUUUUCUCGAAUGUGAGUAAAGGUUGGGCAUGUUUGCUAGUCUACCUUGCCACGAAGCACAGAGGUCGACACACAGGGACUUUCCAAUUAUCCAGCAGUGGUACUGUUCAUUUACCCUCUCUUCGAUUUUUGAGAAAGUAAUCAUGUUAGGAGUCUGGCUCUCGAGAUUCGGAGGGCGGUGCCUCUUCGAUUUUGGAGCAAGCAAUCUUGUUGGGAGUGUUUUCUCGAAUGUGAGUAAAGGUUGGGCAUGUUUGCUAGUCUACCUUGCCACGAAGCAUAGAGGUUGACACACAGGGACUUUCCGAUUAUCCAGCCGUGGUACUGUUCCUUUACCCUCUCUUCGAUUUUUGAGAAAGUAAUCAUGUUGGGAGUCUGGCUCUCGAGAUUCGGAGGGCGGUGCCUCUUCGAUUUUGGAGCAAGCAAUCUUGUUGGGAGUGUUUUCUCGAAUGUGAGUAAAGGUUGGGCAUGUUUGCUAGUCUACCUUGCCACGAAGCACAGAGGUUGACACACAGGGACUUUCCGAUUAUCCAGCCGUGGUACUGUUCCUUUACCCUCUCUUCGAUUUUUGAGAAAGUAAUCAUGUUGGGAGUCUGGCUCUCGAGAUUCGGAGGGCGGUGCCUCUUCGAUUUUGGAGCAAGCAAUCUUGUUGGGAGUGUUUUCUCGAAUGUGAGUAAAGGUUGGGCAUGUUUGCUAGUCUACCUUGCCACGAAGCACAGAGGUUGACACACCGGGACUUUCCAAUUAUCCAGCAGUGGUACUGUUCCUUUACCCUUGUGGGUAAUAAUAUGGUAGCUAGACCUUCAAAAUUUAUGUGUCUAAACUUUGUUAGUGUUGUUUCUUUGCUAAUCUUUUACCCUUCUUGGUCAGAGCGAUGUAGUGGGAGCUGCAAGCUUCAUGUGUCUCAACUUUGUCAGAGAACUUUGGCAAAGUUAUAUGUGGUACCCAUGAGCUACUGUUGCGUGUGGGAAGUGGGUGAUUGAACAGUACGAUUCAUGUGCUUUCUACUUCGCCAGAAAUCUUCGACAGAAUGCCCAUAAUUUCCGCAAAGCUGAGUGUGCGUGUGAUAGGUGCUAACAGGGCUAGAAAAGUAGGUGCCUCUUCGAUUUCUGAGAUCGGCCCUCAUGGUCUCUGAGCAGCCCAGCUUUUGAGAAAGCAAGCCUCUUCGAUUUCUGAGAUCAGCCUUCGUGGUCUUUGAGCAGCCCAGCUUUUGAGAAAGCAAACGCCUCUUCGAUUUCUGAGAUCGACCCUCGUGGUCUCUGAGCAGCCCAGCUUUUGAGAAAGCAAACGCCUCUUCGAUUUCUGAGCAGGCGCCUCUUCGAUUUCUGAAGCUUCAUCGAGUGCAGAUUUUUAUAGGGGCAGACAUUAAGUUCCAAAGCACACUUGAAUAUCCACCAGUAGAAGCUCCAUUCUUGCACUUCUAAGAUCUUGAUUUGUCCGACCUCUUCUCUCUUCAACACCUUUGAAAAUGUCUGGCCCCUCCGACCGUCGUUUUGACUUGAACCUUGUUGAAGAGGUAGCCCUGCCUUCUCCAGACAACAUAUGGCGCCCAUCCUUCGUCUCCCCUACUGGUCCUCUUACCGUUGGGGAUUCCGUGAUGAAGAAUGAUAUGACCGCUGCGGUAGUGGCCAGGAACCUUCUCACUCCCAAAGAUAACAGACUACUUUCCAAACGGUCUGAUGAGUUGGCUGUUAAGGAUUCUCUGGCUCUUAGUGUUUAGUGUGCAGGUUCUGUGUCUAAUAUGGCCCAACGCCUAUUUGCUCGAACCCGCCAAGUUGAAUCAUUGGCGGCUGAAGUGAUGAGUCUCAAACAGGAGAUUAGAGGGCUCAAGCAUGAGAAUAAACAGUUGCACCGGCUCGCACAUGACUAUGCUACAAACAUGAAGAGGAAGCUUGACCAGAUGAAGGAAUCUGAUGGUCAGAUUUUACUUGAUCAUCAGAGAUUUAUGGGUUUGUUCCAAAGGCAUUUAUUGCCUUCGUCUUCUGGGGCUGUACCGCGUAAUGAAGCUCCAAAUGAUCAACCUCUGAUGCCUCCUCCUUCUAGGGUUCUGUCCAGUACUGAGGCUCCGAAUCAUCCCCCUCCGGUGCCUUCUCUUUCUGGGGCUCUACCGACUGCUGAGACUUCUCCUAAGCAACCUUUGUGAAGGCUCCCUCUUGUUUGUUUAUUUUGACUCAAGUAUAUGUACAUAUUUGUAACUUAUCGGGGAUAUCAAUAAAUAAGCUUUCCUUCAUUUCAACGUAUUGUGUUAAAUACACCCAAAGCCUUCUUCGCUAAGUUCUUUGAAUUCUCUUUUUGUUGAAGCUUGUAUGUUGAAGCUUUGUGAGUGGAGCAUAUAGGUUGAGGUAGUGUUCCCUUAAUUUCCCGAGUGAGGAAAACUUCUCGGUUGGAGACUUGGAAAAUCCAAGUCACUGAGUGGGAUCGGCUAUAUGAAUCUUAGAACGCCAUUGUGUUCUGUCCUGUGUCAUGUCCUCCGUUAGAUCCAAGUACUCUAAGUCUUUUCUUAGGGUCUCUUCCAAAGUUUUCCUAGGUCUUCCUCUACCCCUUCGGCCCUGAACCUCUGUCCCAUAGUCGCAUCUUCUAAUCGGAGCGUCAGUAGGCCUUCUUUGCACAUGUCCAAACCACCGUAACCGAUUUUCUCUCAUCUUUCCUUCAAUUUCGGCUACUCCUACUUUACCCCGGAUAUCCUCAUUCCUAAAUCUUAUCCUUUCUCGUGUGCCCACACAUCCAACGAAGCAUCCUCAUCUCCGCUACACCCAUUUUGUGUACGUGUUGAUGCUUCACCGCCCAACAUUCUGUGCCAUACAGCAUCGCCGGCCUUAUUGCCGUCCUAUAAAAUUUUCCCUUGAGCUUCAGUGGCAUACGGCGGUCACACAACACGCCGGAUGCACUCUUCCACUUCAUCCAUCCAGCUUGUAUUAUAUGGUUGAGAUCUCCAUCUAAUUCUCCGUUCUUUUGCAAGAUAGAUCCUAGGUAACGAAAACGGUCGCUCUUUGGUAUUUCUUGAUCUCCGAUCCUCACCCCUAACUCGUUUUGGCCUCCAUUUGCACUGAACUUGCACUCCAUAUAUAUUCUGUCUUUGAUCGGCUUAGGCGAAGACCUUUAGAUUCCAACACUUCUCUCCAAAGGUUAAGCUUUACAUUUACCCCUUCCUGAGUUUCAUCUAUCAACACUAUAUCGUCUGCGAAAAGCAUACACCAAGGAAUAUCAUCUUGAAUAUGUCCUGUUAACUCAUCCAUUACCAACGCAAAAAGGUAAGGACUUAAGGAUGAGCCUUGAUGUAAUCCUACAGUUAUGGGGAAGCUUUCGGUUUGUCCUUCAUGAGUUCUUACGGCAGUCUUUGCUCCUUCAUACAUAUCCUGUAUAGCUUGGAUAUAUGCUACUCGUACUCAUUUCUUCUCUAAAAUCCUCCAAAGAAUGUCUCUUGGGACCCUAUCAUACGCUUUUUCCAAAUCUAUAAAGACCAUGUGUAAAUCAUUUUUCCCAUCUCUAUAUCUUUCCAUCAAUCUUCGUAAGAGAUAGAUUGCCUCCAUGGUUGAGCGCCCUGGCAUGAACCCGAAUUGGUUGUCUGAAACCCGUGUCUCUUGCCUCAAUCUAUGCUCAAUGACUCUCUCCCAGAGCUUCAUUGUAUGACUCAUUAGCUUAAUACCCCUAUAGUUCAUGCAAUUUUGUACAUCACCCUUAUUCUUGUAGAUAGGCACCAAAGUGCUCGUUCGCCACUCAUUUGGCAUCUUCUUCGUUUUCAAAAUCCUAUUGAAAAGGUCAGUGAGCCAUGUUAUACCUGUCUCUCCCAAAACUUUCCACACUUCGAUUGGUAUAUCGUCUGGGCCUACUGCUUUUCUAUGCUUCAUCUUCUUCAAAGCUACAACCACUUCUUACAUUUAAAUAAUUAGUCUGAGAAAUAAAGUUUUAUGAGGGUGUCGAGCCCACAUUGUAGCUGUAGUUUUACUGAUCGAAAUCACAGAAGUACAGAACCUCUUUCUAUUCUGGAGCCGACUGAAAAUGUCGUGCUUAACAUAACACUGUUGUUCCUUUCUCUCCUCUCUCUUCAGCUUCCCUUCGUUAUUUUUUAUUUCCUUUUGAGAUAAAACAAUCAAACCUCAAACAAAGAUAAUUCUUCAGUGGAUGAUGAUGAGGUCUGCUUACUGCUCCUCUUUUCAUGUUUCUUGGGUUUUGUUUUGCUUGAUUGGUGUGUUCUCAACAAAUUAGUCCGGAUUGGUUUUGUUGGUAGGUUCAGAUUUCAUCAUUUCUACAGCUAACAAAACCAAUCAAGAAAUGUUAAUCUAACAAAACCAACCACGGACACGUUAACAGAAAAAAGACGGAAAUGUUAAUAGGGUAAUCUAGAAAAAAGACGGAGUGGGUUAACAGAGAUGUUAAUUUUGGGCUUAAAUCCUAACGGAACUUCACCACGAGGGUCUAAAUCCGAAUUUUUUCACCAUGGGGGUUAUCUUCCUAUUAACCUAUCACCAUGGGGACCAUUAAUCAAAUUUAGCCUAAAUUUUUAAUUAAUGGACCAAAACUCUAAUUCCACUAAAACUUAGGGACCAAUCCAAAUUUGCUUUUAAAAAUAAAAAUUUCUAGUUACCCUAUAUCUUCUUUUUGAAGUCCUAAUCCUUCUUGAAAAAUAAUCCCCCACGCAUUAAUUAAGCAUAGUAAUCAUCUAUUCUAUUUUCUGAUUUAGCACUACAACAAGUUAGUUUACACUAACUUUAUAUAAUAUAUCGAUUUUGGGUUUGUAAUUGAACAUUAAAGUUUCAUGUUCACCCCAAAAUGGCCUGGCAUAAGCAUUCAUUGAACGCUUCAAUUGAUCGCUUGGUCAUUGGUCAUACGUACCAAACUCUCAACCCUUACCUGGGACAAUGCACUACUUUAGCUAUGUUAGUCCACAUGAUGCUCAUGUCACCCAAUCCUAUUUGAGCAUUACAGUUGGUAACUGGGUACAAACCUGAAGUUUUGUACUUACGUGUCUUGGGUGGACACUUUAUGUGCUAAUUGAGCCGUUGCAAUGUACCAUUAUAGGUCCUCACAAAGGGAUAUGAAUCAAUGUCAAUUUUGAUUCUCGUAAGCCCUUACAAGCGAUUAUGUCACUUCAAUUAGAACGUCACACAUUCUUGAAGAAUGAAGCGAAUUAUUAUGGACGUCCCCACUAUGUCUCAUCUCAAUCCCUAAUCUAGAUCAUUGAUGCGAAAAUUAACUUAACACACAAAUUUAACCAUCUUUUGACAAUUGUAGUAUAAGUAUAAGUAGGGAUCGUUCUGGACCGAUGAUUAGGAGGACUUGCUAAUAACCUCUAAACUGACUCAAAAACAUAAAACUAAACUUAAAAACACUUAACAAGAUUCACAAGACUCAAAGCAAACUUAAAAUACUCAAAACAGCUUAAAACAAUCAAAUAAACUUAAACUAGACACUAGGAAUGACUUUGGACGAAAAUUGACUUUUACUUGAAUCAAAACACUUAAAAACACAAACUAAAACAGAUUUGAAACACUUUGAAACAAGAAACUAAAAAGGGGGUUUUGAUUUGGAUGAAGUUGUAACAAACAAACAAGUAUGAAAAACUAGACAGAUUGUAAAACGAAUGUAAGAAAUAAGAUGAUGGAUAGGAUAGCUAGAGGCUUUUUCUCCACACAUGAUAUGUAUGCAAAUAAUUCGAUUUCCAGUUGCUACUUCAUUGAAUUAUGAACGACAAUGCUCCAAAUUAACCGUGACAUCACUAAUUAACUCUCAGAUUUUCCUUGUUUUAUUGGAUUGGAUGACAUCAUUUGACAACCCAAAACAUUCUUCAAAAGUUCCCUACAUGACAUCAUAAUAGAGAUACAAUCAAAUAUCAUUACGUUUAAUGAAAAUCAUAAGCAUUGACAAAGCACUUGCAACUAUGACAUCAUGUCACUCAUGCUAGGAAUUGAACUUAACGCGAUCGUUUAUAAGCGACCUUCACUACAUGUGAAUAUAAGUUUGUAACGAUUAUGUGAAACUUCCUUAUACUCUAGCAACGGAUUUAUGCAUGCCAAUUAAGUGUCAACCCUUAAUUAAAAAAUACAAAUAAGUUAUCAAUCAAAUAGUUAAGCCAAUUGCAUUCAUGAUUCAAGAGUUUAUAACUGGAAUUUAUCAAAUCAUAUUACACACAUAAUCAUGGCUUUGAAAUCACCCCUAACUAAGAGGGGUUUAGCCACUCAUAUUCAUAACAAUACGAAAGAAAAUGAAUUUAAACAUUGGAAACAAAAGAAAGAAAACACAUAAACGUUCCAACGAUCCAAGUUGGACAGCAAGCAUGUCCAAACACUUUCCUUCCCUUCCUUUGCUACGGCACAAGGUGUUGGUGAGUGUUUGAAGGUUUGUUUGUAUGGAAGAAUGGAUGUAAAGAUGAAUGGAUGUGUUUGGAUAAAGGUUGUAUCGAAAUGGGGAUCAAUAAUCAAGCAAAAACUGAACUAUAUGGCUGCCACACACACUUCCUUUUAUAGAGGAAGUGCACGGCAAUGGAGGGAAAUUGGUGGUGUGUGCAAUGAUUCAAGGAUGAAAAUGAAGUAAUGAUGCAAAGCAUGGGGGGUAAAAUGGAGUGGUGUUGCAGCAAUAAGUGCAUGAAGUGGUGAUUGAAAUGAUUCAAAGGUGAAAGUGAAGUGAUGAUGCAAAGCAUGGGGGGUAAAAUGGAGUGAUGUUGCAGCUAUGAAUGCAAGUAGGGAACAUGAAUGAUUGUGCACAUGGUAUAGAAAAGAAAGGGAGGUGGAAUGAUGCAGAAAUGAGUCAAAGGUGCAGCAAGACUCAUGAUGCACGACAUAGGAUUCCAAAUAUGGUGGAUGGUGCAUCAAUGAGUGCAUGUAGUGGAGGUAAAGGUUGUAUGAAAUCUGAUGGGUGAAGGGGACAAGGAAUGUGCAGCAAUUGAGUACAAUGAUUCAAUGUUUUGGUGCAUGAAAUCAGAAAUAAUGAAGGAGACAAGGGUGGUGCACGGCAUAGAUGGAUAAUGAGUGUAAUGGUGCAUGAAAUGAGUGCAGGAAAUCUAGUGCAUGAAGGGGACAAGGGUGAUUAUGCAUGACAUGGGUGGAAAGGUGAGUAAAUGGUGAAUCAAUGAGUGCAAGGAGGUGAAAGGAUAUUAUGUACAUGGAAAGGAAGUGGAAUGGUGCAGCAAAUGAGUGCAAUGAGGGAACAUGGAUGAAUGUGCACGGCAUGGGUGGUAAAAUGAAGUGAUUUAUGGCAAAAAAUAGGAAAUGAAUGGCUCCCUUGCACGGCAAGGAAGAGAAUGGUGAAGGAUGGUAUGGCUUGGACUUUUAGGGCAGGUUUAGGACUUGUAGAAUAUGUAAUGAAAUGUCCCAAAGUAUUUAGGAACCCUUCGUGUGACCAAAUCUUUGGUAAUUUAGGAUUAGGAAAGAUAACGACAAGAUAAGGCAAGUUUGACUAGUCUUUCCUUAUUCUUAAUGGUUUCCUUGUCUUCCUUGGUCCUCAAUUUAUUUUCUUCCUUUCCUUGGCACAUUCCUAGCUUCUUUAGAUCUUUAAUUUUGUCCAACCACUUUGCUCUAUGCAUGUGAUAUCCAUUCCAUGCCCAAAACUACUCCAAAAGACACCAAAAUGCACUUCUUUGCCUCUUUAACCCUUUGUACCUACAACCACAUGAAAAUGGCUUGAAAUACUAAAUCAACUAAGAAAUAACAACAUAAAUGCACAAGAACAAGCUAACUAAGUCGCAUAUGCUCCUAUCAAUCAUCAGAGUGGUACCAGACGCUUUAUCUAAUCUAGUAAAUGUGACAAGAUCACAUAUACUAGCUGCAAACAUGUUUGCAAUGAUUUAUGUAUCUAGGUAGGCCGCUUCGCCUAGUGGUCGGCCUAGUAUAUCGGCGGCUAGCCAAUCAAUUUGUUGUCUGCCUAAAGUGCGAUAGAUCACUUGGUUUGAAGGAUUCACCUUAUCAGAAGUGGAGGAAUAUGGCACAAACAAAUCCCUCCUUAGAUUGUUGUCUCAAUCAUUUCCAUCUCAUGAGACUAAAUCUGGAUUACUCCCGAGGCUUGAAGUUCUUGGUCCAGCAUACUAGUUUGGAUGAGAUAUAGAAUUGGCAUGAGAUUAUCAUCAAUGGUGUUUCAAUUAUAUGGUACCUACCGACAUAAAUGAAAAGUAAGGAUAUCGAACCACAUUUCGUUGAUUACUAAUAAUGUAGAAUUGAAUGGUCAAUUAGAAAUAAACAAAAUAUGUCGAAGGAGAUAAAUGAAAUAAUGUGAUAUAACCCUGAAGACUUCUCUCAUACGCCAUGUGAUUGAUUGUAGCAUAUAAACGUCGUUGUAACGUAUCUUUGAAAUCAUGAUACAAAAUAUACAUGGAAGUUUUAGAAUGACUUACAUGUACUUAUUUAAAUAAGUUCUAGACCAUAGAACACCCUUUCAGUUUAGAUGAGGCUUUCACUUUACGGAUGCAGAACAAUCCGGGCAAAUGUGGUAUACUCGUCUAAGUGAAUAUUUGAUCAGUUAGGGAUAUUGCCUCAGCAUGUACAAAAUCCAAAAUUGCUAGAAUUGCAGUUUAUGUCAAUGACAUGAAUCUUACUAAGACUCUGGAAAAGCUUAAGAAAACUGACUCGUAACUGAAGUCGGACUUUGAGAUGAAUAAUCUUGGGAAAACUCGACGCUACCUCAACUUGAAGUUUCGAGCAUGGUUUUGAUAGUAUUAUGGUCCACUAGUCGAACUAGACCCAAAAGGGGUUGCUUCUGAGUAUAAUCUUGAUCAUCUAUACAUUAGAUGCAAAUGAGACCUUUACGGAGGUUAUGGAGCAUAAGGGUUCAUAUCAAAACAUGUAACACCAUAUUUGAGUGCAAUUGGCGUGUAUUGUACUUAGCUCAAUGAACUAGAUUGGACAUCUCAAAUGCUGAUAAUUUUUUGGCAAAAAGCACCACUGCGCUUACACGCCACCACCAAAUUAGGUGUUAAUGACGUUUUUCUGUUACUACGGAUUUGGGCUUACUCUAUCAUUAUGCAUCUCAGAAUAUAUCACACCCCCUUGAUCUUCGGCAUGAUACCUACAAUGUGGGAAUCGAAAUUAGAAUCUUUGUCUGAUCCGCACAACGUACUUUCCCAAAUGGUUAUGUCUUUACUGUUAAGGAACACUGCAACAUUUUGGAGGUCAACCAGAUAGACCUUAGUUGUGAAAUCUUUGAAUUGUUCCAAGACUCAUUGUAUAUCAUCACGUGAGAGAUAUAGUUGAGAACUCUUGUUGAGCAUAUUCGAAUUCCCUACAAUUUUCAUCUAUCGUUGAGUCCCAACAACGAUCCAUGAAGAUAAUGACAUAUGUAUCGAUCAGAUCAUGAUACAUCCAACAUGUCAACGCCAAGCAUAUUGUACCUACAUCAGUAUGAGCAUUAUAAGAUUGAAGUUAAGCAGUUCGAUCCCAGACAACCUUGCCGACCUCUGCACGGAUUCACUGUCGAAGUAUACCUUCCAGAUGCUUGUUUGAGGAAUUGGUAUGCGUGACUUUCGCAUUUGUAAUGCUUGCAGUUUUAUUUGGAAAUUCUAUCAAAUUGAGAGGGAGUAUACAUAAGUAUACUCACUUGACCUUAAUUUACUUUUUUUUUCCUAUGCUUAGGAGCACUUUUCCCAUUGGAUUUUUACUACCAAACUAGAUUUUGACGUGGUACUCAUCUUGGGCUGGUCAUACCCUUGUGUACAUUCUACUUGCAUCCUGAGGACUUAUAGUUUUGACUUAAUGCAACUUCUCAAUUUUCUCCUUUGACUAUGGGUUUCUAUCCCACCUUAGGUUUUGCUAUAACAAGGUUUUGUGAGUUUUACCACCUAUGCAUUCUUCUGUUUGUUUUGAGACUCGCAUUCGCUAAUUGUGCCAACUAGACGAGACGACUUCAUCAAUUGUUCUACAUUUUCCUGAAAAUGUGACGUGUCAUUGAUGAGUAGAUUUUAUAUUAUAUAUUUUACCCUAUUCUUUAGUAUAUUUUGAAAGAAUUUUGAUACUUUGAAUUGUAUUUUCAAUAUAGGACUUCCGAGUUCUUAUGGAGCAAAACAUGACCAAAUGGAUGAAUUUUGGAGUAAUUCCAGUUGGAGGACGUUUGUAAGUCACUUAGCUUGAUCUCAAAAUUUGGGAUUUUUCCACCAAGUGGUUAUUUUCUGGCAAUAAAAUAAAAGAGUGAUGCGUUGUGCUGGAAAAUGACAUUUUUAGGCUUAAAUUGCGUUUUUGGAGCCCAAGAUGAUCUCGAAUGGUUUCGUGGCCUUCUGGAGAUGUGUUUGGAACGUCCUAAUCUUUAACAUAAGCUAUCUUGGGCCGGAUUUGGAGGAGAUCUGAGGCUAAAACGUGGUUGGACAAGUACUUGGCAGAUUCUCCUAGUUUAAUUAGGGUUUUAUUUUCUAAGAUAUUUUAUUAUUCUUCUUAGUUUCCUAAUUGGAAUAAGAGAUAUGUUUUAGGAUUUGUGCCAUGGCUUAGCAAAUAUAUUGCUUUACCAUUCUUAGUUUUUUUUUUGCUACGCUUUCUUUUAUGCAACUUUGGAGAUAGAGAGCAAUUGCUAAGGUUUUUGGAGAUUUUCUACUUUAAGGUGUUUUCAUUCUUUUUAUUUUUCAUAAUAUUUCCUAUAAUUUCAAUUAUGAAUAUCUGUAACUAAUUUCUUUUGCUAGGGCGAAGCCUUGAGCCUUAGUAUGAAUAUGUGUUUUUUAUUUAAUUGCUUAUGAUUGAUUGCAUGCACACUUUGAAUUAUUAAUCACUGGUUUAAACUAUCUAACUUUCUUAAUCCCUGAUCACCAUUAGGAUCUUUAGAAAAGUAAUUUGAUGCAAUUUUGGUCAGAAGGUUCCCUGAAAUUGACGCUGGCUUCAUGUGGUUAAUAAUUGUAAUUUCACUUAAGAUGAACACCAUGUCUUAAGGAUUGCAUGGUUUUUUCAAAAGUUUUUCAUAGUGCAUAAUUAGUCUUUCAUGUUCAGAUUUAAUCCAAACGUCCAGACGGGUUGCAUGUUAGAUAUACGUUCUAUGUUGGAGGUUCCAAGUAGAAUAUGAAUUAGGAAAAUCUAACCUUCAAAGUGGCAUGCGUAGAUCAUAAGUAAUUGGUAAAAAUUCAUAGGAUUGCUAAGUGAUGGUGGAACCCUAAUGCUUUCUUAAUUUGAUUUCUCCAAAACUUUUCUUUUUCUUUCGGCUUUAAUAUUGCAGGUUGUUUUACUUUUAUUAAUAAAAUUCGUUUUAAUAAAUUAGGUUAUAAAAAUCAAUCAUCUCAAUUUUUACUUUACAAUAAUUAAUUGGAAUUUGGUUGUUUCGAAUUAUUUAAUAAUCCAUGUGGAGAACGACCUUACAAGAUCCCUUUAUACUACAGUAACCUUAUCAUUCUUGCAAGUAAUAUAGGAGUUUUUAACCCAUUUGCAUGUGUGGUGAAAUCCCUAUCGGUCAUCCUAGUGGGCAGGCGAAGGGGAAGUCCUCGAGGAUGGAUGGAGAAUCAGUUUCUUCACCGAUUGAAUUUGGAGCUAAUGGUGUUGAUUCGUCCAGAUCUGGUAAGAGAAGUCGUGGAAUUGAUGGACCGAAUUUGGAUGCUGAACGUGACAUGGCUGCUCUGCACCUGGAGCCUAAUGUGAGUUUCAAAGACAAGCUUAUGAAAUCAUCUCGGCGACUUGUCUCGGUUGCUAUCUGAUUUUGAUUUUGAUCCUGAUCUCGUUGACGGGGACGUGUCAUUCUCUCGUGAGGUGAAAGGGCCUAUCGUUACAUUCUCUGAAAAAGCUGUGACGAAAUUUGGUAAGGAUUGGCAUGAUGCUCUGGUCAUCAAACUUCUUGGGCGAUCGCACACUUAUAAUUUUUUGUUAAACAGGCUGAGGCAAAAAUGGCAAUUAAAAGGAGGUAUGCAGCUUAUUGACAUUGAUCAUGAUUUUUAUAUUGUUAAAUUUGAUUUGGAAGAGGAUAAGGAGUUUGUUUUAACUGGUGGACCUUGGAUAAUUGCGGGUCAGUAUUUGACGAUUCAAAAAUGGAGACCAGGAUUUGUGCCUGCAACUGAGGUUAUGACUCGUAUGGCUGUAUGGGUCAGGAUAAUGGGUGUUCCAAUUGAGUAUUUUAAUGUUUGGGCUAUGAGGAAGAUAGGUAGUGUGCUGGGAAAACUGUUAAAGAUUGAUGUACACACUAAUUCUCAAUACAGGGGCAAAUUUGCUAGAAUUUGUGUUGAGAUUGAUGUGACUAAGCCUCUUGAAGCGUUUAUUCAAAUUAAUGAUAGAUGGUACAAUUUGGAGUAUGAGGGUAUGCCAGAAAUUUGUUUUGGAUGUGGUCGUUAUGGGCAUAAGAGGGAGAGCUGUACUUGGAGCGUUGAUCCUAUGGCGGAAAAGGUUGAUGGUGGUGAAAAUGAGAGUAAUAUGAUGAAUAUGGAUGAGCCUAUAGUAAAGGCUGCUCAAAGUAGCGAUGAUGUUUCUGCUAUUCAUGGUAAUUGGAUGCAAGUUAAGCCUAGAGGUAGACCUCGGAAAAUAAAUAAUGGACAGAGAGGUGUUGAUGGUGCUUUUAAUGGGCAGGGGUCAAGGUUCAGUGUGCUCAAUGGGGAAGAUAAAAGUCUGAAUGAGGGAAAUGUGGGAAGUGGCACAGAUGGUGAGAAGGGUGAAGGUUCUAUUGAAAGGAAAAUUUGGGGGGUUAGGAAGAAGAAGGAAGCUAGUGAUCGGGAUGCACUUGCUGAUAUAUCUAACUGUGGUGGAAAGCCAUCUACGCAUAAUUUGGGGCAACUAAGACAACCUUUAGUGAGAAGGUCAAGUUCUAGUUCGAUUAGUAAUGUUGAGGAUCAGCCGUUCAAAUUUAAUGUUAAUGCCUUCAAGACUGAUAUGUACUAUGGUUCAAAUAUGUCGAAGGGAACCUAUAUUUUUGGUCACCAACCAUCUAAUGCUAGUGGUAGCGAUGUUGAGUUAGCUGCGUGUGAUCUAGAUCCAGGUGAAGAGAUGAUGAAUACUGAUCAUACUAUUCCAGGUUCAAUUAUUCAACGAUCUCGUUCAACCGAGGAUUAUUGUUUAGCUAAGUCUGCUGAGAGGUGUGCCUCCCAUGUGGAGGAAACCCUUAUGGGUUGCUAGGCUGUAUGCCUUGGUUUUAUCUUUCUCAUCCAUCUUUAUGAUGAAUAUUGUAGUAUGGAACUCUAGAGGUGCUAGUUGCACCAAGUUUAAAGAUAAUGUUGCAGAAUUAAUUAACAUUCACCAAAUGGAGAUUUUGGUUAUUUGUGAGCCCAGGAUUAGUGGUCAGAAAGCUAUUUCAGUUGUGAAAUCUCUUGGUUUUCCGUGCUUUGAGAUUGUGGAUGCUGUUGGCUUCUCUGGUGGUUUGUGGAUGUUGUGGAAGGAUUCUAGAUUAAAGGUGGAAGUUAUCGGUACCACUGACCAAGCUAUUUCUGUUGUUGUGGAUGGUGUUGGUCAGAACCAUUGGAUUUUCACCGCUGUCUAUGCUAGCCCUUGUGUUACUAAAAGAGAAAGAUUGUGGGAUUAUUUAGAUUUUGUAGCUGAUUGUCAUCAAUUGCCUUGGUUAAUUGCUGGGGAUUUCAAUGACAUGUUGUGUGUGGAUGAUAAACUUGGUGGUGCUCCAUUAUGCAGAUUAAAAGGCUUCAAAUCCUGGGUGGAUAGGAAUUAUAUGAUUGAUUUGGGUUUUAUUGGUCCUAAAUUUACUUGGACUAAUAAAAAAAGUGUUAGAAAGAAUUGAUCGUGGGAUUUGUAAUAUGAGUUGGAGGAGCCUUUUCCCUGAAGCUUAUGUUCACCAUCUCCCGCGAACCAAGUCAGAUCACUGCCCUAUUAAGAUAUGCUUAAAUUCUCAUAAGUCAUUUUCUCCCAAUCAUCGUCCUUUUCGUUUUGAAGCUAUGUGGUUGAGGCAUGAAAAUUUUAAGGAGUUUGUUGAUGGUUAUUGGAGUAAUGGUGGAGGUUCGGUUGUUGAUAAAACUUGUGCUCUUAUUGAACCGCUUAAGAAGUGGAAUAUUCAAGUCUUUGGUCAUCUCAAACAGAGAAAGCGCAAACUUCUAGCAAGAAUUGAUGGGAUUCAAAAAGCUUUGUGUCGUGGGCCUAAUAAAUUUCUUUCUAAAUUGGAGGAUGAGUUGAUUUCUGAUUAUAAUGAAGUUCUAAAUGAGGAGGCUAUAUUUUGGCAUCAAAAGUCUCGGUUGAGGUGGCUUCAAGAAGGUGAUCGUAAUACAAAAAUUUUUCAUCUCACUACUAUUGUAAGAAGGAGAAGAAAUAGAAUUGAGGGCCUCAUUAACAAUCAAGGUGCUUGGAUAUCGGAGUCUUCUAAUAUGAAAAAGUUGGCAGUUGAGUACUUUCAAACUAUUUUUUCGCAUGGGCAAAAGUCUAAGCAAAUGGAAUGUCUUCCUAAUCUUUUUCCUGAUAUUAAUGUUGCUGUUCGUGAAGCUCUUACCAAAGAUAUUGAUAUGGUUGAAGUCAAGGAAAGCCUCUUUAAUAUUGGAGGCCUUAAAGCUCCAGGUAUUGAUGGGUUUCCUGCUUGCUUUUAUCAAAGUCAGUGGAAUAUAUGUGCUAAUGAUAUCUUUGAUAUGGUAUGGAAUGCUUUUCACUCAAGGAGAUUGCCUGCUGGGUUAAACAGUACGCUGAUUACAUUGGUCCCUAAAAUUGAUAAUCCUCAAAAGAUGUUGAAUUUUAGGCCUAUUAGUCUCUGUUGCACUCUUUAUAAAGUGAUCUCUAAAAUCAUUGUUGCUAGAAUCAGACCUCUCUUGCCUCAUCUAAUUAGUCCUAAUCAGGCUAGUUUUGUUCCUGGUAGACAAAUUUCUGACAAUGUCCUCAUUGCUCAAGAAAUUCUUCACAAGUUCAGAAUGUCAAAAGGCCAAAAAGGAUUUUUAGCCUGGAAAAUUGAUCUCUCUAAGGCGUAUGACAGACUUAAUUGGAAGUUUAUUGAGUAUGUGCUGAAUGAGGUUGGGUUGCCUUCGAAUUUGAUUCAGCUUAUGAUGGAAUGUGUAUCCACAGUUAGGUACCAAAUUUGUUUCAAUGGUGAAUUAACAGAUGGUUUUAUUCCUCAAAACGGUAUUCGGCAAGGGGAUCCUUUGUCCCCUUAUUUGUUUGUUCUAUGUAUUGAGAAACUCUCCCAUUUAAUUUCUGCAACUGUGAACAAAGGAAGGUGGAAACCUGUUAAGGCUUCUCAAUCUGGACCUAGGGUAUCUCAUCUCUUUUUCGCUGAUGAUUUAAUGUUGUUUUCUGAAGCUACUCCUAAGCAAGCAAGAGUAAUGAAGAGGUGCCUUGAACAAUUUUGCAAAGCUUCUGGUCAAGCUGUUAACUUUGAAAAAUCUGUUCUUUAUUAUUCUCCAAACACGUCAAGGGCUUGUGUUAAGAGUAUUAGUACAAUUUGUGGGUCUCCUGUCUCUGAGAGUCUUGGGAAUUAUUUAGGAAUGCCUCUAAUUCAGACUAGAGUUUCAAAGGUUACUUAUUUGGGCGUUAUUGAUAAAGUUCAGAAGAGGUUGGCAACUUGGAAGAGCAAGGUAUUGUCCAUGGCUGGAAGAAUUACCUUAAUUCAAGCUGUUACCUCGUCCAUACCAGUUUAUGCCAUGCAAACGACCAAGCUUCCGGCCAGUGUGUGUGAAGAGUUAGACAAGGUGAAUAGGGAUUUUUUGUGGGGGGAUACCGAUCAAAAGAAAAAAGUCCAUUUGUGCCAAUGGAGUAUGGUUUGCAAACCUAAAAGUAAGGGUGGUUUGGGGAUUAAGAGAGCUUGUGUAAUGAAUCAGGCUCUUUUAGCUAAGUUAGGGUGGAGGAUUCAUGCUAAGGACUUUGGUCUUUGGUCUCAAAUUUAUCAGGCUAAGUAUUUGAAAGGCUAUUCUAUUUUAGACCCCAAAAUUCAUGAAAGAACUGAGUGUUCUUAUUCUUGGAAAGGAAUUUUGUAUGGAGUUAAUCUUCUUAAAAAGGGCAUGACUUGGAGAAUUGGCAAUGGUGAGAGUGUGAAAUUUUGGAAGGAUUCAUGGGUCUUAAAUGUCCCUUUAAUGGAAACUAUUGAUGUUGCUAAUAUCUCCAAUAUUGAUUGUGUUGUCUCUGAAUUUUUUAAGAAAUGGUUGGUGGGAUAUUGAUAAGCUCAGAGAUGUGUUGCCAGAGGAUAUGGUUCAAAAAAUUAUAUGUCGGCCUGCUGGUACUACUGGUGCAGGUAUGGAUAAAAUUAUUUGGAGAUGUGCUUCUAAUGGAGUUUUCACCGUUAAGUCAGCUUAUAAUCUUUUCUUUGAUGAAGAGGAUUUGCCUGAUUCAUGCUGGGAUUUUAUUUGGAGAGUUAAUGUUCCACCGAAGCUAAAAGUUUUUCUUUGGUUGAUGAGUAAAGGGAGAUUGCUUUCUAAUGAGCAACGAGUUAGAAGACAAUUAACUUCUGAUUCUUCUUGUAUGACUUGUUGUGGACCAAUUGAAUCCAUUGCUCAUAUUUUUAAAGAUUGUUCCAGGGCUAUGUGUAUCUGGAAAAGUAUGGGAGUUCCAUGGCAACUGAGGAAUGCCCAGAAUCUUGAGUUUAAGGCUUGGUUGCUGGCAAAUCUGAAAGUAAGUUCAAAAGGGACCAAUGAGGGUGCUUGGUGUACUCUUUUCCUUUUUAUUUGUUGGCAUAUUUGGAAGUGGAGAAACAAGCAGAUUUUUGAUGUCAAUUUUGUCAUGCCUAUGUAUCCAAAAGCGAUCAUUGAGAGAGAUGUGGAUGAAUGGUUGAAGGCUUGUGUGAAGUAUUCUGUCAAACUUGUAAAAAGGCAAAUUUCUCUCUCUCUUGGGAUCAUCCUGAUGUAGGUUGGUGUAAGCUAAAUGUGGAUGGGUCUAGAAGGACAAAUUCUGGUCGAAUUGGGGCUGGUGGCGUUCUAAGAGAUCAUAAUGGCAACUGGUUAGGUGGCUUUGCUGUGAAUUUGGGACAAGGGCAGGUUUGUGAUGCUGAAUUAUGGAGUUUAUACUUUGGUUUACAGCUUGCUAUUGAUAAGGGUGCUACUGAGCUUCAUAUUGAGAUGGAUUCCAAGGCUGUUAUUAUGUUGUUGAAGCAAUCCCAAGUUGAUAAUUUCCAUCCUUUGGAGACAAUUAUGCAUAGCUGCAGAUUAAUGAUGAGACAAUUGAGGAGGUGUGAAUUGAAUCACGUUUAUAGAGAGAAGAAUAUUGUGGCGGAUCAGUUGGCUAAUUGGAGUUAUAACAUGGAUAUUGGUGUUCUUGUUUUUGAUGAGCCUCCUGUGUGGAUUAGAUCAGCUCUCAUUGAUGAUGCUGCUGGAGUCCCUCGGACUCGGUUUGCUGUUGGUUUGUAGUUCUUUUUGGGUUGUGUUCCCCGUUCUUCACCAAAAAAAAAAAUCCCUAUCGGUCAUCUACUUGUGUAUUUGCACAAUCAAGGGGGAGCAUGAUAUACAUUCUAAUACAUAUUGUGAUUAUGUAAAUCCUAAGUAUAGAUAGAUUAGGAAUUCUUUGGGAUCUAGAAGAUCUUUGCCAAUAGACUUUGUAUUACUUGGAGAUCAAAUUUCUCUCCUCCUUAUUACUAUAAAUAAAGGCACAAUGACUGGAGAAUAACACAUAAUUUCUCAAGCCCAAUCGCCACUCUCUUUGUCUCUAUGUCGUGCCCCUUUAUUCUCCCUCAGUUAGAUAUAGACCACAACAAAGUAGAGAUAAAUCUAUGUUUUCAAGAGGUUCAACUUCGCAAUAAAUUGUAAGAACCAAUUGCUUGAAAGUUUCUCUACUUUAUAAGAAGCGUGAACAUAUUACAUGGAAGUUUCUCUUUAAAAACUCAUAACUCAUAACUCAUUUAAAGGCCCAAGAGUCAACCUUCCCAACUAGGAAAUUAAAUUAUACUUCUGCCACUCACUUUCCUAUCCAUUCAAAAUUCGGCGCGUAUUGUAUAUUUCAACGUCCAAUUUGGAUUCCACAGAAACCACGUGGGUGUUUCGCACUCCUUUCUCACACCCUUCCCUCAACACUCCUAUAUAACCUUCUACCCACACCUCUUUCCUAUCAACGGCUCUCACAAUUCUCCUAACCUAACACAAGCUGUUCAUCAAACACUUACGCGCACUCUUCAUCCACCAUGGCAGCCAAUUCCCGGACGCUUGAAAUCAAGGUGAUCUCCGCCGAGAACCUGAAAUUAGAUCGAAAAUCCAUCAAGAAAAACGCCUCCGUGACCGUCCGGACCGACACCAACAGCCAGUUUUGCACUACGGACAUUGACACCGAAGGCGGCGCCCACCCACGGUGGAACGAGAAGCUCGUGCUCGACUUGCCAACGCACUCGAAGUCCAUCACAGUGGAGGUCCAUUGCAAGACUUCGUCCGGCGUCAGGACGAUCGGGACGGCAACGGUUCCGGCUUCUGAUUUUGUUGGCGGGUACGUACCGGAGGGUUACCUGCAUUUUUUGAGUUACAGGCUGAGGAAUCACAAGGGGGAGAGGAAUGGGAUUAUUAAUAUUUCUGUAAGAAUGAAGGUUCCGGAGAUGUACGCUUGUGCAAGUUCAACGACGUGGUCUCACUCAACGAUGGGGUUUCCGGCGGCUGG
rnacentral:lncRNA from 1 species